rnacentral:RNase_P_RNA from 1 species
UCCGGAUUCUUUACAGGAGCAAACAAUAUGAAAAUAGAAUGAUCAGGUAAAGAAACAAUUUUAUGAUUUACUUUAAUAAAGUUUUGAGAAGUACCUGUUUUUCCAGCCAUUCUAAUAUCAGAUGAUUUAAAACUUUUUCCAGUUCCAAUAACAAAAACUUUUUCCAUUCCAUUAAUAAUUAAAUCAAAAUAUUUACUUUUAACUUUGGUGUGUUUAGGUAUAGUAUAAUUAGGAUUAUAUACCGGUCGAUGAUUAAUUCGUUUUACUAUAUGUGGAGUAUAAAAAAAUCCGCGAUUUGCUAUAGCACAAGUCAUAUUAGCUAAUUGUAUAGGAGUUACAUUAAUUUCUCCUUGACCUAUACUAUUAGAAAUGAUUGUAAUUGCAUUCCAUUUUGUUGUUCCAUAUUUUUUAUUAUAAUAAUCUCCAGAAGGAAUAACUCCUUUUUCUCCUGUAGCUAAAUCAUUAUAUAAGUAAUCCCCAAAACCAAAGCUUUUUAUAAUAUCACUCCAUUCGUUAACUCCUUUUGUCAAAUUUUUAGGAUAUUUUUCUAUAACACGUUUAUAAACCUGUGCAAAAUAAUUAUUACAAGAGACAGCUACUGCCGUUUCUAGCCCUAUAGGAAAUCCAUGAAAUCCAGAAUGACAAUGAAUUUUCUUUUUUCCAUAUUUAAAUCCCUUAUAGCAUAUAAAAGUAGUAUUUGAAUCUACUACUCCCAUUUGAAGGCCUGCUAAUUCAGUAAGUAAUUUAAAUGAAGAAGCUGGUGGAUAACGAGCCUGUGUAGUUCUAUCAAACAAAGGAUUAUCUAUUUUAUUUUUUAUUAAUUUUUGAAAUUCUUUAGAACGAUUUACACCUACAAAUAAAUUAGGAUUGUUAAUAGGACUAGAGACCAAGGAUAAAAUUUCUCCAUUCUUAGGGUUGAUAGCAACUAUUCCUCCUUUUUUUUGAUACAUGAGUUUUUCUGCAUAAUUUUGUAAAUUCAAAUCUAUAGUUAAAGAAAUAUCAUUUCCACUUACAGCUUUUACAUUAUUUUUACUAUUAUUAUAGCUUUCUAUAAUACAUCCUUUCCUAUUUCUUAACCAAUAUUUUACACCUUUUUUUCCUCUUAAAACUUUUUCAUAAGAUUUUUCUACUCCAGUCCAACCAAUAAAAUCUCCUAUUUGAUAAUAAUUAGAUUCCUUUCUAAUAUCUUUUUGAGUAACUUCCCCUAUAUACCCUAAAACAUUGGAUGAACUUUCUACUUGAUAAUCUCUAAGAGAGCGUUUUGUCCAAUCAAAUCCUUUAUAUUUAUAAAGUUUUUCUUGUAUAGUAGCAAAUUUUUCUUUAGAAAUAAAAGGUAAAAAAACAGAUGGUAAAUAUUUAGAAUAAAUUUUUGCUUUUUCUAAAUUUUUAAAAAAAGUAUUUUUAUCAAUUCCUACAAGAUUACAAAAUUCCAUAAUAUUAAAAUGUUCAUCUAUAAGAAUAGGAAUAACUAUUAAUUCAUAAAUAGAUUUAUUAAAAACUAAUAAAUUUUCAUUUCUAUCAAAAAUAGAACCUCUUUCAGGAAUAAUAAUUUCUUGUUUGAUAGAAGUAUUAAAAGCAUUCAAAAUAUAUUUUUCCGUAUAUAUUUGUAUAUAAAAUAAUCUAACCACAAAAAUUAUUCCGAAAAAACUCAAUAAAAUGUAAAACUUAUAUAAUUUUUUCAAUGUUUAAUUUUUCUGAAAAAAAAAUAUAUAAUACAUAAAAUAGUUGUAAAAAUACUACUUAAUAUCGACCUAAAUAAAACAAUUCUAUUAAAAAUAGAACCUUUUAACAUUUCUAAUAUUAAUAAAGAAAAAUGAUGAGUAAAAACUAACGAAAAUAUAUAAAGUAUUUUUCUAAUCAAAGGUAAUUCAUAAAUUGAAAAAUCAUUUUUGUUUAUAAAAUUUUUUCCAUCAAAAAACUGUAAAAACUUUAAUCUUAAAAAAGCAGAUAAAGUAGAAGAAAAUGCAUGAAUUCCUCCAGAAUUCAUGUAAUGAUCUAUUAUCCAUCCUAUUAAAAAUGAUAUAAAUAAAAAUAAAAAUUUAUUUUUAUUAUAUGGAUAUAUUAAGAUAAGAAGAAUAUAUAUAUAAGAAUAACAUCCUAAAAAAAUAAAUAAAGGGUUUAAUAUCGAUAUUUGAAUUAAACAAAGAAAAAAAAUGUAAAAUAUAGAAAUAAUAAAAUUUUUAAUUAAAUUCAUUAUUUUUUUCAACUUUAUAAAGUUGAACAUCAUUCCAUUCUUCUUUAAAUAAAUUUUUUACGAUAUAAGCAUUUUCUAUAGCAGAAAAAUUAACCAUGAGUUUUACUUUUAUAAUAUAAUUUGCAUGUUCUUCGUCAAAUUUAUAGGAAUGGACUUUUCCAAUUGGAAUACCUUCAGGAAAAGUUGCAGAUUUUCCAUCUGUUUCUACAAUAUCUCCUUUAGAGAUAAUGGAAUGUCUUGGGAUAUCAUAUAAUACUACAUAUUCAUGAUCUAUUCCAUCCCAACUUAAAGUUCCAAAAUAUUUAUUUUUUUUUAAUCUGGCAUUAACUUUAAUUUUUGGAUUUAAAAGAGAAAUCGCUAUACUAAAAUGUGGAGAAGUUUUUAUAAUAAUCCCUGCAAUUCCGUUGUAUAAUAUAAUUCCCAUAUCUGGUUUUAUUCCAUCUAUACUUCCUUUAUUAAUAGUUAUAUAAUUUUCUUGUUUAUGAAUACUAUUAUUUAUAAUUUGUACUGGAGUAAAAGUAUAUUGUUGUAAAUAAAUAAUAUCUUUCUUUUUUAGAUCUUUAGAUAUUUUUCUUAUUUUAGAAAAUACACAUGCUUCAUGUAAACUUUUAUUUUCAUUUAAAAGUUUUUUAUUUUCAAUUUCUAACAGAAAAUAAUUUCGUACUUUAUAGAUGCUUUCAUAAAUUUUUCCAAUUAUAAAGUUGGAAGAAUCAGCAUAAAUAUAUUGGUGUAUCUUUGAAUUUGAAAAAGAAAUAAAAAUAGCUGCAUAUUCUAAUAAAAAAAAGAAAAUAAAAAAACGCCAUUUUAAAAAGAAAUUAAAAAAUUCACGCAUAAAAUUAAUCUAUGAACCCUAUUUCAUUAAAAAUGUAAAUUUAUCGAUAUUUUUUAACGCAACUCCUGUUCCUUUUACUACCGCUCUCAAAGGAUCCUCUACUAAAGAAACAGAAAGUCCAGUCUUUUUGGAAAUCCUUUUAUCUAACCCUCUUAAAAGAGAUCCUCCUCCUGCCAUAUAUAUUCCUGUUUUAUAUAUAUCGGCCGCAAGUUCUGGUGGUGUCCUGGAAAGAGUUUCCAUCACUGCAUCUUCAAUUCGUAAAAUUGAUUUAUCUAGUGCUGGAAUUGUUUCUUUAUAAGAAAGAUUCAUUUCUUUAGGUUUUCCUGUAGGAAGAUCCCUUCCUUGUAUAUGAAUAUCCUUUGGAGGAGUUUCUAUAGAUUCCAUUGCCGCUCCUAUAUCUAUUUUUAUUUUUUCUGCAGUUCGUUCUCCAAUAUAAAGAUUAUAUUUAGAACGAAGAAAAUAGGAAAUAUCAUUUGUAAAAACAUCUCCUGCUAUUUUUAUAGAUUUUUGACAUACAAUUCCACCCAAAGCUAUUACUCCACAUUCUGUAGUUCCACCUCCUAUAUCAAUAAUCAUAUUUCCUUCUGCUUUAGUUACAGAAAUACCUGAUCCAAUAGCAGCAGCCAUGGGUUCUUCAAUCAGAUAAACUUCUUUAGCAUUAAGAUGUUGAGCUGAAUCUUUUACUGCUCUUUUUUCUACUUCUGUUAUUCCGGAUGGAAUACAAAUAACCAUUGUUAAUGAUGGAGUAAAAAAUUUUUUAUUAACACCUGGUACCCUUUUUAUAAACUCUUUUAUCAUUAAUUCAGCCACUUGAUAAUCUGCAAUAACUCCAUCUUUCAAUGGUUUGUAUAUUUUAAUAUUUUCAUGUGUUUUUCCCUGCAUUUGUUUGGCAUCUUCACCUACUGCUAGUACUUUUUUUGUUCUUACAUCUAUAGCUAUUAUUGAAGGCAAAUCAACUAUUACUUUAUUAUUAUGCAUAAUGAGCGUAUUUGCUGUUCCUAAAUCUAUGGCUAUUUCUUGAGUAAAAAGAUUCUUCAUAAAAUCGACUACUAAUCUCAUUAAUAUUUUUUUAUGAAAAAAUUUAUUAUAGUUUAAUUUAAAUAAAAUUAAAGUUUUUCAGUAUAUUAAAUUAGAAUAAAUAAAUUAUUUUUUGAAAAAACAUGAUGUUUUUUUGUUACAAGGAAGUAAUAAAGGAAAUAAAAAAAAAUAUUUGGAUGAAUCUUUAAUUUUGAUGUCGAAUGAACUUGGUAAAGUUGUUCAACUUUCAUCAUAUUUUGAAAGCGAAGCAUGGAAUAUGAAAAAUUACUCUAUUUUUUAUAACAGAGCAUUGCAUUUAAAAACAGAUUUUUCUCCUAUUGAUCUUUUAAAAAAAAUUUGGGAUAUAGAAUUUUUUAUAGGGAGAAAAAAAAAUUCUUCUCGAAAAGAAUAUCAAAAUCGAGAAAUCGAUAUAGAUAUUUUAUUUUAUGAUCGUAUUAUUAUAUACAGUUUUAUUUUGAAAAUUCCACAUCCAUUAUUACAUUUACGUAGAUUUGUUUUAGAACCUAUGUGCGAAAUUUCUCCAAACAAAAAUCAUCCAAUAUUUAAUUUGACUAUCCUAGAAAUUUUAGGAUUAUGCAUAGAUAAAUUAUAUGUAAAAAAAAUAUCAGAAUAAUUUUUACUUAUUAAUUAAAUAAAAAAAUUGCAUCGAAUUCGAUUUUCCAUUUACAUAAUAUUAUUUAUUUUUCCCAUUUCUAUUUUUUAUGGAAAUGAAAAAAAAAAUAAUGAUGAAAUAUAUUAUGAUCAUAAUCAUCAUGAUAUGAAAAAUGAAUUUUUUUUCUUGAAAAAAAAUUUGAAAUAUAAAUCAGAUAUACAAGAACAUGAUAUAAAAGAAGGAAAGACUUAUUUAAAAGGACAAGCCAGUAUAGAAUAUGAUAAUACAAAAGUUAAAGCAGAUUAUAUAGAAUUUGAUUGGAAAAAUGGAGAUUUAUAUGCAAAAUCAAAAGAAAAAUCUAUUUUCUUCCAAAAAGACAACAAACAAUUUCUUUUUAGAAAUAUUCAUUGGAAUUUAAACAAACAAAUAGGAAAAGCAAAAAAUUUUUCUUUCAAAGAAAAAAAUUAUAUUGUGAUAGCUGACGAUCUUUUAAAAGAAAAAGAGGAUUUUUUAAUGAAAAAAGUCACAUAUAUAUCAGAUCCUUUUUUUUUGGAAAAAAAAGAUAGUUUUCCUGAUUUUUAUUUAAAAACAGAUUAUUUAAAAUAUUCUUAUUUAAAAAAAUACAUUUUUUCUGGUCCAGUUUUCUUUUAUUUAUAUAGAGUUCCAAUGCCUAUUUUUCUUCCGUUUUUAUAUAUGCCUAUUAAAUUAAACCAACUAUUUUAUAAUAGUGGAAUUAUAUACCCAAAAUUCGGAAUUCAAAAUAAAAAAAUAUACAUAAAAGAUAUAGGUUUAUUCUUUCCUAUCUCUAAUUUAUUAAAUUUUAAAAUAAAUUCCUCUAUAUAUAAUCUUGAAAAAUGGAAAAUUAAAACAAAAAUAGAAUAUAAAUUAAAAUAUAAUAAUCAUGGAUUUAUAAAUUUUGAUUAUCAAAAUAUGUUAAAUCAUAAAAAUUAUCUAUUUCAAUGGAAACAUCAUUUUGAUUUUAAAUCAAAUUCUAGUAUUGUUAAUUUUAAUUCCAAUUUUAAUUAUGAUAAUAUUUCUCUAUUCAAUAAAAAUGAAGAAAAUUUUUUUUCUGCAAACAUAAGAAGAAAAUUUUCUAAUUCUUUAUGGUUUAUGGAUAUUUAUAUGAUUCAAAACCAAAAUAAAAAAGAAAUAAAAUUUAUAAUUCCAGAAUUAAUUUUACAUACAAAAAAUAUAUUCUUUAAUGAUAAAAAAUAUUAUUUUUUAAGAUAUGUUAGUGUUGAAAAUAAAUUCCAUUUUAAUAAUUCUAUAGAUUUCAUUAAAAAUGAAAAAAAACCCCAUUCUGCUAUAGGAAUAAAUCAUCAUAUGAAUAUGAUAGCUUAUCUUCCUUUUUUUGAUCCUUAUUUAAAGAUUUCAUCUAAAAUUUUAUACCACAAUUUUUAUAAAUGGAAUUAUUCUGAAUUUCAGAUUUCAAAUUUUCAAAAAAUAGAUUUUAUAACAAAUAUAGUGUCUGUUCCAUUUUAUAAAAUUUUGAAUUUUAAAAAUACUUUCUUAUUAAAACAUAAAAUUCAACCAACUUUAUCUUUUCAUAUAAUGUAUUUUCCUCCUGUAUUUUAUAAUAACGUAAAAAAUUCUUUUGAAAAAAGAAUUAAUUUUAUUUUCAAUAAUGAUUGGAUCAUAAAAAAUCCAUGGAAUUUUCUUGAUUCCCAUAAAAAAACAAAAAUUACAAAGGAAAUAAACUCCUCUUUUAUUAUCAAAAAUAAUUUUAUAAAAUGGGAUAAUUUUAAAAUUAUGAUUGAUAGUGAAUUAACAAAAAAUCUGAAGACAAAAUAUAAAGCAGGAAUAAAUUUUGGGAAAGAAGAAAAAGAAAAGAAAAUAUAUUUUGAUUUUUCUUUUUCUUCUAAUCAUAAUAUUAAUUUUUUUCCUAUAAAAAAUAAAUUUCAAAAAAAAGGAAAAAAUCGUUAUGAUUACUUUUUUUUUGAUCAAAAUAAUUAUGCAAAAUAUUCAAUUCCGUUAAAUUUAAAAAUCGAUUUUCAUUCCAAUUAUGAAAAUUAUUUUAAUAAUAAAAUAUUGUUUAAAACUUUGUUAAGUUUAAAUGGAUCUAUAAAUAUUACAAAAUAUUGGAAAAUCAGUUUUCAUACAGACUACGAUUUAUUCAAAAAUAAAAUAAUAUUUUCCAAUAUUAUUUUUGAUAGAGAUUUAAGGAGUUUUGAAUUGAGAUUUAAUUGGACAAAAGACUCUUCCUGGUCUUUUUUUAUAGGAUUAAAAGAUCCUAAUUUCAGGAAAAUUAUACAGUAUAAUGAAAAAAAUUAAUAAUUAUGAUCCCUAAAAAAUUUUCAAUAAAAAAAAUUCCAUCUUAUGGUCCGUAUAAUACAUGUGUUUUUAUCGGAGGUUUUUUAUUUGUUUCCGGGCAAAUAGCUAUAGAUCAAAAUACAGAAAAAUUAGUUUCAUAUAGUAUAGAAAUGGAAACAAAAAAAAUAAUGGAAAAUAUUAAAAUUAUUCUUUCAGAAAAUGGAAUAGGUUUUGAAAACGUUAUAAAAACUUCUGUUUUUGUAACAGAUAUAAAUUUUUUUCCUAAAAUAAAUCAUAUAUAUGCCCAAUUUUUUCAUAAAGGAAGUUAUCCAGCUAGAGAAACUAUAGAAGUUUCUGGUCUUCCUAAAGAUGCAAAUGUUGAAAUCUCUUUAAUUGCAUAUAAAAAUUAAUUUUUAUAAUUAAUUGUGAAAUAUGGAUUUUUUAUUUUUAUUAUUCUUUUAUUAUUUUCAUUAAACAAAACAUUUUCUAUUUCUAACAAAAAAAUAAAAUCUAUACAAAUUAUUCAUGCAGAUCUAAUUCAAAAUAACGUAGAAAAUCAAAUUUUUGUUUUAAUAGGAAACGUUCAUUUAAAAUAUGAUAAUUAUCAUCUUUUUUGUGAUAAAAUUAUAUAUAAUAAAAAAGAUAAUAAAUAUCGUGGAUAUGGAAAUGUAAGAUUAUCAUCAGGAAAAAAUAAAAUAAUAUCUCAAAAUAUAGUAGGAAAUUUUAUUAAUUUUCAAUUAUCAGGUAAAGUUGUUUUAUAUAUACAUCAAGGAAAAAUAAAAUUAACAUCGGAUAUUGUUAAUUUUUUUUUUAAAAAAAAAUUAUUUCAAGCUAUCAAUCAUGUUGUUUUAUUUUUUAAUAAAAUAAAAUUAACAACUAAUAUAUUGGAAUAUGAUUUGGUAUUAAAUCAAAUUUUUUAUAAAAAAAAUAGUGUUAUUUAUUAUAGAGAUUACACUAUAUCUAGUAAAGAAGGUUUUUUUUAUAUAAAUAAAAAAAAAAUAGAAUUAAAAGAUGAAAUCAAAUUGAUUAAUCAAAAUUAUACUGUAUAUACCAAUACGGUAAAAUACCUAUUUGAAAAAGAUCAAAUUUAUUUUGAUAACCCCACUAUCAUAGUACAAAAUACAAAUAUUAAUCAUUUUAUUUAUACUAAAAAAGCACUGUUUUCAAUUCAAAAAAAAAUAUUUUUAUUUAAAAAAUAUGUAAGUAUUCAUUAUAAUGAUCAAAUUAUAAAAGGAGAAUAUUUAUUUUUUGAUCAAAAAAAAAAUUUUGGAUUUAUGAAAAAUAUUUUUUUAGAAAAUGCGAAAAAAAAAUAUUUUUUAAUAAGUGGAUAUGGAGAGUUUGAUUUUCAUUCUGAUUCUUUAAUUUUCCAAAAAAAUCCAAGAGUUAUAAAAAUAUUAAAAAAUAAUUCAAUCUUUAUUUAUUCAAAUAUUUUAAAAGUAAAUCUAAAAAAGAAUGAUACAUUUUCACUUCAGGGUUUUUCUAUUAAAAUUUUUUUUAUGAAUGAAAAUGAAACUAAAACUAUUGUUCAAGGAAUAUGUAAUCUAUUUCAUUAUGAAUCAUCAAACGAUGAUAUGAAAUUUUAUGGAAAUCCAAUAUUUUGGUUGUUUCACAAUCAAAAAAUUACUGGAAAAACAAUAUAUAUUCAAAAUGAUGAAAAAAAUAAUUUUUUAAUUAAAAAUAUAAAAAUUAUAGGAGACACUUCUUACAUAGAAAAAAUUAAUUCGGAAGAAUUUAAUCAAACAGAAGGUGAUAUUAUUACCGGUUUUUUUAAUAAAGAAAAUUUUUUAGAAAAAGUAAUAAUUCAAGGAAACGUUAAUAGUAUUUUUUUUCUUUCUUUUAAUAGUAGUAAAGAAAAAAAAAUAAUUAAUAAAUCAUAUUGUGAAAUAUUAUCAAUUUAUUUAGAUAAAUCAAAAAAAAUAAGAAAAAUUUUUUGUGAAAAAAAAGCAUAUUCAGAACUAAUUCCGGUAGAUCAAAAAACACCUAAAAAAUUUUUUUAUUUAUCUAAUUUUAAUUGGAAAGAAGAAAGUAAACCAAAAAAAAAUCAAAAACUUAUGAUCUAUAAAGAAAUGGAAAAAUAUAAAAAAGAAGGUUUAUUAGAAAAACAAAUAAUAAAAAAUAUGAUAAAUAGAAAAAAAUUUUUAUGAAAAAAAAAGAAUUAGAAAAAGAUUUUUUUCAAUAUCAAACUCAAAUUAAUCCAUAUCCUAUGAAUAUUAUAGUAGAUCAUGCUAAAGGAAGUUAUAUUUAUGGAAUAAAUGGGAAAAAAUAUUUAGAUUUUGUUGCAGGUAUUUCUGUAAAUGUAUUAGGACAUGGAAAUAAAAAGAUUAAAAAAGCUAUAAAAAAACAAGUAGAUCAAUAUUUACAUACUAUGGUAUAUGGAGAAUUUAUACAAUCUCCUUGUGUAAAAUUAUGUAAAAAAAUUUCAGAAAAUACUCCUAACCCGCUUACUACCACUUAUUUAGUGAAUUCUGGAACAGAAGCAGUAGAAGGUUCUUUAAAAUUAGCCAAAUGUUAUACAGGAAGAGAAGAGAUUAUAUCUUGUAAAUGGUCUUAUCAUGGAAGUACACAUGGUUCUAUGAGUAUUAUGGGAAAUGAAAAUUAUAAAAGGGCUUUUAGGCCUCUAUUACCUUUAGUAAAAUUUAUUACGUUUAAUCAUGUGGAAGAGUUAAUAGAAUCCAUUACAGAAAAAACUGCUUGUGUGAUUUUAGAAACUAUUCAAUGCUCUUCUGGAAUUAUAUUACCUAAUAAUUUUUUUUUAAAAGAAGUAAGAAAACAAUGCCAUAAAAAACAGGCAUUAAUGAUACUUGAUGAAAUCCAAACUGGAUUUGGAAGAACAGGAAAACUUUUUGCAUUUGAACAUUACGAAAUCGUUCCAGAUAUCUUAAUCAUGGGAAAAGGAAUGGGAGGUGGAAUGCCUAUUAGCGGUUUUGUUUCAUCUAAAGAAAUUAUGAAAACUUUUAGGGAUAUAGCUCCUUUAGGACAUUUAACUACUUUUGGAGGAAAUGCUGUUUCUGCUUCUGCUUCUCUAGCUACUUUAAAUGAACUUAUCAGUUCAGAUAUCAUGGAACAAGUUCCAAUAAAAGAAAAAUGGAUUCGUGAACAUUUAGUUCAUAAUGAAAUCAAAAAACUUCAUGGAAAAGGUCUUUUUCUCUCUUUGGAAUUAAAGAAUAAAGAUAAAGUAGAAAAAGUUUUGAAUAAUUGCAUAAAAAAAGGAUUAAUAUUAUUUCGUUUUUUAUUUCAUGAAAAUUUUAUUCGUAUAUCUCCUCCAUUAACUAUAACGAAAAAUGAAAUUAAAAAGGGUUGUUCUAUUAUUAUUGAAUGUUUAAAUCUGCUUUAAAAAAAUAAAAUAAUUGAGAUUUUUUAUUGAAUUAGCUUAUAAUGGAAAAAAUUUUUUUGGAUGGCAAGUUCAAAAAAAAGUAAGUACAGUAGAAGAAAAAUUAGAACAUUGUUUAUCACAAUUAUUAAAAAAUUCUAUAAAUGUAAUAGGUGCUAGUAGGACAGAUAAAGGAGUUCAUGCUAGACAAAUGUUUGCUCAUUUUGAUCUUGAAAAAAAAAUAAAAAAACAAAGACUUUUAAUAAAUAGAUUAAAUAUAUUUUUACCUAACUCUAUUAGAGUAUUCAAUAUUUUUCCAGUAAAAGAAAAUACUCAUGCAAGAUUUUCUGCUAUAAAAAGAACAUAUAAAUAUUAUUUAACACAAGAAAAAAAUCCAUUUAAUCAAGAUUUUUCUUGGUAUUGUUUUUAUUAUCCAUUAAAUAUUCAAAAAAUGAAUAUAGCAUCAAAAAAACUUAUGGAAUAUAAAGAUUUUAGUUCUUUUUGUAAAAAAAAAGGAAAUAAUAAUAAAAAUGAAAAAGAAAACAAUAUAUGUAAAAUUUAUCAUGCUAAUUGGUCUUAUGAAAAUAAAGAGGAUAAAAAUAUUUUAUGCUUUACUAUUGAAGCAAAUCGAUUUCUAAGAUCCAUGGUUAGAGCAAUUAUAGGAACACUCAUUAAUGUAGGAAGAGAAAAAAUUAGCAUUAAUGAAUUUUUAAAAAUCAUAGAAUCAAAAAAUUCUAAUUUUUGUAAAUUCAUAGUUCCUGCAUGUGGUUUAUUUCUGACUCGAAUUCUUUAUCCAGAAGAAAUUUUUUUAUGAAAAAAAAUUUUAAUAAAAAAGAAUAUUCUCUAAAACAGCUAAUUCUAAUUUCUCUAGAUUAUAAAAUUACAUUAAUAUCAAUAAUUUUUAUUUCUAUAUUAAUUUCAUUCAUUUCUGCUUAUCGUCCUAAAUUAAUACAAAAAGCUAUAGACGUUCAUAUUCUUUAUAAAGAUUUUUUAGGAUUAAAAAAUAUAUUAAUUUUGAUAAUUAUGCUUCUUUUUUUAGAAAGCAUAUUCCAUUUUAUUUUAUUAUACAUGUCUAAUGUAUUAGCUCAAAAUGUAAUUGAAAAAAUUAGAGUUCUUUUAUUUGAAAAACUAUUACAUUUUAAAAAUUCUUUUUUUAACAAAACUCCAAUAGGAAAAUUAAUUUCUUAUUCUGUUUCAGAUGUAGAAACUAUAGCCGUAAUAUUUAAUGAUGGAAUUUUACUUGUUUCUGGAGAUAUUUUAAGGAUUAUAAUGAUCAUUAUUAUGAUGUUUACAGUUCACAAAAAACUGUCUUUUAUAGUUUCCUUAACUAUUCCUUUUAUGUAUAUCAUUACUCGUUUUUUUCAAAAAAUAUUAAAAAAAACGUUUCAAGAAGAACGUAUUCAAACUUCACGUUUAAAUAGCUUUUUGCAGGAAAACAUCAUAGGAAUGUCUAUUAUUCAACUUUUUCAUAAAGAAAAAGAAGAAUAUUUAAAAUUUAAAUCUAUUAAUCAAAAAUUAAUGGACGCUCAUUUUAAAACUAUUUUUUAUUUUUCUAUUUUUUUUCCUAUAAUAGAAAUAAUUUCCGCAUUUACAAUAAGUAUUGUUAUAUUUUAUGGAGGAUUUCAUACAAUUGAAAAAAUUGGAAAUGUAAAACCUGGACAAAUUAUUGCUUUUAUUUUUUUUAUCUAUCUUCUUUUUCGUCCUAUGCGACAAAUAGCUGAUAGAUUCAAUAUUAUACAAAGAGGAAUAGUUGGAAUAGAACGUAUAUUUUCUAUAUUAAAUUCUAAGGAAUUUAUUCCUAUUAAUAAAGGAAUUUUUCGUUUUGAAAAAUUAAAAGGACAUAUUGUAUUUAAUAAUGUACAUUUUUAUUAUACAAAAAAUGAAAUAGUAUUAAAUGAUAUUUCUUUCGAAAUUCAACCGGGAGAAAAAUUUGCUAUAGUAGGAGCUACAGGUUCUGGAAAAUCUACAAUUACUCAUCUAAUUUCUAGAUUAUAUGAAAUAAAAAAAGGAAAUAUUUGGAUCGAUGGGCGUACUAUACAAGAUAUAGAGGUAAAAAAUUUAAGAUCUCAUAUUAGAGUAAUAACACAAGAUCCUUUUUUAUUUAAUGACUCAAUUGUUAAUAAUAUCACUUUAGGAGAUCCAUCUAUUAGUAUUGUUAAAAUAGAAAAUAUGGCAAAAAAAAUAGGAAUCCAUGAUUUUAUUACAUCUUUACCUUAUGGAUAUAAAUCUAUAGUAAAAGAAAGAGGUGGUUUACUUUCUAUUGGAGAAAAACAAUUAAUUUCCUUUUUAAGGAUUCAAAUGCACCCCUAUUCCGUACUGAUAUUAGAUGAAGCUACUGCAUCAUUAAAUAAAGAACUAGAAAAAAUGAUUUAUCAUGCUACAAAUAUUUUAACAAAAAAUAAAACUUCUAUCAUCAUUACUCAUCGUCUUUCUACAUUAAAAAAUGUAGAUAAAAUAUUAGUUCUUGAUAAAGGACAUAUUGUGGAAAAAGGCCCUCAUCAAAAAUUAAUUCAAUUAAACGGAUAUUAUGCUGGAUUAUAUAGAGAAUCUUUGAAAAAAUGAACUGAACAAUUCAUUUUUAUGUAAUAAGUACUUUUUAAAAUUUUUUUUGCCCAAUUUUUGAUUCUUUCUUUUUUCUUGAUGUCUUUUACUAAAUUUUUUAAAAUAUCAUAAUCCUUUUCAAAAGAAACGGGUUUAGAUGGGAUUUCAUCCAAUAAUUUUAUGAUAAUAAAUGCUUCUUUUCCAUUUAUAAUCUCUUUGUAAGGAUGACUUAUUUUUCCUUUUUUUAAAAAAAGGAAUAUUUUUUUCAUAUUUAUUGAUAAUAAAGGUUCCUCUAUCCAAGAUGGAUUCCGUACUAUUACAUCAACAGUUUUAUUUUGAUUUAAAAAUUUUUGAAUUUUAUAUAAAUCUAUCUUAUUAUGGUAAUGAAUCAUACGUUUUCUAAAAUAUUCUGAAUAUAAUUUUGUUUUGUAUAAUUCCUGUUUUGAAUAUUUAGGUUUAAUUAAAAUAUGUCUAAAAUCAAUUUCAUUUUUUCCUUUUUUUUCUAAUUUUAGAAUAUGAAAACCUAAAUCUGUUUCAAAUGGAUCAGAUAUCUCUCCUUCUUUUAAAGAAAGAACUAAAUCAUAAAAUUCUUUUGAAAGAUCGUUUAAUUUUGUUCCUUGAAUAAGUCCUCCAUUUAAUGCUGAAGAAUCAUCCUCAGAAAAUAAAAUAGCUUUAUUGGAAAAAUCACUAUCAGAAUGAAUUUCUUUCUUUAUCUGAUUUAAAAAACCAACUAUUUUUUUUUUUUUAUUUCGUUUAAUUUAGGAUAAAAUAUGAGAUAAGAAAAAUAUAUUUUUUUUGGAAAAUGAGGAAUCUUAUUUUUUUUUUUAUGAAAAAAAAAUUUUACUUCUCUUGGAGAAACUUCUACGUCAUCUGUUAUUUUAUCGUAAAAUUUUUCUAUGUAUUUUUUAUUUUUAAUUUUUUCAUUUAAUUCUUUCAAAAAUUCUUCAUUUUGAAACUGCAUUAAAAGUUCUUCUUGAUUAACAUAUUUUUUUUUCAUUUCCGAUAAAAUAUCUUGAAUUCUAUAUUUUAAUUCUUGAUCGCUAAUAUCUAUACUCUUAUCUUUUUUUGCAUGAUAAAGCAUUAAUCUUUGAAUAAAAACAUUGUUAUUCAAAACAUCAGUAUUACAAAAAGGGACUCCUUCAUUAUUAUUCUUUUUACUAUUACUAACUUCAGAAUCUAAAAUGAUAUCAUCUCCUACUACAGCAGAAAUUCCACUCAAUUUUUCUAAACAAAAGGAAUUUGAAAAAAAAUUAUGCAUAAAACAUAAUAAAAACACAAUCGAGAAAAAUUUUUUAUUUUUUAAAUUAUUCAUAAUUUUUUAUUAGAUAUGUAAAUAUAAAUAACAAAUAUAUUUAUAUUUUUUUUGAUAAAAAAAAUUUUAAUAUACAUGAAGUAUUAUGAGUUUGAAAGCUAACAACGUAUGUAAAAAAUAUAAAAAUAAGUAUAUAAUUAGAAAUGUUUCGAUUCAAUUAGAAAAAGGAGAAAUUGUUGGAUUAAUAGGUCCUAAUGGAGCAGGAAAAACAACUUCUUUUUACAUAAUUAUAGGAUUAAUUAAGCCAGACAAAGGAAAAAUAUUAUUUUUUAAUCAAGAUAUAACAUUUUAUCCCAUGUACCGACGCUCUAAAAUAGGGAUCGGAUAUUUAGCUCAAGAACCAUCUAUAUUUAGAAAAUUAUCUGUAGAAGAUAAUAUUUUAUGCAUAUUAGAAAUGCAAAAAAUAUCUCGUAAAGAAAGAGAAAAAACAACAGAAAGACUAAUUAAAGAAUUAGGAUUACAAAAAAUUCGAAAUCAUAGAGGAGAUCUAAUUUCUGGAGGAGAAAGAAGACGUACAGAAAUUGCUAGAUGUUUAGCUAUAAAUCCUAAAUUUAUUCUUUUAGAUGAACCUUUUUCUGGAAUUGAUCCAAUUGCUAUAGAGGAAUUACAGAAAAUAAUUCUUUUUCUAAAAAAGAAAAACAUAGGUAUACUAAUUACAGAUCAUAACAUACAAGAAAUUGUUACAAUAACAGAUCGUAUUUAUUUAAUGUUUAAUGGAAAAAUCAUAAAAUAUGGAUCUACCGUAGAAAUUAUGAAAGAUCCUUUAAUAAGGAAAGUUUAUCUGGGAAGUAGGAUCAUAAAUUUUAGAAAUAAAUGAAUCAUCGAUUUGAUAGUCCAGAAGUAGGAUUAUUUUUAAAUGGGACACCUCCUCCUUUUUUAGAAAAAAUUUUUUGUUUUUAUAAAAAAAUAUUUGCAGUAGAUGGUGCUUUUUAUUACUUAAAUGAAUUUGGGGUUUCAGUAGAUUAUAUUAUUGGAGAUUUUGAUUCUAUUUUAUUAAAAAAAAAUAUUCCUUUAAAAACUAAUUUAUUAAAAAUUUAUGAUCAAAAUUAUACUGAUUUCGAUAAAGCAUUGAAUGUUAUUUAUGAUCUAGGAUUUACAAAUAUUAAUGUUUGGGGUGCGAGUGGAAUGGAGCAAGAUCACUUUUUAGGAAAUUUAUCUACAGCCUUAAAAUAUAAAAAAAAAUUAUCUAUAAUAUUCCAUGAUCAAUAUCAUUUUUAUUUUUUUUCUGAUAAGAAUAUUUCUUUUUAUCAGAAAAAAAAUAAAAAAGUUUCUUUAUUUCCGUUUCCUACAGUAGAAGGAUUAUGUACUUAUGGAUUAAAAUAUUCCAUAAAAAAAGGGGUUUUAAAAAUAGGAGAAACAAUAGGAAUUAGAAAUGAAGCUUAUAAACAAAUAAUAAAAAUAAAUUACAAAAAAGGGGAAUUAUUAAUAUUUAUAGAAAAAUAAAAUUAGUAUUCAAUAUUUUUUAAUUUUAUUGAUCAUACUUUUUACAUGAUCAAAUGAUUUUUUCAAAAAAUUAUUUUCUUUUUGAUUCAAUUUCAAUUCUAUAAUUUUUUCUACUCCAGAUUUCCCCAAAACAACUGGAACUCCUAAACAUAUAUCUUUUAAUCCAUAUUCUCCUUUUAAAAAUACAGAACAUGGGAAAACACGCCUAGAAUCUUUUAAAAUAGAUUCCACUAUUUUUACGAUAGAUAUACUAGGAGCCAUCCAAGCAGAUGUUCCUAAUAAAUUUAGGAUCUGUUCUCCUCCUUUUUUAGUUUUUUCAAUUAUUUCAUCAUUUUCUUCUUCUGAUAAAAAUUCAUUAAUAGGAAUUCCUGAUAUAGAUGUGUAUCUAUAUAAAGGGACCAUUGUAUCACCAUGUCCUCCUAAUAAUAAACAUUGUAUAUCAAUAGGAGAUACAUUUAGUUUUUUAGAUAAAAAAAAACGAUAUCUAAUAGAAUCUAAUAUUCCAGCCAUACCAAUUAUACGAGAAGAAUCUACUUUUGCUGUCAUAUAACUUACGUAUGACAUCACAUCCAAUGGGUUCGAUACUAUGAUAAAUUUAGAUUUUGGAGAGAAAAAAAUAGAUUUCUUAGUUACAGUAUAAAUAAUAUCCGCAUUUUUCUUAAGAAGAUCAUCUCUAGUCAUUCCAGGACUUCUUGGGAGUCCACUAGUAAUAAUAAUAAUUUCUGAAUUUUUUGAUUGAGAAUAAUCAUUAGUAACUCCAAUUACUUCAGUAUUUGAUUCCACCAUGGGUAACAUUUGAGAUAUAUCCAAACUUUUUCCUUCCGAAAUUUUUUCUCUGAUAUCUAACAAAACAAUUUUUUUUACGAUAUUUUUUUGCGCUAAUAAACUAGCACAAGAUGCCCCCACAUUUCCUGCCCCAAUAAUAGUUAUUUUCAUUUUUUUUUAUUUAUUAUAUGCGAUGAAAAUAUUGAAUAUUGAAAGUAUUAAUGUUUUUAUUACAAUAAUAAUUGAUCAUCUUUUUUUAUUUAUAAUUAAAUUUACAACAAUCAAGAAACUGUAAAGUUAAAUACAAUUUUAUUUCUAUGAAAAAGAGUUACAUUAGGAAAAAAAAAUUUUAUCAUAGACAUAUAGGUUCAUCUUGUUAUGAAAUUAAUAAUAUGUUGAAAGAAUUAAAGUAUUCUUCUAUUAGAGAUUUUAUUAAUCAAACUGUUCCAAAAAAGAUACGUUUAAAGAAAAAAUUAAAUCUUCCCAAUUCUAUUUCGGAAUAUCAAUAUCUAAAUCAUAUUUAUAAAAUAAGUAAAAGAAAUAAAAUUUAUCGUUCUUAUAUAGGAUUAGGGUAUAAAAAUACCAUAACUCCAAGUGUAAUUCAAAGAAAUAUUUUAGAAAAUCCUAGUUGGUAUACUCCAUAUACUCCUUAUCAAUCAGAAAUAUCUCAAGGACGUCUAGAGGCUUUAAUUAAUUUUCAAACUAUGAUUUCGGAUUUAACCGGGAUGAAAAUUAGUAAUGCUUCUAUGCUAGAUGAAUCAACAGCUGCAUCUGAUGCUAUGUUUAUGAUUUAUCAAGAAAAAAUGAAAAAAAAACAAAUAGAUAAUAAUUAUUAUUUUUUUAUUUCAGACGAAAUUUUUCCACAGACUUUUUUCGUUUUAAAAACAAGAUGUUUUGGAUUAGGUAUUCGUAUUAUAAAUGACUCUCAUAAAAAUUUUAAAAAAAAAUAUAAUAAUAAAAAAAUAUUCGGAAUAAUAAUAUCUUAUCCAUCUAGUCUAGGAGAAAUAUAUGACUAUACUGAAACAGUUAAAUAUGCAAAAAAUCACAAUAUAUCAAUUAUAGUUUCUACAGAUCUUUUGUCUUUAUCUUUAUUAAAACCUCCUGGAGAAUGGGGUGCAGACGUAGUUAUAGGAUCCAGUCAAUCUUUUGGAAUUCCUAUGGGAUAUGGAGGACCUCAUGCGGCUUUUUUUUCUACUCACGAACAAUAUAAACGUUUUUUACCAGGAAGGAUUAUUGGUAUAUCUGUAGAUAAAAAAAAUAAAAAAGCUUUUCGUAUGGCUUUACAAACAAGAGAACAACAUAUUAAAAGAGAAAAAGCAACUUCUAAUAUUUGUACAGCACAAGCACUUCCUGCAGUAAUGGCUUCUAUGUAUGCUUUAUAUCAUGGAAAAAAUGGAUUAAUAGAAAUAGCAAAAUGUAUUCAUGAAUACACUAAAAAAUUAGAAUUUUUAUUGAUUAAUAAUAUCAAUUCUAUUUUUCAAGUAAAUACUUUUUACUUUGAUACUCUAAGAAUUAAAACAGAUUUUGUAAAUGAAAUUAAAAAAAUAUCAGAACGUAAAAAAACUAAUUUUAGAUAUGUUGAUAAAAAUCAUUUAACUAUUACUUUAGAUGAAACGACUUCUAAAAAAGAUAUAAAUCAUAUUCUCUCAAUUUUUUACGAAGCAUAUAAUAAAAAUAAAUAUAAAAAAAUAAAAUAUCGUAUAAAAAACACUUAUGAUGAAUAUAGAUUUCCUAGUUUUUUAAAAAGAACUUCUAAUUUUUUGAAACAUAAAAAUUUUCAUAAAUUUCAUUCAGAAAAUGAAUUAAUGCGUUAUAUCAAGAGAUUAGAAAAAAAAGAUAUUUCCUUAAUUCAUUCUAUGAUUCCACUUGGAUCAUGUACUAUGAAAUUAAAUGCUUCUUCUGAAUUAUUUUCUUUAAGUCAAAAUGAAUGGAAAAAUAUUCAUCCUUUUGUACCUAAAAAACAAGCAAUGGGAUAUUAUUUUGUUAUUCAACAAUUAAAAAAAUAUUUAAAAGAAAUUACUGGAUUUUCCGGAAUUUCUUUACAACCGAAUUCAGGCGCUCAAGGAGAAUACGCAGGUCUCAUGGUCAUAAAACAUUAUUAUCAUUCAUUAAAAGAAUAUAAAAGAAAUAUAGCAUUAAUUCCUUCUUCUUCUCAUGGAACGAAUCCUGCAUCAGCAAAUAUGGCAGGAAUGAAAGUUAUAUCAAUAGAUACUACCAGUAGUGGGGCUAUUGAUAAAAAUGAUUUAUUAAAAAAAGUUAAAGAAAAUAAAGACUUAUUAUCUGUAUUAAUGGUUACUUAUCCUUCUACUUAUGGUAUUUAUGAAAAAGAUAUUCAAGGGAUUAUUGAUAUAAUUCAUGAAAACGGAGGUCAAGUUUAUAUGGAUGGAGCUAAUAUGAAUGCCCAAGUAGGAUUAAUUAAACCUGCACAUUUAGGUAUAGAUGUUUGUCAUCUGAACCUUCAUAAAACUUUUGCAAUUCCUCAUGGAGGAGGGGGACCUGGAAUGGGCCCUAUUUGUGUAGCUUCACAUUUAAAACCUUUUCUUCCUAAUCAUCCUUUUCAAAUUCAAGAAUAUAAUAAAAAAAAUAAAAAAAUAUUAACUAUAUCCUCUUCUCCAUAUGGAUCUCCUUUAAUUUUAACAAUUCCUUAUGCUUAUAUUCGUUUAUUAGGACCAUAUGGUCUUAAAAAGUGUACAGAAAUAUCUGUAUUAAAUGCAAAUUAUAUCAAAAAAAAAUUAGAUAAAUUUUAUAACAUAUUAUAUGUGGGAGAAAAUAAUGCGGUAGCCCAUGAAUUAAUUAUAGAUUGUCGAAUUUUUAAAUAUUCUACAAAUAUAGAAGUUAUAGAUAUAGCCAAAAGAAUGAUGGAUUACGGAUAUCAUGCUCCUACUAUAUCUUUUCCUGUAGAAGGAUGUAUGAUGAUAGAACCUACAGAAAGUGAAUCUAAAGAAGAAUUAGAUCGUUUUAUCGAAACUCUUAUUAGCAUAAGAAAGGAAAUUAAGGAAAUUGAAGAUGGAAAAUUUUCAAAAAAAAAUAAUGUAUUAAAAAACGCUCCUCAUAGUAUAGAGGAUUUGACUCAAAACAAAUGGAUCUAUCCUUAUGAUAGAGAAAAAGCAGCUUAUCCUUUAUAUUGGAUUAAAGACAGAAAGUUUUGGCCAUCAGUAAAUCGUAUUGAUGAUGGAUAUGGAGAUAGAAACUUAAACUGUACAUGUAUCUAAGUAUAGAUGGAUUCUAAUUAAUUUUAGAAAGAAGAAAAUAAUAAAUAAAUAUAUAUAUAAAAGUAAGUUGUAUUUCUAUUUUCUUAAAAUGUUUUAAAUUUUGAAUAUGGUGUAAUAUGAAUAGAAUCAAAUAAAUUUCUUUCAUAUUUUAGUAAUCCUGUUAUGGCUAUCAUAGCUCCAUUAUCGGUUGUAUAUUCUUUUUUUGGUAUAAAAAUUUCGAAUUCUUUAUUUUUUUUUGAAAAAGAAAUAAAUGAAUUCCUAAUUUUAUGAUUAGCAGAUACUCCUCCUGCUAAAACUAUUCUGAAAAUACCAGUUUGUAAAAUAGCUUUUUCUAUUUUAUCUAAAAGAAUUUCUGCUAUAAUAUUUUGUAUAGAAGCGCAAAUAUCAGAUAAAUUUUUUUUUAAAAAAAAAUUAUCUCUUUUUAAUUUUUUUUUUAUAAAUUGUAAAACAUCGCUUUUGAAUCCACUAAAACUAAAAUUUAGUCCAUUUACUUUAGGUUUUGAAAAAACGAAUUUUUUUUCGUUUCCAUUUUUAGAAAAAAAGUCUACCAUAGGUCCACCAGGAUAACAAAAACCUAACAUUCUUGCUAUUUUAUCUAAAGAUUCUCCUAUAGAAUCAUCUAAAGUAGAACCCAAAACCUCCAUUUUAAAAAAAUCAUUUACUUUUAUAAUUUGAGUAUGACCACCACUCAUCACUAAACCUAAAAAUGGAAAUUCUGGAUAAGAGUUAUUGAUGUUAGAAUUUUGUAUAAAAUGGGAAAGAAUAUGAGCUUGUACAUGAUUUACAGUUAAUAAUGGAAUAUCUAACCCCAUAGAAAAAGAUUUUGCAAAAGAAGCUCCUACUAACAAAGGGCCAAUUAAUCCAGGUCCUAAAGUAAAGGAAACAGCAUCAAUUUGAUAUCGAUGAAUUUUUGCUGAAAAAAUAGCUUUUUGGACUGCUCUUGCAAUAUUUUGGUCAUGUAAUCUUGAAGCUAAUUCAGGAACUACUCCUCCAUAUUUAUUAUGAAUUUUUUGAUGAAUUAUAAUAUUAGAUAAUACUUUCCUAUUUUGAAUGAUAGAAACACCUGUAUCAUCACAUGAUGAUUCUAUUCCAAUAAUUAUCGGUUUUUUUUUCAUAAAAAAAUAUCGAUAUCUUUGAAAAUGAGAAAAAUAUUUUUUCAAGAAUUAAAAAAAAAAAAAUCCUUAUUCUACUGUUUUUAGUGUUAGGAUUACUUUUAUUUUCUAUUUAUCAUGAAAAAAAAAUAAAAGAAAAAGUUUCUACAUUUUUAUUAAAAAUUUUUUUGAAAAAAGUAAAAAAUCGUUGGAAUGAAAAAAUUAUUAUCAAACAUGCUUCUAUUAAUUUUUUAGAAAAAGAACUUAUUUUACACGAUGUAAAAAUAUUAGACCAUCAUUAUUUUUCUUUCAUUCGUUUAUCUAAAUGUAAAAUAUCUAUUGAUAAUUUACUUUAUUUUAUUUUUAUAAAUUCAGAUUCUUUAAGAAUAAAGAAUAUUUUCAUUGAAAAUUCCUAUUUUUUUAUAAAAAAAUAUUUUAAAGAAAAAGAAAAUAAUAUUAUUUUUUUCAUUAGAGAUUUUUUGAUUCAUAAAAAAUUAAAUAAAUUUCAUAAUAAUUAUAUUACCUGUUCUAAAUUAAUAAUCAAUAAAUCUUACUUAGAAUACCAAAAUAAAAAUAAAAGUUUUAAUAGAAAAAUUUUUCAAAAAAAUUUUUAUAGUUGUAUAAAAAACAUUCGAAUUGAUAAUCAAAAAAUAAAAGCUUCUAUUUUAUCUUUUCAAUCUGAUAAGUAUUUUAUAAAAGUAAAAGAAAAUAAAAUUCCUUUUAUUAUAAAACAUUUGUCUUGUGAUUUAAUAUAUUAUUUUUUUAUUUCAAAACUAAAAGGAAAAAACAUUUUUAUAAAAACAUCCAAUAGUUUAUUAAAAGGAAAUUUUAUUUUUUUUCAAAAUCCAAAAAAAAAUAAAAAAUUUUCUACAGAAAAAAACAUACAAUGUCAAAUUUUAGAAGGAUCAAAAUUAGGUUCAGAUUUAGGUAUUUUGUUUUAUAAAAAAUGGAAUUCUUAUUCAAGAAUAUUUAUUAAAGGAACUGUUCACGGGGAGUUUAAUCCUGAAAAAAACAAAUUUUUUCUUUACAAUAUUUCGAUAAAAGAAUCAGAAAAAAAUAAAUUAAUCGCAAAUCAAAUUCAUAUUAUUUAUAAUUCAAAAAAAGAAUGGAAAAAAAUCAAAUUUUUUAAAAUUCUUUUUAAAAUUCAUCCUCAUUAUAAUAAAAGAACAAUUUUAUCCAGUUUGAGUUCUAAAUUUAAACUAGAUAAAAUAUUUCUUAGUUUGAAAAAUCCUAUUAUUUAUAAAGGAGAUUUAUUAUUAUCCUCAUUUGAAAAUGAUAAAAAAAAUUUAAAAAUAAAAGGAACCAUUCAAAACCGUUUUUUUGCAGUUAAAAUACUGACUGAUAUUUAUUUUUUUAAUAAACGAUAUACAGGUCAAAUUUUUAUAGAUAAAAAAUACCUUUUUUUAAAAAAAAAAAAUUCUUUAGAAGAAAAUAAAAUACAAUUUUUAAAUAGUUUAUCAAACUUAUCUAUUCUAAAUUUUAAAGAAAAAUUUUAUAAUUAUUUUAUAACUAUACUACUUUCUCAUUCAAAAUAUAAAAUCCUUUUUACAGGAAAAAAAUUUAAAAAUAUUCAAAAAGCAUAUAUAAAUAUAACAUAUAAUAAUAAAAAAAAAACUAAUAGAAAUAUUAAAAUAAUAUUUAUUAAUAAUAAUAAGGAACAUCCUUUUCAAAAAAUAAAAAUAAAUAUUCAUGAUAUGAUCAUUGGUCAUAUUUAUGAGUCUAUGGAUUUAAAAAAUUUAUUCAAUUUUUUUUGUUUAAAAAAUUCAUAUAAAAAAGAAACCAAAUAUUUUAGAUUUAAUUUUUUGAUUAAAAAAUAUUUUUUUGAUUUUAUAAAAAACAAAAAUAAAUUUUCUGAUAUUCAAAUUUCAGGAGAAAAAAAAGAUAAUAUAUUUAGAAUGAUUUUCUAUACAAAAUUUAUACAAUUCAACAAUAUUUUUUUUAAUCAAUUUUUCCUAAGAAUAGAUUCUUCUUUGAAAAAAAAAUUAAAGAUUCAUAUAGAAAAAAUUAUUUAUAAAAAAUUUUUUUCAAAAAAAAUAAAUAUAUCCGUUUUCAAUCCAAAAAACUUGUGGAUAAUAAAUUCUAAGUUCCUUUUCAAAAGAAAAGGACAAGAAUACGAAGAACAAGUAUUAAAUUUUUUUUGUAAAAAAGAAGAAAAAUAUUUGAUAAUAUGUAAACCUUUUUUUUCUAAAUUAAAUAUAAACGGAUAUAAUUGGUUAAUUGAUUCUAAUAACAACCCUAAUAACAACUUAGGAUUUAUUAAAAUUGAUUUAAUCCAUCAAAAAUACAUUAUUAAUAAUAUUGUUUUUUAUUCCGAUAAUCAAAAAAUUAUUAUUAAUGCAAAUUAUUUUAAAAACAAACAGAAAAUAUUUCAAUUUUAUCUAAAGAAUCUACAAUUAAAAAAAAUCAUAUUUAACAAAAAUAUAGAUGGAUUAGCAAAUGGUUUUUUUUAUUGGAAAAAUGUUUAUAACCAAAUUGAACCUAACAUUAAUAUAAAUUUUCAAAAUUUUUCAAUUGGAAAGAAAAUUUUGGGAAAUUUUUCUAUUUUUUCUUCAAAGAAGAACGAAAAAUAUUAUGAAAUAAAUGGAUUUCUUAGGAAGAAUUCUUAUGAUAUUUUAAAAGUAUUUGGAUUUAUUAAAAAUGAAUCAAAAAAUCAAAAUAAACUUAAUUUGAAUAUCAUUAUUCAAAACCUGAAAAUAAAUAAUUUUUCUUUUUAUUUAAAAAAAAUAAAUAGUAAAGUAAGAGGGACUAUAAAAGGAAAAAUACAAAUUUUUGGUCAUUUGAAUGAUCCUCAUUUUUUAGGAAAAUUAGAAAUCCAAAAAUUUGGAAUCAUAGUAAAUUCUGCAAACACAAAUUAUGAAAUCAUUAAUCCCGCGUAUAUUAACAUUUUUUCUGAGUUUUGUACAUUAUCUAAUUCUUGUUUCGUAGAUACUAAAUAUAAUACAAAAGGUUAUAUCAAUGGUUUCUUUUUACAUAAAAACCUUAUUCAAUGGAACUUAAUAAAGUUAUCUAUUAAUACAAAAAGAUUGAUUGUUUUAGAUUUAAAAAAAAAACAAAAUAAUUUUUUAUUCGGGAAAAUAUUUACUCAUGGAAAAAUUCAAAUAACAAAAAAAGAAAAUCAGACUCUGAUUUCUAUGAAAAAUGGAAGAAUUUUAAAUUCUUCUCAUCUAUACAUUAACUAUAAAUCUAAAAUAUUAGAAAAUCGAAAAAAAGAUGUGUCUAAAAUAAAAUUAAACGAUUUUAAAAAAUUCAAAAAAAGAGAAGAAAAUAAUUCUUUAUUAAUAGAUAUAAAUACAACUAUCGAUAAAAAUACAAAACUUUCAAUACUUUUAAAUAAAAUUUAUUCUAUUGAAUUUAUAGGAGAUGGUUUUUUCUUAAUAAAAAAAACAUUAAAAAAAAAUAUAAAAACUAGUGGUAGCUAUUUUGUAAAAAAUGGAUUUUAUAGUUUUCAUUAUAAUAAGAAAAAUAAAAUUCCAAUCAAAUUAAAAAAAACAUUUAAAAUAAAAACAAGAGGUUCUAUUUCUUGGAUAAAUAACUUUGAUCAAUCUAAUAUUGAUCUUAUAGCUAGUAAGACUAAAUAUGCAUAUAAUAUUAUUGAAUAUAUAGGAAAUUUUUUCUUCGAAAAAAAUACAAAAAAUAUGAUUCUUACAGAAUUAAGAAUUUAUAUCUAUGGUAAAAUAAAAAAACCAAAUAUCUAUAUGGAUAUUCUACUUCCUGAUAGUAAGGAAAAUAUACAAAAAAAAUUAUCAGAAAAAUUAAAAAAUGAUGAAGAAAAAACAAUGCAAUUUAUAUCUAUUUUAGUUUUAGGAAAAUUUAUACCAAAAAAAAAUUUUUUUUAUUUUUUUAUAUAUAAAUUUUUUUUGAAUAAAUUGAAAGACUCAUUAUUAAAUAAUGAAUAAAUAGUCCUAUUAAAAUAAAAAAUAAAAAAAUUAUAGAAAAAAUUCUAAUCUUAGAUCAAAAAAUUAUAAUAUUUAUAAUUAACUAAAAAUUCUUCAAAAGAAAGUUUUGUAUCUUGAUAUUUAAAUACCUUUAUUCAAGAAAAUUGAUAGAAAAUAAAAACAUAAAAUAAUGAUUCUAAGAUAUAAUACAGACGAAAUUGACAAUACUAUUGUUAGAAAAUUAAAUAUAAACGCUAGAACCUCCUAUACUGAAAUUAGUAAACAAAUCAGUAAAGAAAUAAAACCAUUAUCAGUUGGAACGAUUCAUGUGAGAGUAAAAAAAUUAGAAGAUGCAGGAAUUAUAAAGGGAAGUACUUUAAUUAUAGGAUACGAAUCAUUAGGGUUUCAUUUAAUAGCUUUUGUAGGAAUUUUAUCGGAUUCUCAUGAAUCUAAAUUAGUAAAAGAAGAAUUAAAAAAAAUACCGAAUAUAGUACAACUUUAUAUCACUUCAGGAAAAUAUAAUUUAUUUUGCAGAAUUAUUGCUAAAAACCCUUUAGAUGCAAGAGAUGUAAUUUCUAAAAUAGGAGAAAUUAAAGGAGUACUCAGAACAGAAUCGACUAUUUGUUUAGAAGAAAGUAUUAAUGAUGAAAAUAGAUUAUUAUCCAAUAUUUUACAAAAUAAUAAAAUACCUUCUUAUUAUAAAAAAAAGACAUUACAAUAAAUAAUAUAAUUGGACCUUUCUAUUCUUUAUCAUUUAUAUAUAUAUAUGUUUCUUUUUUUUACUUUAAAAGGUAAAAUUUUCUAUAUAAAAAAGGGAUAUAAAUCCAAUUUUAUUUAAAAAAUGGUUAAUUUUUUCCAUAAUAAAAAUGUUGUAUAUAAAAUUUUAAUCAUUGUAAUUUUAUCGUUUACAUUUUUUUCUAAAAAAAGAUAAAAAAAUAGAUUCCAAUUUCAUCCAAAAAAAAUUAUCACAUAAUAUAUUUUAGAAUUAAUACUUAAUACUACACCUAGUUUUUUUUGAAAAAAAUUUAAUAUAUAAAAAAAUAAAAUAUUUCCUUUACAAAAGAAAAUAAUAUUAUUAAUAUCAAUAGUAAUGAAAUUAUCAGAAAAAAAUCCAAAUUUCAUUUUAUUUUAAAAAAAAAUAUAAAAGUAGGACAUGAAAUAAAAAAAUAUUAUUGUCUUAUUAUAGGUUAUUUUUUUAUUAUAAUUUUUACUUUAUUUAUUUAAUAUUUAUACUAUGUAUUUUUUAUUUUGAAAUCAAAAUAUUUAAAAGCAAUAAAAAAAUUAAUUUUUUAAUUAUAUAUUAUUUUUUAUUACCACUUUAGUAUUAAAAUAAAAUAUUAUAACUCCAAUUUUGGAACCUUUCCAUCCGGAAAUAAAUGGUCUUUUUUCAAUUCUAAUUUUAGUAUUUUUAUUCAUCAGUUUAUUUACUUUAAUCUAUAAAGGAUAGUUAAAAAAAAUUUCAUGCAUACUUUUUAUUUAUUUUUCUUAGUGGAUUUUUGACUUUAUUUAUUCGUAUAUUAAUAUUUUCUUUUGAAAAAUUAUAAAAUUCAACUUCAGAUAUUUCGUUCUUAAAAUUAUCUAAACCCAAUACUCUUAUCUUUAUUAAGAUUAUUUUCUGAAAAAAAUACCAGGUACUUUACGACAUAUUUUAACAGUUUCAAAUAUAGUAUAAGAACCUUCUGUUACACAAUUGGCGUUAGUUCGUUGUUAACAAAAAAUUAGGAUUAAUUUAUCAUGAUAUAGAAAAAAUAAAAAAUUCUAAUUUUUUCAUUGAAAAUAAAAAAAACAUCAGUUCAAUCCUCAUAAAAAAUUAAGUACAAAAAAAGUGCUAAAAUUAUUUUAAAACAUGUAAUCCAAUAGGAGCUAAACUAUAGCAAAAAAAAAUAUCAUUUACCUGAUCUCCUAUUGCUGAUUUUAUACAUUUCUAUCAUAGAAAUAGUAUUGUUUUUUAUAAAAAAUAAAAAAAGAUAAAUCUAAAUUUAAAAGUAGAUAAAAAAAUUUCAAUAUUUUAGUUCUAAACUAUUUCCAAAAAAAACAAGUAUUGUAAUGAUAACUGAUUCUACAAAAUCAUCUUCAAAAAGUAUAAAAAAUACAUCAACUUAAAAUUUUGAAAAAUUAGUAAAAAAUAUAAUUGAACAAAAAAAAAUAGAAAAUCAAUCUUUAAAUGAAGAUAUUACUAUAAAAAAACAGUAAAAAAUAAAAUAAGUUCUAAAAAAGAAAUUAAAAAAUAUUUAUCAUACUAAAUAAAAUAGUACAUUAUAAUUCUCAAUUCAUAUAUGAUAAUGAAAUAAAUAGAAAAUAAAUUAUUUGGUUAUUUAAUAGAUCUAUUUUAGAUUUGUAUUUUUUUGGAGAAUUGCCGGAGUGGUUAACGGAACAGUUUGCUAAACUGUCGGUGUAUAAACACUGCGUGGGUUCGAAUCCCACAUUCUCCGUUAUAUAAAAAAACGGGUAAAAAAACGGGGUAUAGCGUAGUUUGGUUAUCGCGCCUGGUUUGGGACCAGGAGAUCGUAGGUUCAAAUCCUGCUACCCCGAUAUUUUUAUUUUAUUAUAAUAUUAUUAUAAGAUCACGUAGCUCAAAUGGAUAGAGCUACUGCCUUCUAAGCAGUAGGUUGCAGGUUCGAGUCCUGUCGUGAUCAUUUUUUUCCUUCUAAUACUUCAUCUAUCAUACCGUAUUUUUUUGCUUCUAUAGAGUCCAUCCAAUAGUCUCUAUCUGAAUCUUUUUCUAUUUUUUCAAUAGGUAAACCUGAAUGUUUCGAUAUAAUUUCAUAAAGUUCUUUUUUCAAUUUUAAAAUUUCACGAACUGUUAUUUCAAUAUCUGAAGCUUGUCCUUGUGUUGAUCCUAUAGGUUGAUGAAUCAUUAUUCUAGAAUGUUUCAAUGCAGAUCUUUUAUUUUUUACUCCUGCACAAAGUAAAACAGCAGCCAUAGAUGCAGCCAUUCCAGUGCAAAUAGUUGCUACAUCUGGUUUUAUAAUUUGCAUUGUAUCAUAUAUACCCAAUCCAGCAUAAACAUCUCCUCCUGGAGAAUUAAUAUAUAUUUGUAUAUCCUUUAUAGAAUCAACAGAUUGUAAAAACAAUAACUGAGCUUGCACUAUAUUUGCGACUUGGUCUUCUAUUGAAGUUCCUAAAAAAAUAACGCGAUCCAUCAUUAAACGAGAAAAAACAUCCAUUUGAGCUAUAUUUAAUUUUCUUUCUUCAACAAUAUAGGGAGUCAUAAAUUUAAUGUAAUCGCUCAUUGCUAAACUACUAAUUUUUUUAUGCUUCCUUGCGUAUAGCAUAAACUCUUUUGAGUUUCUAUGAUUAUCCAUUUUUUUUAUAUUGAAAAUUUCAUCAAAGUUACUUUCUUAUAUAUAAAAUUUUAUUAAAAAAAUUUAUACAUGCAUAAAAAAUACAGAAAUUAUAAAUUUUUAAUCUAAAAAAAUAUUGAAUUUGUAUAAAAAAUUAGCAAUACAAACGAUUAUAUAUUCGAUAGGAUUUGCACUUCCUAAAAUUAUAAAUUAUGUUUUUUUGAAAUUUUUUACUAUUGUUUUUAAAAGAGAAGAAUUUUCUCUUUAUACAGAUAUGUAUGCGUUAUCUUUCAUAGUUAUAGGCUUUCUUUCUUUUGGUUUAGAAAAUACCUAUUUUAGAUUUUUAUAUAAGAAAAAUUGUAACAAAGAGAUUGUUUUUUCAACAGGAGUGAUAAUACAAUUGUUAAUUAGUUCUUUCUUUUUGAUAAUUUCUAUAUUUUUAACAAAAAAUUUAUCUUCUAUUGCUGGAUAUUAUCAUCAUCCAGAAUAUUUUUUAAUGUUUUUUUUAAUUAUUUUUUUCGAUACAAUUUGUAUUCUUCCUAUGGCUUGGCUUCGUGUAAAUGAUAAACCUAUACAAUAUUCCAUAAUAAAUAUUGUAAAUGUAUUGGUACAAUCAUUUUUAAUAAUAUUUUUAUUUCUCUAUAGUAAAAACUCUUUAUUUUUUUCUAUUUUUUUUAUGAGAUGGAUUAAUUCUUUUACAGAUAAAAUAGGUUAUAUAUUUUUUGCAAACAUGAUUUCUUCUUUAAUCAAUUUAUUUCUAAUUUUUCCUAUUUUUUUAAAAAAAGUAACUAUAAAAAAAUUUAAUAAAGAUCUUGCUAUAAAAAUGUUAAGUUAUGGUAUUCCUAUUAUGAUAGGAACAAUUUCUUUUUCUAUCAAUGAAAAUUUAGAUAAAAUUUUGAUUAAAAGAUGUAUUUCAGAUGAAAUUAAUGGAGCUUAUUCCGCUUGCUACAAAAUUGCCUCUUUCAUGAGUUUAUAUAUUAAGGUUUUUAGAUUAGGAAUUGAACCCUUUUUUUUUAAAAAAUCCAAAGAUUCCGAUGCAAUAUAUUAUUAUGAAGAAAUCAUUUAUAUAUUUAUUUUAUUUGGAUUAAUUUUUUAUGUAUUAAUAUGCGGAAAUAUUAACAUGUUUAUGAGGUUUUUAAUUGAAAAAAAAUAUCAUAUAGCUAUUCCUAUUAUUCCCAUAAUAAUGAUGGGAAAUCUUUUUUUGGGAAUUUAUACUAAUUUAUCCAUAUUUUAUAAAAUAAUAGAUAAACCCAUUAUUGGAACUUAUAUAUCGUUAAUCGGAAUGUUGAUCACUUUUUUGUUUAAUGUUAUUUUUAUUUUUAUUUCUACUAAUAAUAGUUUUAUGAUUCCGGCUUGGGGGACUUUUACAUCUUAUGGAUCUAUGCUUAUAGUUUUAUACAUUUGGGGAAAAAAAUUUUUUUUACAAUUUUGUAAUAAAAAAAUUACAAAUAUUAUAAUACAUUUUAUAUUUGCACUUUUUAUUGUUUUUAUGAUAAAAAGAGAAAUAAAAUUGAAUUUUUUAUUACAAAUAUUAUAUCUAAUAAUUAUUCUUUUUUUAGAAAGAAAUAGAUUGAAAAAUUUAAUAAAAUAAAAUAAAAUAAAUUUUGCGUAAAAAAAUGUAUCAAUCCACUUUAAUUUCCAAUAUUAAAAAAUCUAUUUCCAUUAAUUUUUUGGAAAGAAAGUUGAUUUCAACUGGUAUUUUUUUUAUUUACGAAAAUACUAAAUACUCUUUUUUUUUAAAGAAAAAAAUGAUAAAAACUGUUUGUAUCAUUCAUAUUACGAAAAAUAAGAAGAAACACUUCUUUUAUGAUGAAAUUCAAAUUAUUAUAAUCAAUGUUUUUCCUGAAAAAAAUAUAAUAAUUGAACCUAAUAAUAAAAUAGGAGUAUUAGGUGUUGUUAAACAUGUAAAAAUAAAAUGGAAAAAGUGUUCUAUUUUAAAUAUAAGUAUGAGAGGAGAUAAUAGUUUUGGAAGUACUGGAAUAUUAUAACAUAAAAUAAAUAAAAUGAUAUGAAAAUUAUAAUUCCUAUGGCUGGAAAAGGAUCGAGACUUUUUCCACAUACUUUAAAUACUCCUAAAUCAUUGAUAUCUAUUGCAGGAAAAACAAUUUUGAAAAGACUUUUGGAAAGUUUAUCAAAAAUUAUUCAAGUUUUUUCUAUACAAGAAAUUAUUUUUAUUUUAAAAAAUUUUGAAAAUGAAAUAGUAGAAAAACAAUUAAUUAAACUCUCUUAUGAGAUGAAUAUUCAUCCUGUUAUAUACUACCAAAUAAAACCUCUUGGAACUGCAGAUGCUUUGUUAAAAGCUAAAAAUUCUUUAACAGGAGAACCAGUACUUAUUGCCUUUUCUGAUUCUUUAUUUUAUCAUAAUUUUUUUGAUAAAGAAAUUACUACUCACCAAGUAGAUAACAUUAUAUGGACCAAAAAAGUUAAAAAUCCUCAUUUAUUUGGUAUUGUAAAACAUGAUUCCUCAGGGAUUAUUACUCAUUUUAUAGAAAAACCAAAUAAUUAUAUAUCAAAUCUUGCUAUUGUUGGUCUUUAUUAUUUUAAAAAUAGUUUUUUUUUAAAAAAAGAAUUACAAUUUUUAUUAGAUCAUAAUAUUAAGAAUGAACAAGAAGAAUAUCAAUUAACGUCGGUUUUAGAAAGUAUGAGAAAAAAAGGAGAAAAAUUCAUUAUUAAACAAAUUAAAGAAUGGAUGGAUUUUGGAAAUCAAAAAGGGAUUAUUUAUUCGAAUUCCAAAAUAUUAUCUAUUGAAUCUAAAAAUUCAGAAUUAAUUCAUAAAAAAGUUAUUAUAAAAAACAGUUUAAUUAUAAAUCCUUGUUCAAUCGAAGAAAAUACAAAUAUUGAAAAUAGCAUUAUAGGUCCUUAUGUUUCAAUAGGAAAAUUCACAAAAAUAAAAAAUAGUAAGAUUAAAAAAUCUAUAAUUCAAAAUUAUACAAUCAUUCAACAUGCUAAUUUAAAUCAUUCAAUAAUAGGGAACCAUUCUAUUUAUAUAGGAGAAAAAGAAAGAAAAGUAAAUUUGAGUGAUUACUCCGUUUUCAAAUAAUAUAAAAUUAAAAAUCCAUAAUUUUUUUUAUAUUUGAAAUAAAAUUCCAUGUACAUGGAUUUUGUUUCUAUUUUUUCUAUACCACUUGGUACUUUUGGAACCACAGAAAUCGUGGUUAUUGUCAUUCUUGCACUUUUACUAUUUGGAGGUAAAAAAAUUCCUGAAUUAAUGAGGGGAUUGGGGACCGGAUUGAAAGAAUUUAAAAAAGCUUCUGAAGAAGAAAAAGAAGAAAAAAAUUCAGAUUCAAUAGUUAAAAAAGAAAAAGAAUAAGAGAUUUACAUUCAUUUUUUUUGAUUAAAUCUAUUCUUUUUUUUUCUAUUUCUUUUCUAAAAAAUUUUUAGAAACUAAUCAAACUCAUCAAAUAAAUAAUGGAAACGAAAAAAAUAAGAAAUAUUAUGUUUUUUGUAUUCAUCUUAAAAAGUUUGUUUAUUCAAACAAUAUCAGAACCAUUUUUAAAACAAAAAAAUACAAUUAACUUUCAUAAAAACACUAAUAAUAAUCCAAAAUUAGAUUUUAUAUAUACAGAAAAAUUAUGGAAUAAAAUGUCAGGAUGGAAAAAAAAAACUUUAUCUGGAAAAAAAAUUUCUCAUAAAAAAAAAAAUAACGUUAAUACUAAUACUGUUAUUAUUAAUAUUAAUAUGGAAGAAUUGAAACGAAGAUUAAAUUUUCUAAAUCAGAGAUCUCAAAUUAAAAUACUAAAAUAUAAUAGUAUUGUACAUGCGUCUGUAGAAAGUUAUCUUCGUAUGAGUAAAUAUAUAGAAAAAAUUAUUUCAUUAUCAGAUUUUUAUUUUCCUAUGUUUGAAGAAAAACUUGAAAAACAUCAUCUUCCAAAAGAAUUAAAAUAUUUAGCUAUUGUAGAAUCUAGUUUAAAUCCUGUUGUAACUUCUAAAGCAGGAGCAAAAGGGAUUUGGCAAUUUAUGCCAGAAACUGGAAAAAUAUAUAAUCUUGAUAUUAAUCAUAUUUAUGAUGAAAGAAAUGACCCUAUUAAAUCUACAGAAGCAGCUUGUCGAUAUUUAAAAUUUUUAUAUAAAAAAAUAGGAAACUGGGAACUCGUCUUAGCUGCUUACAAUGCGGGACCUAAAACAGUCGAUAAAAUACUACAACGUUAUAGUUCUAAAAAUAGAAAUAAAUUUUGGGAAUUAUGGGAAUUUUUUCCAAAAGAAACUCAAAAUUACAUUCCAAAAUUUAUUGCCAUAAAUUAUGUAAUGAAUUAUUAUAAAGAACAUAAUAUUUAUAAACAUUAUUCUUAUUUUAAAUAUAAAUACAAAGAAACAAUGUUAAUUCCUAUUAAGCAUAAAAUUUCAUUGAAAUUUUAUGCUUGUAAUUUAAAUAUUUUUUAUCGAGAUUUAAUUUUUCUUAAUCCAAAAUAUCUUGUAGAUCUUAUUCCUUCAGGAAAUAAAUUAAGAUUACCAAUAAAUAAAAUCUUAUUUCUUAAUAAUAAGAAAAGAUUUCUCUUGAAAAAAAAUCCAUAAAAAUUAAUUGUUUUCAUAAUAUUUAUAUCCAAAUAAUAAAAAACAUAUUUAUAUGUAUUAUGAAUUAAAUUAAUUUCUUAAAUGAAAAAUUUAUUUCAAAACUAUGAACGAAAAAAUUGAACGAAAAAGAAAAUCUUUACAACUUGUAUUGGAAAAAAUGGAUAAAAUAUAUGGAAAGGGAACUGUAAUGCAAAUGGGAGAUUCUCAUAUAAAAAAUUUAGAAGUUAUUUCUUCUGGUUCUUUAAGUUUAGAUAUUGCUUUAGGAAUAAAAGGAUUUCCAAAAGGUCGUAUUAUUGAAAUAUUUGGUCCGGAAUCUUCUGGAAAAACUACUUUAGCUUUACAUGCUAUAAAUCAAUCUCAAAAAUUAGGAGGAUUUGCUAGUUUUAUUGACGCAGAACACGCUUUUGAUCGUAUUUAUGCUAAAAAAAUAGGAGUAAAUAUAAAAGAAUUAAUUAUAUCUCAACCAGAUAAUGGAGAACAAGCACUAGAAAUUGUGGAUAAAUUAAUUAGAUCUGAUGUUAUUGAUAUGAUAGUAGUUGAUUCUGUAGCAGCUUUAACACCUAAAAGUGAAAUAGAAGGAGAAAUGGGUGAUUCUAAAAUCGGAUUACAAGCAAGAUUAAUGUCUCAAGCUUUGAGAAAGCUAACUUCUAGUAUAGGAAAAUCUAAAAGUAUAUUGAUAUUUAUUAAUCAACUAAGAGAAAAAAUAGGAGUUUAUGGAAAUCCAGAAGUCACAACAGGGGGAAAUGCUUUAAAAUUUUAUUCUUCAAUACGAUUAGAUAUCCGAAAAGGGGUUCAAAUUAAAAAUGGAGAAAAAAUAUUAGGAAAUAGAACAAAAGUAAAAGUAGUGAAAAAUAAAUUAUCUCCUCCUUUUAGAACUGCUGAAUUUGAUAUUAUGUACGGAGAAGGUAUUUCAAAAAUUGGAGAAAUUUUAGAUAUAGGAAUAGAUUUAGGAAUCCUUAAAAAAAAUUCUUCUUGGUUUAGUUAUGGAGAUCUUAAAUUAGGUCAAGGAAGAGAUUCUGUAAAAGAAUUUUUAAAAAAAAAAGAAAAUAUUAUAAAUGAAAUACAAAAAAAUAUAUAUAAAAAUAUAUGAAAAUCACUUUUUUAGGAACUGGAACAUCUCAGGGAAUUCCUGUUAUUGGAUCUAAACAUCCGGUAUGUUUAUCGAAAAAUUAUAAAGAUAAAAGAUUAAGAAGUUCUAUUCUCAUUGAAAAAAAUCAAAAAUUUUUUUUAAUUGAUUGUGGACCAGAUUUUCGUUAUCAAAUGAUAAGAAAUAAUUACGAAAAAUUGGAUGCUAUUUUCAUAACACAUGAACAUCAAGAUCAUAUAGGAGGAUUAGACGAUAUAAGACCUAUCAAUAAUAUGAAUCAAUUAACUAUUCCUAUUUAUGGAUUACAUAGAGCAAUAGAAAAUUUAAAAAAAAGAUUUUUUCAUCUUUUUUCGAAAAACAAAAAACCAAAUACUUCAAAAAUUUCUGUCCAUGAAUUAGAUAAUUAUAACAAAUUUUUUUUUGUAGAAAAUUCUAAAAUUAUUCCUUUAUUCAUAUGGCAUGGAGAUCUUCCUAUUUUAGGAUUUCGUAUAGAAAAUUUUGCGUAUAUCACAGAUGCUAGUAGUAUUCCUAUUCAAACAAUAGAAAAAUUAAAAGGAAUUAACAUAUUAGUAUUAAAUAUACUUAGAAAAGUAGUAAAAAAUUCUUUUCCUUUCUUACUUUCUGAAACUUUGAAUGUUAUUCAAAAAAUUCGUCCUAAAAAAACUUAUUUAACGCACAUCAGCCAUACAUUUGGAUUCCAUGAAAAAAUUGAAACACAAUUACCUAAAAAUGUACAUUUAGCUUAUGAUCAAUUAAUUAUACAUGAAUAAAUAAAAAAACCUAUAUAAUAAAGUAAAAUUCUAUAUUAAAAAAUACGGGUAGAUGCAAAAAAUAAAAAAAAUACUUUUUUCCACAAAAGUUACUUCUUUCUUAUUCUUAUCAUUCGCUUUAUCUAUGGCUAUAGCUACUUUUAUAGAAAAAAAAUAUACUACAGAUGUAGCAAAAAUAUUUAUUUACGAAUCUACUUGGUUUGAAAUUCUUUUAUUACUUAUCAUAAUAAAUCUAAUAGGAAAUAUAUGGAAAUAUAAAUUAUGGAAUUACAAUAAAAUCCCUCUAUUCAUCUUUCAUUUUUCAUUUAUAUUCAUUUUUAUUGGAGGUCUUUUUUCUAGAUAUUUUAAUUUUGAAGGUACAAUGUCUAUAAGAGAAGGAGAAAUAAAUGGAAAAAUACUUUCUAACAAAAGUUAUAUAAAAUUAAAAGUAAAUCAAGGAUCUAACAUUAGAUAUUAUCAUGAUCCUUAUAUUUUCUCUUAUUUUCAUCAUAAUAAAUAUAAAGGAGUAUUUUUUUUUAAAAAAAAACCUUUUAAAGUUAAAGUUAUAGAUUAUAUACCAUGUGCAAAGAUUUUUUUAUCAAAAAAAAAUCCAGAAGAAAAAAUUAUAAAAAUAGUUUCAACAAAUCAAAAAGAAAGAACAGAACAUUUUAUUAAAAAUGGAGAAAUUAUAAAUAUAAAUGGAGUUUUAUUUUCUUUUAAUAAAAGAAUUCCUUUUGGAAUUGUAAUUUUGGAAAAAAAUCAUAAGAUUUAUAUAAAAUCAUCUUUUUCAGGUAGAAGCAUCAAUAUGAUAAAUAGAAAGGUUAGUUUUUUUUCAAAAAAAAUUGAUCAUAUAUUAAAAUUUAAUCAUUUAUAUCAAAUUAAAAUCCAUAAAAAUUAUAAAACUAUACAAUGGGUUAUCCCUGAAGGGGUCAUUAAAGGAAAAUUAAAAUAUGUAAAAUCAUGUGAUUAUGAAGAAAAUAAUAAAUUAAGUGCUAUUACGGCAAUAAUAUCAUUUCAAAAUCAAUCCAAAUUAGUUACAUUUUUAGGAGGAAAAAAUGCAACAAACAUGAGUUCUCCUUUAUUUUUUAAGGAUUAUAAAAUAUCCAUUGGAUAUGGCUCAAUUUUUUUUAAUCUUCCUUUUUUCAUAAAAUUAAAAAAAUUCAGAUUGGAAAACUAUCCAGGUUCUGAGUUUCCAUCUACUUUUACAAGUUAUGUUACAUUAAUAGAUAAAAAUAUUAAAAAAAACUAUUUCAUUUAUAUGAAUCAUGUUUUGAAUUAUAAAGGAUUUCGAUUUUUUCAAUCUGGAUACGAUCCAGAUGGAAAAGGGACUCAUUUUUCUGUUAAUAACGAUUAUUUAGGUACUUAUUUUUCCUAUAUUGGUUAUAUUUUUAUGAGUAUAGGUAUGUUUUUAACUUUAUUUUGGAAAGGAACUAGAUUUAAUUAUCUCAGAAAAAAACUAAAAUAUUUAUCUCAUAAAAAUUUUUCAUUAUUAUUGUUCAUUGUAUUUUAUUUUCUAGGGAAUAUACAGAAUUCUGUUUUUUCUCAAAAAAAACAAGAAUUCAAAAAUAUUCCUUUAGAAAAUAUUUUUGAUGCAAUUCAUAUUUCUAAAAAACAUGGAGAUAACUUUGGCCGGUUAUUAGUACAAGAUCAAAAAGGAAGAAUUAAACCUAUUAACACAAUUGCUAUUGAAUUACUUAGAAAAGUACAUAAAAAAGAUUCCAUAGGAAACUUAGAUGCAAAUCAAUGGUUUAUAUCAAUACAUCAAGAUAAUAUUUUUUGGGCAAAAAUUCCUUUUAUUAAAGUUGAUAAAAAAGGCGGACAUAAAUUCUUAAAUAAAAUAAAAGCAAAUCUACAAUAUUAUGUUUCUCUUAUGGACCUAUAUAUCAUAGACCCAAAAACUUCAAAACUAAAAUUUCUUCUUCAAGAAGAUUAUGAACGAGCUUUUUCUAAAAAUCCUUUUCAAAGAGAUGAAUAUGAUAAAGCAGUAUUGAAUCUUAGUGAACGUAUAGGAAUAAUACAUGAAAUUUUUCAAGGAAAAUAUAUUCGUAUUUUUCCUAUUCCUCAUGAUAUCAAUCAAACUUGGUCAAGUUGGAUUUCCAAUUCAAAUAAAUUAAAUCCCUUAGGGUUAUCCAUGUUUAGUAAUUAUCUUAAAUCUUUAUUAUUUUCUCAAAAUGAAAAAAAUUGGAAUCUUGCAGAUAAAGAAAUCCAAAAAAUACGAUUAUACCAAAUUAAGCACGCAAAGUCUAUUUUACCUUCAGAAAAUAAAAUAUCUGUAGAAAUCCUUUAUAAUAAAUUAAAUAUAUUUUAUGUACUAUCUUUUAUAUAUUUUUUCUUUGGGAUCAUUCUUAUUUUCCAUUCUUUCUUAAAUAUUUUUUUUAAAAAAAAAUAUACAUACAUAUCUAAAACAUUUAUUUUUAUUUUAUUUAUUUUAUUUAUCCUAAAUUUUUUUGGAUUAGUCACAAGAUGGUAUAUCUCUGGGCACGCUCCAUGGACUAAUGGAUAUGAAUCUGCUAUUUUCAUUAGUUGGUGUUUGAUCGGAAUCAAUUUUUUAUUUUAUAAAAAUCAAUUUGUUUCAGGAAUCACAACUUUAAUUUCUUCCAUUUUACUGAUGAUUGCACAUCAUGGAAAUGUUAUGGAUCCAGAAAUAACAAAUUUAGUACCUGUAUUAAAAUCUCAUUGGUUGAUUAUACAUGUAGCAACAAUUACAUCAAGUUAUGGUUUUUUUUUAACAGGAUCAUUUUUAGGUUUUUUAGUCUUGAUUUUUUUUAUAUUAAAAGCAUGUUUUCAUAAACAUAGUGAAAUCAUUCAUUUUCACAUUGAAAAACUAACUAUUAUUAAUGAAAUGUGUUUGACGAUAGGGCUUUUUUUAUUAACUAUAGGAACUUUUUUAGGUUCUGUAUGGGCUAAUAAUAGUUGGGGACGUUAUUGGAGUUGGGAUCCUAAAGAAACUUGGGCUUUGAUUAGCAUAAUGAUUUAUGCUUUUGUAUUACAUAUACGAUUAAUUCCGUAUUUUAAAAAAAACAUAUUUAUUUUUAAUUUAUUCAGUAUUUUAUCUAUAAGUUGUAUUUUAAUGACUUAUUUUGGAGUAAAUUAUUAUUUAUCUGGACUACAUUCUUAUGCAAAAGGAGAGCCCAUUUCUAUUCCUAAUUGGGUGUAUUAUAGCUUGUUAGUUUUAUUUAUUAUCACUAUUUUAUCUUAUCAUUCAUUCAAAUUUCAUAAAAUAAAAUACAUCAAUAAACAGUGAGUUUUUAUUCGUUUUUUUUUAAAAAAAACUUUAAAAAAAAAAGCACUUUAUUUAGAGAUGCUUUUGGAAAUUUUCAUUUUAUAAAACGUUUUUUAAUUUUUACUUUUGGUUGUAUUUCUUAUAAUCGUUAUAAUGGAUUUAAUCAAUUACAUUUAGAAGGAACUGAAUAUAUAAGAGAUUUACCUGAUAAAAAAGUUCUUUUUGUAUCUAAUCAUCAAACUUAUUUUGCAGAUGUAUUUGCUAUGUUUCAUGUAUUUUGUAGUGUAAAAAAUGGUUUUGUAAAUAGUAUUAAAAAUCCUAUUUAUCUUUUAAAUCCUAAAGUUAAUUUAUAUUAUGUAGCAGAAAAAAAUACGAUGAAUAAAGGUUUUUUAACUAAAUUAUUUAUUUAUUCAGGAGGAAUUACUGUAAAAAGAAUUUGGAAGGAAGAUAAUGAAAAAAUCAAUCGUUCUAUAAAUAUACUAUCUGAUAUUACUCGCAUGGGAAUUGCGCUUAAUGAUGGUUGGUUGAUUACUUUUCCACAAGGAACAACUCAAGCUUUUGCUCCUGGACGAAGAGGAAUUGUUUAUGUUAUAAAAAAAUAUAGUCCUAUUGUUGUUCCUAUUGUAAUAGAUGGAUUUAAAAAAGCUUAUGAUAAAAAAGGAAUACGUAUUAAAAAAAAAGGAGUUUUACAAAAAAUGAAAUUUAAAGAACCUAUUCAGAUAGAUUUAAAAAAAGAUACAACAGAUUCUAUCAUGGAAAAAAUUAUGGAUGCUAUCGAACAGUCUCCAAAAUAUAAUAAAAAAGAUAAAUCAUAAAUUUCAAAAUAAAUGAAAUAUAAAUUUAUAAAAGAUACUUUUCUUAAUUUUUUUCAAAAAAAGAAACAUAAGAUCCUUCCUUCUUUUCCUAUUUUUUCUAAAGAUGAUUCCACUCUUUUCUUUGUUAAUGCCGGAAUGAAUCCUUUCAAGGAUUAUUUUUUAGGACAUGUAAAGCCUGAAUAUACAAGAAUAGCCAAUGUUCAAAAAUGUCUUAGAAUAACUGGAAAACACAAUGAUUUAGAAAAUGUAGGAUAUGAUGAUUAUCAUCACACCAUGUUCGAAAUGUUAGGAAAUUGGUCUUUUGGAGAUUACUCCAGAAAAGAAACCAUAGAAUGGGCUUGGGAAUUAUUAACUAAAAUAUAUCAUAUUCCUAAUCAAAAUAUUUAUGUUUCUAUUUUUAUUGGAGAUAAAAAAGAUGAAUUGUCCAUGGACAAGGAAGCAUUUAAAUAUUGGAAGACUUUUCUUGAUGAAAGUCAUAUUCUUUUUUUUGGAAAAAAAGAAAAUUUUUGGGAAAUGGGAAUAGAAGGGCCUUGUGGUCCUUGUUCAGAGAUUCAUAUAGAUUUAAGGAAUGAAAAAGAAAAAAAAGUAUUAUCUGGAAAAUACCUUAUUAAUAAAAAACAUCCUCAAGUAAUAGAAAUUUGGAAUCUUGUUUUUAUAGAAUUUAUACGUAAAUCAGAUGGAACGUUAGAAAAACUUCCUAAAAAACAUGUAGAUACAGGAAUGGGACUAGAAAGAUUAUGUAUGAUUUUACAAGGAAAAAAUUCUAGUUAUGAAACUGAUAUUUUUUAUCCUAUUAUUCAAGAUAUAGAAGAAAAAUUAGGAAAUAUUUAUAAUAAAAAAAAUUUUGAUCAAAAUGUAUCUAUAAAAAUUAUAGCAGAUCAUCUAAGAGCUAUUGUUUUUUCUAUUUUAGAUGGACAAUUACCAUCUAAUAAUGAGGCUGGUUAUGUGAUAAGAAAAAUACUUAGAAGAGCUGUAAUUUUAUGUAUCCGUUUUUUACAAAAAAAAGAACCUUUUAUUUAUAAAAUAGUAGAUACUUUAGUAAGAGAAAUGAAAAGUUCUUUUUCGGAGUUAGAAAAUAAAAAAAAUUAUAUUAAAAAUAUCAUUAAAGAAGAAGAAUUAUCAUUUUUCAGUAUUGUUGAAAAAGGAAGUAAAAAAAUUCAACAUAUAAUUACUGAACAUAAAGAAAAAAAUGAAAAAAUCAUUCAUGGAGAAAAAAUUUUCCAAUUAUAUGAUACUUAUGGAUUUCCUAUGGAUCUAUCUAAAAUAAUAGUUGAAAAAAACAACUUAUUCAUUGAUGAAAAAUCAUUUCAAAAAAAAUUAUCGGAACAAAAAGAUAGAUCCAAAAAAGAAAGAAAUUCAAUUUUAAAAAAAGAUUGGAUAAAAGUGCAUAACAAUUUUCAUCAAAAUCAAAAUUUCGUAGGAUAUGAAUUGAUAGAAUGUAAUAUUUUAAUAUUGAAAUAUAGAAAAGUAGAAAAUAAACUCAAAAACAUUCAUUAUUAUGAACUAGUAUUUUCCAAAACUCCCUUUUAUCCUGAAAGAGGUGGUCAGUUAGGAGAUACGGGGAUUAUAAAAAAUGAAAUUGAUAAAAUUGAUAUUUUUGAUACUAAAAUAGAAAAUUCUAUUAUUAUACAUUGUGUUCAAAGAUUACCUUCAAAUGUUUUUUCUUAUUUCAAAGCUAUAGUAGAUCAAAAUAGAAGAAAAAAGAUAGAAAAAAAUCACACUUCAACUCAUUUAUUAAAUUUUGCUCUAAAACAAAUUCUAGGAAAUCAUAUUCAACAAAAAGGUUCUUACGUAGGAGAUGAUUAUCUAAGAUUCGACUUUUCUCAUUAUCAAAAAAUAAAAACUCAAGAAUUGCAUAAAAUCGAAGAUUUUGUUCAAGAAUUAAUUUUUUCUGAUCUUAUAUUAAAAAUAGAAAUAUUUCAUUCUUUAUAUGAGGCUAAAAAAAAUGCUUCUAACGCUUUUUUUAGUGAAAAUUUUGAAAAAAAAUACAAAAAAAAACAAGAAAUACGAAUUGUAAAUUUUGGAAAAUCUUCCGAAUUAUGUAUUGGAACACAUGUUAAAAAUACUAAAGAAAUUCAAGUUUUUGAAAUAUUGUCAGAAUCUUCUAUCUCACAUGGAGUACGUAGAAUUAAAGCUAUAACUUACAAAAAUGCAAUUCAACAUUUAAAAUCUAUUCGUAAUCAAUAUCAAUCUUUAUAAAAAAUAUAGUGAAAUAUUCAGGUUCUUCUAUAAAAAAUUUUUCAAAUUUUAAAAAUUAAAACAAAAAAAUAUGAAAAUAAAUAUUAAAAAACUAUAUAAAGAUAUCCUGUUAAAAUAAUAGACUAUGUAUAUGUAAAAUUGAUUUUAAUUUAAUUAAGAAUAAGAAAAAAAAUAAUAAAAUUUUGAAAAAAAUAAUCGUAAAAUUACGUGAUUUUCAUAAAAUAUUUUAUGAUUAUAAAAUUUGUAAAAAAUGAAAAAAUAGUCUCAGAUAUACAUAUAUAUCUCAUUUUUAAUUUUUUUUUAAAAAAAAAUAAACUUUUAAUGUUUAAAUUUGAAGUAAAAAUAAUCUAUGAAUGAUAGAUUUUCUUUUCUAAAUGCUAUUCACUUUAAAGAUAUAGAAUUUCUAUAUAAUCAAUACAAAAAAAAUCCUAGUUCAAUAGAGUCGAGUUGGAGUGCUUUUUUUUAUGGAUUCGAUUUUGGAACAAAAAACUAUAAAAAUAUUCUAAAACUAGAGGAUAAUGAUAAUAUCAUACAAAAAGAAUUUUUAGUAUUUAAUUUAAUUUACGAUUAUAGAAAAAGAGGCCAUUUUUUUACAAAUACGAAUCCUAUACGAAAAAGAAGAAAGCAUUUUCCUUCUUUAGAUUUAAAAAAUUUUGGAUUAUCUGAAAAGGAAUUAGAUACAUAUUUUGAAGUUGGAAAAUUAAUAGGAAUAGGAAAAACCUCAUUAAGAAAUAUAAUUAAUCAUUUAAAAAAUAUUUAUUGUGGAUCCAUAGGAAUAGAAUACAUAUAUAUUCCUAACCCUGAAAAAAUUCAAUGGAUUGAAGAAUGGUUUUUUCAAAAAAAAAUACAAUUUCUUCCAGAAGAAAAAAAGUUUUUUUUGAAAAAAUUAAAUGAAGCAAUCACAUUUGAAAAAUUUCUUCAUACCAAAUUUGUAGGUCAAAAAAGAUUUUCUAUAGAAGGAAAUGAAUCCACGUUACCUGCUUUGGAAGAAAUGAUCGAAUAUGCAUCCGAUAAAUAUGUUACUGAUGAUUUUAUAAUUGGAAUGUCACAUAGAGGCCGUUUAAAUAUACUUUCUAAUUUUUUUAGAAAAGAUUAUUCUUAUAUAUUUAGCGAAUUUCAAGGAAAAGAAUAUAAAGAAAAAACUUUUUCUGGUGAUGUAAAAUAUCAUUUAGGAUUUUCAAAAAAUAGAAAAACCCGUAAAAAUAAAUAUAUUAAAAUUAAUUUAGUACCUAAUCCUUCUCAUUUAGAAUCUGUAGAUGCUAUCGUAGAAGGAAUUACACGUGCUAAAAUAGAUAUUUUAUAUAAUCAAAAUAGUAAUUCUGAAAAAAUUCUUCCCAUAUUAAUUCAUGGAGAUGCAGCAUUAUCCGGACAAGGAAUUGUAUAUGAAGUACUUCAAUUAUCUCAAUUAAAAGGAUAUAAAACUGGAGGAACCAUUCAUAUUGUAAUGAAUAAUCAAAUAGGAUUUACUACAAAUUAUACUGAAGGUCGUUCUAGUAUAUAUUGUACUGAUAUAGCAAAAAUAACAAUGUCUCCUGUAUUACAUGUUAAUGCAGAUGAUGUCGAAUCUGUUAUUCGAGCUAUCUAUUUUGCGGUAGAUUUUAGAAUGCGUUACCAUGAAGAUAUUUUUAUAGAUUUAUUGGGAUAUAGAAAAUAUGGACAUAAUGAAGGAGACGAACCUAGAUUUACUCAGCCUUCUUUAUAUAAAGCUAUCUCUCAACAUUCUAAUUCCUACAAAUUAUACAGAGAGAAAUUAGAAAAAGAAAAAAUUAUUAAUGAUGAUGAUGUAAGAAAUAUGGAAAAAGAAUAUGAAAAAAUUCUUAAUUUAAAAUAUAUUGAAACAAAUAAUAUUAAAUGGAAUACAUUGAAUUCUUUUUUAGAAGAGGAAUGGAAAAAUUUUCCUAUAGUAUAUAAAAAUGAAGAAAUUUUUAGAAAAGUAGAUACACAAUUUUCCGUAGAAAAAAUUAUAAAAAUAUCUAAUAAAAUUUUCUCUCUUCCUAAAAAAAAGAAUUUUUUUAGGAAAACGGAGUUUAUUUUUAAAAAAAGAUUAGAAAUGAUUAAGAAGAAAAUUGUAGAUUGGAGUAUGGCAGAACUAAUAGCUUAUGGAACUCUUUUAUAUGAAGGAACUCAUAUCCGUUUAUCAGGAGAAGACGUAGCAAGAGGGACAUUUUCUCAACGUCAUGCUAUUGUUAAAACAGAAGAAGAAGAAGAAAUUAUUCUUCUUAAUCAAAUUUCUAAAAAACAAGGAAAAAUACAAAUUUUUAAUUCCCCUCUUUCAGAAUAUGGAGUUUUAGGCUUUGAUUAUGGAUAUGCCAUGUAUUCUCCUCAUGUUUUAACUUUAUGGGAAGCUCAAUUUGGAGAUUUUGUAAAUGGGGGACAAAUCAUAAUAGAUCAAUAUAUUUCUUCUGGUGAAAAUAAAUGGAAAAUUAGAAAUGGAAUUGUAUUGUUAUUACCUCAUGGAUAUGAAGGACAAGGACCAGAACACUCUUCUGCACGUAUUGAACGUUAUUUACAACUUUGCGCUAAUAAUAACUUAUUUGUAGUAAAUUGUACAACUCCAGCUAAUUUUUAUCAUCUUAUAAGAAGGCAAAUGAAAUUAAAAUAUAGAAAGCCUAUGAUUGUCUUCACUCCUAAAAGUUUGCUUAGAAAUACAAAAUGUUUAUCUACAAUAAAAGAUCUUUCUAUAGGUCCUUUCCAGGAAAUAUUGGAUGAUCCUUAUGUAAAAGAUUUCAAAAAAAUUACGAAAUUAAUUUUUUGUUCUGGAAAAAUUUAUUAUGAAUUGCUUAGUAGAAAAGAAUUUAUUCAAGAUGAAAAAACCGCAUUAAUUCGUAUAGAACAAAUUUAUCCAUUAAAAAUAGAAAAAAUUAAGGAACUUUUAGAAAAAUAUAAAAAUAAAAAAGAAAUUUUUUGGGUACAAGAAGAACCAGAAAACAUGGGGUUAUGGAGUUUUAUUUUAAGAAAAUUAGGAAAUAUGAUUUCAUUCAAUUUAAUAGCCCCAUCUGAAAAUUCUAGUCCGUCUACAGGAUCUUAUAUAGAUUUUUUAAAAAUCCAAAAUAAAAUAUUAAAAAAAGCUUUUUUUUGAAAUUUAAAUUAUGAUAAUACAAAUAAAAGUCCCUUCUCCAGGAGAAUCCAUUACAGAGGUAGAAGUAUCUACAUGGCUCGUAAAAAACGGAGAUUAUGUUCAUAAAGGUCAAGCGAUAGCAGAAAUAGAUUCAGAUAAAGCAACUUUAGAAGUUUCUUCAGAAGAAAAUGGAAUAAUAACUUUUAUGGUAGAAAAAGGAAAAAGAGUAAAAGUUGGAGAUGUUUUAUGUAUUAUUAAUUCUUCCGUAAAGAAUAUAAAAAAAAGUAAAGAAAAAACUUCGCAAGAAAAAAAAGACAAUGUUGAAAAAAUUUUUUCUGAGAAUAAAAAUAUUAAAAUUCCUUCUCCAGCAUCAAAAAAAAUUUUGAAGGAAAAAAAUAUUUCUAUAGAAUCUAUUCAAGGUAGUGGAAAACAUGGAAGAAUAACAAAAAAAGAUUGCAUUUUUUAUUUAAAAAAAAAUAAAUCUUCUUUUACUUCGAAUAAUUCUAUUUGUAAUGAAAUAACAAAUAAAAGAUCAAAAAUAAAAACUCCUCUUUCUUCUUUAAGAAGGAAACUUUCCGAGAGGUUAAUUUAUGUAAAAAAUCAAACUGCUUCUCUCACAACAUUUAAUGAAGUAGAUAUGUUAGAAAUUUUUCUUAUUAGAAAAAAAUAUAAAGAUCGUUUUAAAAAAAAACAUGGGGUAAAUUUAGGGUUCAUGUCUUUUUUUACUAUGUCUUGUAUUAGAGGUUUAAAACUUUAUCCAGAUAUCAAUUCUAUGAUUAGUGGAAAAGACAAAAUUAAUUUUGAAUAUUAUGACAUUAGUAUUGCUAUAUCUGGACCUAAAGGAUUAAUGGUCCCCGUAAUUAGAAAUGCAGAACAUUUAUCAUUUCGGAAAAUAGAACAAGAAAUAUAUAAAUUAUCAACACGAGUUCAUAAUGGAAAAAUUUCUAUAGAUGAGAUGAAAGGAGGAACUUUUACUAUUACCAAUGGAGGUGUUUUUGGUUCUAUGUUAUCUACUCCGAUUAUAAAUCCACCACAAAGUGCCAUAUUAGGAAUGCAUAAAAUUAUGGAAAGACCUAUAGUAAUUAAUGGAUCUAUUGAAAUACGUCCUAUUAUGUAUUUAGCUUUGUCUUAUGAUCAUAGAAUAAUUGAUGGAAGAGAAUCUGUAGGAUUUCUAGUAUCUGUGAAAGAAUCUAUAGAAAAUCCUAUAAAAUUUUUAAUGGGAGGAAAUGAAGAAAAUAUUUCUAAUAGCUUAGAAUUAUAAUUUUUUUCUAACAUAAGGAUUAGGUCUAUUUAUAUUUCCUAUAUUUAUUUUUUUUAUUUGGUUUUUUAUGAUAUGAAUUUGAUCAUGUAAUAAACCAGAAACAUCCAUUUUUUUUGCUUCUGAUAGUAAAAAUUCAGAUUUUUUUUUGUUUCCUCUUGACAAAGAGGCUAUAGCUAAAUUUAAUUUGGCUAUAGCUAUAUUUGGUUUAAAUUUUAGUCCUAAAUCUAGGGCUUUAUGCAUAUAACUUUCUGAUUGAAAAAUAUUACUUUCUGAAUAUAAAAUUCCAUUUAAAAAAUAAUAAUAAGCUAUUUGGUUUUUGGUUAACUGUAGUUUAGGUUUUUUAAUAUAUCUUAAAUAUUUUUUUACUCCUUUCAUAUCCUUUUUUUGUAUUUUAAAAAAGGCUAAUAAUAAAAAUUCAUUUCUAAAAAUAAAAAAAAUAGGAAUUAUACUUAACAAAAGUAAAAUAUAUCCAUAUAAAUAAUUUUUUUGAAAAAAUGAAAAAACAGAUCCUAUAAAAAUAAAUAGAAAUAAUCCUAUUUUUGAAUAUUUACUCAUAAUCUAAAUUUUAAUUAAUUUAUUUUAUUAGAAAUGUUUUUCUUUAAUCCAUUUAAUAAGAUCUUUAUAAUUUAAAUGAUUUAAAGUAUGUCCAGAAUCAUAUUCUUUAUAAAAAAAAAGUAUUUGUUUUUCUUUCAAAAAUUUUAAUCCUUUUUUUGUCCAAUUUAUAGGAAUUAUGGAAUCAUAUUUUCCAUGAGAUAUAAAAAAUUCUAAAUCUGAAUAAUAAUUUAUAUUUUUUGGAAAAAUAUUAUUUUCUAAAUAUCCACUUAAAGAAAUUACUCUUUUUAUUUUAUCAGAAUUUUUUAAUGCGAUUGCAUAACUUAAAAUAGCUCCUUGACUAAAUCCACAUAUCCAUACUGGAUUUUUUCUAAGUUUAUAUUCUUCUAUAGAUUCAUGUAUGAAAUAUGAUAUUUUUUCAAUAGUUUCUUUAGCUUGUAUUAUAUUAAUGAAUUUAUUUUUAUUAUCGAAAUCUAUAUCAUACCAAGAAUAUUUAUUUGUUCCAAUAGAAUAGAAACCUUGAAUACUAAUUAUAAAAAAAUCCUCUGGAAUAUCUUUUUGAAAAGAAAAAAGGUCUUUUUCAUUACUACCAUAUCCGUGGAUCAUCAAAAAAAGAGUAUUUUCAUUCCCAUAUACAGGUUUUCUUAUAAUAUGUUUAAUAGAAAGUUUUUUUUUGAAUAAAUACAUAAGAUAUUUUGAUUUAUUUAUCAAUUUUGUACAAUUUUCCGUUUUCUAUUUUUAGUUUUUCGUUAGCCAUAUUUGCUAAUUGCAAAUUAUGAGUAACGAUUAAAAAAGUUUGUUUGAAUUUAAUAUUCAAAAAAUAAAAAAAAUUAUGCAAUUUUUCUGCAUUUUUUUCAUCUAGAUUUCCAGAAGGUUCAUCCGCAAAAAUAAUUUUUGGAUCAUUAAUCAAAGCUCUCGCUAUAGAAACCCUCUGUUUCUGACCUCCAGAUAGUUCUUCUAUUUUUGAAUUUUCAUAUUUAUAUAAAUUUAAUUCUUUUAAUAAGUUUAUAGCUUUUUUCUUUACUUCUUUUUUAUUAACAUUUUUAAUAAAACCUGGUAAACAGAUAUUUUCUAACACAGUAAAUUCAGGAAGAAGUUUAGGAGUUUGAAAUAUAAAACCUAUUUUUUGAUUUCUCAAAAUAGAAAGCUCUUUUUCAGUAAGAGAUAAUAUUUCUUUUUUAUUUAUUUUUAUAAUAGUUUUUUUUUGAUUUAUAGUCGGUUUUUCUAAAGUUCCUAAAAUAUGUAAUAAAGUACUUUUUCCUGCUCCAGAUUCCCCUAAAAUACAUGCUAUACUUCCUUUUUUUACCAUAAUGUUUACUCCAUUUAAAAUUUUUUUUCCUCCAAAAAAUUUAUAAAUAUUUUUAGCCUGAAUCAUUUUUUUGUAAUUUUAGAAAAAUCUUCUUUGUAAGAAAUUAAACUAAUUUUAGUUUAAAUUUAGUUUUAAUUAAAUUUAAUUCAAUGAAUUUACAUGAAUACCAAGGUAGAGAAAUAUUAAAUUCUUUUUCCAUUAAAGUUCCUUAUGGAGAGAUUGCUUCAUCUCCUGAAGAAGCUGUAAAAAUUGCUAAAAUUAUUUUUAAAAAAACUAAAAAAAAUUCUUUAGUUAUUAAAGCUCAAAUCCAUGCUGGAGGAAGAGGAAAAGCUGGAGGUAUUCAAAUAGCAAAAAAUUUGGAAGAAGUUUAUGAAAAAUCUAAAAAUAUUUUAGGAAAAUUUUUAAUAACACCUCAAACUUCUAAAAAAGGAAAAUUAGUUCGAAAAGUUUUGUUAUCUGAAGAUAUUUAUUUUUCUGAACUUAGUUCUCCUAUAGAGUAUUAUUUAUCCAUACUAUUAAAUCGUGAUAUAGAAAAAAAUAUAAUUCUUUAUUCUAAAGAAGGAGGGGUUAAUGUAGAAAAUAUUUCAAAAAAAAAUUCAAUGUAUACAGAAAUUAUAGACCCUAUAUUAGGACUUCAAUUAUUUCAAACAAAAAAAAUUGGUUUUAAUUUAGGAAUUUAUGAUAAUGAAUCUUUAAAAAAUUUUAGUUUUUUUUUAUUUUCACUAUAUAAAGCAUAUGUCUCUUCUGAUAUUUUAUUAUUAGAAAUCAAUCCUUUGAUAAGAACGUUUGAUAAAAAAAUUAUACCAGUUGACAUAAAAGUGAUUUUAGAUGAUAACGCUUUAUUUCGUCAUAAAAAAUAUAACACGAUCUGUUGUAAAGAUAAUGAUGUUAAUAAAAUUGAAAAAGAAGCAUAUAAAACGAAAUUAAAUUUUUUAAAAUUAGAAGGAAAUGUAGGAUGUAUGGUAAAUGGCGCUGGAUUAGCAAUGGCUACUAUGGAUAUGAUUAAAUUUUGUGGAGGGGUUCCUGCUAAUUUUUUAGAUAUAGGAGGUUCUGCAGAUGUAGAACGUGUAGAAAAAGCUUUUUAUCUAAUAUUAAAGGAUAAAUAUGUGAAAACAAUAUUAAUCAAUAUAUUCGGAGGAAUCGUACGUUGUGAUACAGUAGCAAAAGGAAUUAUAAAUUCUUUUUCCAAUCUUCAUAAAGAUUUAAAAAAAAUUCCUAUUGUUGUUCGUUUGCAAGGAACAAAUGAUAAAAUUGCAAAAGAUUUGAUUAAAAAAAGUUUAUUACCUAUCUAUUCUACUGAUACUUUAAAAGAAGCAGCUGAUAAAAUUCAAAAAAUUUUGUAUUUGAAAUAAAAUUUAUUUUUAUAUGAAUAAAGUUUUUUCUGUAUUAUCUGAAAAAUACAAACCUUUAAAAUGGAGUGAAGUAGUAGGACAAGAAGAUGUAAUUUUAAUUUUAAAAAAAGCAAUACAGGAAAAUCGUUUAUCUCAAUUUUUAUUCUUUUUUGGUCCAAAAGGCGUAGGAAAGAAUAUAUGUGCACAAAUUUUAUCCAAUAAAUUAAAUUCCUUUUCAGAUGAAAAAUAUUAUUCUUUGAAUAAAUUUGAAAUCAAUGGAUAUUUUAAUAAUUCAUUAGAAUAUAUUUAUAAAAUUAUUAGUCAAUUUCGUUUCUAUCCCAAAUUAGGAAAAUAUAAUAUAUUUAUAAUCAAUAAUGUACAUAUGUUUUCUCAAUGUUUUUUCAAUGUAUUUCUAGAAUUUAUAGAAGAAGGACAUUCACAUGUUUUAUUUAUUUUUUGUAGUAGAGAAGAAAAAAAAAUUCCAAAAUUUAUUUUAUCACGUUGUCAAGUUUUUGAAUUUAAAAAAAUUCCUACAAAAAAAAUUUUUUUACAUUUAAGAAUGAUUUCUGAAAAAGAAAAUAUAGAAAUAGAAAAUGAAGCCUUAUUGAUUUUAUCAAAACAUGUAAAAGGAUCUAUUAGUGAAGCACUUUAUUUAUUUGAUAGAUUGAUUUUAUAUAAAAAUAAAAAAAUAUCUAAAGAAUUCCUAAUUCAAAAAUUAGGAAUUAUUGACCUUAAAUAUUAUUUUAUAAUAGUAGAUUAUCUUUUAGAUAAAAAAAUACAUAAAAUAUUCAUUUUAUUGGAUAAAAUUUUACAAAAAAAAGUUAAUUCUUACGAAUUAAUUUUAGGACUAAUCAAACAUUUUAGAAAUUUAUUUUUAUCUAAAAAUUAUGAAACAAUUUCGAUUUUGAAAUUUAAAAAAGAAAUAAUAUUUUCUUACAUUGUUCAAUCAAAAAAAAUUUCUAAUUUUUUUUUAAUGAAUGCUUUGACCAUUUGUCUUAAAUUGAAAAAAGAAUAUGAAAAAUUAAGUCAAAAUUAUAGAUUAACAAUCGAAAUUUAUUUAAUGCAGUUAGCAUAUCUAUUUGAUAAUAAAAAAAAUGAGGAUUCUUUUUUAAUAAAAGAAGAUAAAAAAAAUGAGGAUUCUUUUUUAAUAAAAGAAGAUAAAAAAAAUGAAAAAAUUAAAUUUUUACAAAAAAAUUGGAUAGAAUAUUUACAGAAUUAUUCUGGUAAAAUAAACCCUGUUUAUUUAUAUUUUUUGAAAAAUGAAAUCCAAUUUCAAAUUAAAAAAAAUAAAAUAUUUUUCGUUAUUCCAUCUAAAUUAGGAAAUCGCAGUUUUUUUUUAAUUCAAACAUAUUUUUUUAAAUAUUUUAAAAAAAAAUUCAAUUAUCCACAUUUAGAAUUUGAAAUUAUAAAAAAAAAUUCAAGUACAAUAAAAAAAUAUAAUCUUUUAUAUCAGAAAAAUAAAUUAAUAGAAACAUUAAUAGAACGGUUAAAUUUAAAAAUAUCUUGUUAUAAAAUACAAGAAAAAAAAAAUUCUUGUAUAUAAUUUUUUUCUUGUAUAAAAUUUAUUUUUUAUUCAAAUUAUUAUAAUUUAUAAAAAUGGAAUAGAGAUUUUAUUUUUUUUGAUUUAUAAAAUAUUUUAAUGAUUUUAAUUUAUGAUUUAUCAUUAUUCAUCAAACAGUAUAAAAAAAAUUUUUUUCUCUUCUAGUUAUUCCGAUGAAGAUAUUGAAAAUGAAAGUUCUUCCUAUUCUUACGGAUCUGGCGGAACAGGUUCUGGUUACUAUGGAGGGAUAAAAAGUAAAACUCCUGUUUUGGAUAAUUUUGGAAGAGACUUAAAUUCCAUAGCUAUGGAAGGAAAAUUAGAUCCCGUUGUAGGAAGAGAUAAAGAAGUUGAACGUGUUUCUCAAAUAUUGAGUAGAAGAAAAAAAAAUAACCCUCUUCUUAUAGGAGAACCUGGAGUAGGAAAAUCUGCUAUUGCUGAAGGAUUAGCAUUACGUAUUGUACAAAAAAAAGUUUCAAGAGUUUUAUACAAUAAAAGAAUAGUUGUUUUAGAUUUGGCAAGUUUAGUUGCUGGAACUAAAUAUAGAGGUCAAUUUGAAGAAAGAAUAAAAGCCAUUAUAAACGAAUCAGAAAAAAAUGAAGGUCUAAUUCUUUUCAUAGAUGAAAUUCAUACUAUGAUUGGAGCAGGAGGAACUACUGGAUCUUUAGAUGCUUCUAAUAUUUUUAAACCGGCUUUAGCAAGAGGUUAUAUUCAAUGUAUUGGAGCAACAACAUUAAAUGAAUAUAGACAAUAUAUAGAAAAAGAUGGAGCCUUAGAAAGGAGAUUCCAAAAAAUCAUAGUUCAACCUUCUUCUGAAAAAGAAACUAUAGAAAUUUUAGGAAAAAUAAAAGGAAAAUAUGAAAGUCAUCACAAUGUUAUUUAUACAGAAAAAGCAAUAAAGGCUUGUGUAAAACUUACUGUUCGAUAUAUUGUAGAUCGUUUUUUACCAGAUAAAGCGAUUGAUGCUUUAGAUGAAGCUGGAUCUCGUGUUCAUAUUAAAAACAUAAAAGUUCCACAAAAAAUAGUUCUUUUAGAAAAAGAAAUUGAAAGUAUUCGAAAAGAAAAAUCUAGAGUUGUUAAAAGUCAAAAAUACGAAGAAGCAGCACGUUUACGUGAUACAGAAAAACGCAUAGAAAAAGAAUUAAUAAAAGCCCAAAAAGAGUGGGAAGAGUCUUCUAAAAAAAAUAAAGAAAUUGUAUCCGAAGAAAAUGUUGAAGAAGUGGUAUCAAUGAUGAGUGGUGUUCCAAUAAACAAAAUUUCUCAAGCUGAAAUGAAAAAAUUGAGCAAAAUGAUAGAUGUUUUAAAAGAAAAAAUAGUAGGACAGGACGAAGCCAUAGAAAAAAUAGUAAAAGCAGUUCAAAGAAAUAGAGCUGGAUUAAAAGAUCCUAAUUCUCCUAUAGGAUCUUUUAUUUUUUUAGGACAAACAGGAGUAGGAAAAACUUUUUUAGCAAAAAUUUUUUCUAAAGAAUUAUUUGAUUCAGAAGAAUCAUUAAUUCGUAUAGAUAUGAGUGAAUAUAUGGAAAAAUUUUCUGUAUCUAGAUUAAUAGGAGCUCCUCCAGGUUAUGUAGGUUACGAAGAAGGAGGACAAUUAACGGAAAUUAUACGUCGUAACCCUUAUUCUGUAAUAUUAUUAGAUGAAAUAGAAAAAGCACAUCAUGAAGUAUUUAAUGUUUUAUUACAAAUGUUAGAUUAUGGAUGUGUUACAGAUAGUAUUGGAAGAAAAAUAAAUUUUAAAAAUACUGUAAUUAUUUUUACUUCAAAUAUAGGUACAAAACAAUUAAAAGAAUUUGGACAGGGAAUAGGAUUUCAUACUCAAGCAAGAAAAUUAAAUAAUUACAUCAAAAAUGUACUAGAACAAGCUUUAAAACGGACUUUUUCUCCUGAAUUCUUAAAUAGAAUAGAUGAUGUUAUUAUUUUUAAUUCUUUAACAAAAGAAAAUAUAUUAAAAAUAACUCAUAUUGAGUUGAAUAAAAUAAUUCUUCAUCUUUCUAAUCUAGGCUAUGAAUUAGUAUUAUUUCCUGAAGUAAUAGAUUUUAUUCAAAAAAUAGGGUUUGAUCAAGAAUAUGGAGCACGUCCUUUGAAAAGAGGAAUAGAAAAAUUUAUAAAAAAUCCUAUAUCGGAAUAUAUAAUAAAUGAAAAAUUAAAAAAAGGAGAUAAAAUUUUAUUAAAAAUGAACAUAAAUAAUGACAACGUAGAAAUAUUUAUUCAUCAAUAAAAUGAAUUCUAUUUUAAAAAAAAAAUUCAAAUUAUUGAAAAAACAUUGAAUUUUUUAUAUCCCAACCCAAUUCCUACUUUAUAUUAUACUAACGAAUAUACUUUAUUGAUUUCUAUUUUAUUAAGUUCUAGAACUCAAGAAAAAAAAGUAAACGAAAUUACAAAAAUUUUAUUUAAAAAAAUAAAAAAACCCACAGAUACAGUGUGUCUUUCCAUUAAAAAUAUGGAAAAUAUUAUAAAAAAUAUAGGAAUUUACAAAAAAAAAUCUAAAAAUAUUUAUGAUUUAUCUGUUAUUUUAAUUAAAAAAUAUAAUGAACUAAUUCCGAAAAACAUUUCGGAAUUAAAAAGUUUACCUGGAAUAGGACAUAAGACGGCAUCUGUUUUCUUAUCUUAUGUAUCCAAUAUUCCCGUAUUUCCUGUAGAUACCCAUAUUCAUAGAAUGAUGAUUCGUUGGAAAUUAAGUAACGGAAAAAAUGUUCAACAAACAGAAAAAGAUGCAAAACGUUUUUUCAAAAAAGAAAAUUGGAAAAAAUUACAUCUUCAAAUUAUUUUUUAUGCUAAAAAAUAUUCUCCCUCUAGAAAAUGGAAUUUAAAAAAAGAUCUUAUCUAUCAAGAAUUAAUAAAAAUUAAAUAAUAUAUAAUUUUUAAAAAGGUAAAUCAUCAAAAUCAUCAGGAGAUAAAGGAGAAGAUGGAGUAGAAGAAAGUUUAUUUGAAGAUUUUUCUGUUGAAAAAUAUUCAAUUUUCCAUCCUUGAACAGAAUUAAAAUAUCUAAUAAUUCCUUCAGGAUUCUUCCAUUCUCUUCCUCGAAGAUUAAUAAAUAUUUUUACUUUAUCUUUUAAUUUUAUAUUUUCUAAUAAAUCUACUUUAUCUUGAAUAAAUUCAAUCAAUAUAUUUUGAGAAUAUGGUUCUUCAGUAGUAAGAACUAUUUCUCUUUUUUGAAAUCCGCUAUCAAAUUUUUGAGUAUCAAAUAAUUUUUUGACUAUUCCUAUGAUUUCCAUGGAAAUUAAAAUUUAUUUUUUUUUACUGUUAUUCUUUUUUUUAAUAGUUUCUCCAAUUUGACUAGAGAUAUUAAAUGAAGUAAUCAUAUUAUUUAACAUUUCAUUAGCUGAUCCCGGUGAAUUAGGCAAUAAAAUUAAAUUAGUAUUUCCACUUUCUCCCAUAGAUUGAAGAGUAUCAUAAUGUUGUGUUACAACAAUUAAUGCAGAAGCUUCUUGUGAAUUAAUUCCUACAUUAUUUAAAACUUCUACAGAAUCUAAAAUUCCUCUAGCAAUCUCUCUUCGUUGAUCAGCCGUACCUUUUCCUUGUAAUUUUUUACUUUCAGCUUCUGCUUUUGCUUUAGCUACAAUUUUAAUUCUAUCAGCUUCUGCUUUAUAUUCAGCGGCAACUUUUUCUCUUUCAGCUGUAUUAAUACGAUUCAUCGCUUGUUUUACUUGUUCAUCUGGAUCAAGAUCUGUAACUAACGCUUUAAUUAUAGAAUAUCCAUAGUUUAACAUAGAUCCUUGCAAUUCUCCUUUAACAGCAAGGGCUAUAUGAUCUUUUCUUUCAAAAACAUCAUCUAAACGCAUUUUUGGAACUUCCGCUCUAACAACAUCAAAUAUAUAAGAAGUAAUUUGAGCAUGAGAAUUAUCUAAUUUAUAAAAUGCAUCAUAUACUUUAUCUUUAAUUACCUUAAAUUGAACUGAUACUUUUACUUUUACAAAAACAUUAUCUUUUGUUUUUGUAUCUACUAAUACAUCCAAUUGUUGAAUUUUUAAUGUAAGUUUUCCCACUAUAUUAUCCAUAACAGGAAUUUUAAAAUUCAAACCAGCAUAACGGAUACUAUGAAAUUUCCCCAUUCUCUCAAGAAUAGCAGCGGUUUCCUGGUUUAUUGUAAAAAUAAAACUAGAAAAAAUAGAUAAUAUCAAAAGAACUAAUAUUACAUAAAAUAAUAAACUGAAAAUACUCAUAUUCAAAAAAUUUAUAACAAUCCUAAUUCUAAACGCGCUUCAUCACUCAUAAAUUCCCUACUCCAAGGCGGAUCAAAUGUUAAAAUUACAUCUACUUCUUUUAUUUCUUGUAUAGAUUGGACUUUUCUUUUAACUUCUAAUGGUAAACUAUCUGCUACUGGACAAUUAGGUGUUGUUAAAGUCAUUACUAUUUUCACUUUGUCUUUUUCAUAAAUCUUAACAUCAUAAAUCAGCCCUAAUUCAUAAAUAUCUACUGAAAUUUCUGGAUCAAAAAUACUUUUCAAUACAAAAAUAAUACGAUCUUCUAAAGAAGGACUUUUAUUAUUCAUUUUUUUUAUUGAUUAAAGAUCCAAAUCUAUCAAAAUAACGGAUAGGAUAACCUAAUUUUUUUAUAUUAGGUAGUAUAUCAUGAGCUUUUCCGACAAUUAUGAUUCUCCCAUUUUUUUGAAAAAAAAAUUUUUGACAUGAUCGAUAAAUAUCGUCUAUUGUUACUAACUCUAGUUUAUUUAAAAAAUUCUUAUAAAAUCCACUUGGGAGAUUAUUUUUUAAUUCACAUAUAAAAAGAUCAUUGAUUCUAUUAGGAUCUUCAAAAUCAAGAAUAAAUUGGCCACUAAUUUCUUUUUUCUUAAUAUCUAAUUCUUCUAAAGAAAUUUUAUUUUUCGUUAUUUCAAAAAUUUCUUUUAUAAUAUCCUUAAUUGCUUUUUCUGUUACUUCAUUUCUUACUUGAGUAUAAACUGAAAAACAACCAAUAUUUCUAUCAGAUCUUAAAAUAGAAUAUGCUCCAUAUGUAUAAGCUUUUUUUUCUCUAAGAUUCAAAAAUAAACGACUUUGAGGCCCUCCUCCUAAAAUUCCAUUUGCUAACAUAGAAGAAAAAUAUUCAGGAUCAUUUUUUUUCAAACAAAUUGGUCCUCCAAAACAAAUAGUAGAUUGAGUUAAAGAAGGAAUAUCUACUAUAUCUAUUUCUAUUUUAGAUGGAAUUACAUACUCUUUAAUAACCGGAUCUUCUUUAUACGAUUUUCUUUUCCAUUCGGAAAAAUAAAGGUUACAUAAUUUUUCUGCUUCUUUUUGAGAUAUAUCUCCAAUAAAAGAAAGAUAAGAUAUAUUUGGUAUAUAAUAUUUAUCAUAUAAUUUUUUUAAAUCAUGAAGAGUUAUAUUUUUAAUUGUAUCAUGAGUUUCAUAUUCUCCAUAAGGAUGAUUUUUUCCAAAAUAUAAAACAUUUCGUACUAUUUGUAAAAUAGAAUUGGGAUCUUUUUCUGAAAGACUAAUAUCUAUAAUUCUUUGUUUUAUGAUUUUAUUCAACUCUUUUGAGUUAUCAAAUUUACUAUUCAUCAAAAUAUCACUCAUUAUAGAUAUAGAUUUAUCUAAAUAUUUUUUCAUAGUGAAAAUGGAUGUUUCAGAAAAAGAAGUAUAUAAACUACAUCCCAUAUAAUCAAUUAUAUCAUCUAAUUCUUCUUUUGUAUAAUUUUUUGUUCCAGAACGAAGCAUUUGACCAAAAAUUUUUUUGAUUCCAGCUUUGUCUUUUUCCAAAAAAGGUUUAUAAUUCAAUUCUAAUCCAAUUCUAACUAAAGGAAGUUUAUGAUUCUCCACAAUAAGAACCUUUAAUCCGUUUUUCAUCUGAAAAAAAUUAGGAUUUUCAAUAUUUAUAGUAGUUUUUCUUUUGAGAGAUUUAGGGGGUAAAUUUCGAUUAAAUAUAUGAGCAAACAUAAUUGUUGUAUGAAAAAAAAUUAUUCCUAAAAAGAUUGUUUUGAAAAAAAAAUUAUUUAUUAUUUGUAUGAUCGUUAUCCGGAACAUUAUAUAAACGAACUCUAUUAUUUUUAUUUAAAUAUUUAUUAGCAACUUUUUUUAUGUCUUCUGGAGAAAUAUUUUUAUAUUUUUCUAUAUCCGUAUUAAUUAAAUCAGCAUCAUGGUAAUAUAAUGAAUAAUAAGAUAAAUUCGCGGUAAUUCCACUCAUAGAAUAGUUAUCUGAAAUAAAUUUUUUUUCAAAAUAGUUUUUUUGUUUUUCCAAUUCAUAUUUUGUUACACCUUUUUCUUUCAAAAGAUCUAUUUCAUCAUCUAUUAUUUUUGUUAAUUCAUCUAAUGAAACUCCUGGAUUGAUCAAUCCAUAUAUCAUAAAAAUACCAUAAUCUUCCAUUGUAUCUAAAGAUGAACCAGCAUAAGAUGCUGAUUGUUUUGUAUUUACAAUAUUUUUCAUAAUUCUAGAACUUUCUCCAGAAGAAAAUACAUGGUCAAUCAUCUUUAAUACAUAAGAAUCCUUGCUUGUAAGUUUUGGAACUCUAUAUGAUAAAAAAACUCCAGGAACUUUUGUAUUCUUAUCUAUAUAAGUAUAAAAUAUCUCUUUUUUCAUUGGCUCUUCUUCUAUUUUUUUCAUUCUAAAAUUCCUUUUUCCUUUAGGAAUAGAUGAAAAAUAUUUUUUAAUCAGUUUCCUAGCUUCAUCCAUAUCAAAAUCUCCUGAAACAACUAAAAUCGCAUUAUUUGGAACAUAAUAAGUUUUGUAAAAUUCUCUGUAAUCUGCUUCUGUAGCAUUAUCUAAAUCUUGAUAUAAUCCAAUAAUUGGAUAUUUGUAUGGAUGUUUUUUAAAUAAUAAAGAAGGAAUAAUUUCAGAAAUAGCUUUUACAUAUGGUUGAUUUUCUACACGCAUUUUUUUUUCUUCUUUAACCACUUCUCUUUGUAUAUUAAUGCUUUCUUCAUCCACUUUAGCAUGAAGCAUUCUUUCCGAUUCUAACCACAAAGCUAAUGGAAGACGAUCUGAUGGUAGAAUUUCAUAAUAACAAGUUUCAUCAUGGUUUGUAUAAGCAUUAUUUUUUCCUCCAUUAGAAGCAAUAUACUUGAAAUAUUCUCCUUUUUUAACAUUUUUAGAUCCUUCAAACAUAAGAUGUUCAAAAAAAUGAGCAAAACCUGAUUUUCCAGGAAUUUCAUUUUUGCUUCCUACAUGAUAUAAAACAGAAACAGAAACUAAAGGAUUUGUUUUAUCUUGAUGUAAAAUAACAUGCAGUCCAUUUGAUAGUUUUUCUUCGAAAAACUUAAUUUGAUACAAUUUUUUAGAACGAUUAAAAUUUUUAGAAUUCAAAUUAUUAUUCAGUAUCAUAGUUAUAAACAUUAAUAAUAAAAAAAAGUAAAUCCUAUUAUUCAUUUCAUGAAACAAAGUUAAAGAUUCAAAAAAGAAAUUUACAAAUUUUUUUUUCUAAAAAUAAGGGAUUUUUUCUUUUACUUCUGAUUAUUUUUAUUAUAAUAACUGGAAAAUAUAUGAAUUCAUAAUAUAUAUUCAUUAAAAAAGUAUGAGAAAAAUUUUAUUUUUUAUCUUCAUUUUUCUUUCUAUUUUUUUAGAUUUAGAAGGGAGAAAAUUAAAAGCUGAUAAAGAAAAUGUUGAAAAUGGAAUGGAACUUUUUAAAAAGAAUUGCACAGCAUGUCAUUCCAUAGAUUUAGAAAAAAAAAUGAUAGGACCUCCUUUAAGUGGAGUAACUGAAAAAAGAACUCGUAAAUGGUUACAUCAAUGGAUUAAAAAUAAUAAAUCUUUAAGAGAGAGUGGAGAUAAAGAAGCGUUAGAAAUUUAUAAAGAAUAUGGAAAUGUAGAAAUGAAUCCAUUUUUGCAUUUAUCUGAAAAAGAAAUAGAUGAUAUACUGUCUUUUAUAAAAAAUCCAAUUUUAAAAAAAAAAGAAAAUCAUGAAAUAAAUAAUAAUGAAUUUAAUAAUAAUUACGAAAAUGAUAAAGAAGAAAAUAAAUUUUUAGUCAAAUUUAUUAUUUUUUGUUUUGGAAUUUUGUCUUUAAUUCUACUUUGGAUUUUAUAUAGAAUACAAAUUCUAAUCAGGUUAAUUAAUAAAAAAGAAAAAACGGAAGUUUAUACUUUUAAGAAAUGGGAUUUUAUAAUAAAUAUUUUAUACAAAAAAAUAUUAGGAAAUGAUAAAAAAAAGUGGUAUUUACUUUCUUGUUUUACAGGUCUUUUUAUGUUAUUUGGAGUAUAUGAAACUUGGUUUUAUUUAAUGAAAAUAGAUGUAAAUAGAGGAUAUAAACCUAAACAACCUAUUUAUUUUUCUCACAAAAUCCAUUCUGAAAUUAAUAAAAUUGAUUGUCAAUAUUGUCAUUCUUCUGCGAAAUAUAGCAAGGUAUCUGGAAUUCCUUCAGCAAAUGUUUGUAUGAACUGUCAUAUAACUAUUUAUGAAUAUAAUGGAAAUUAUUUGGAAAAAGGAAAAAGUAGAGAUGAAUAUAAUCAAGAAAUUCAAAAAAUAUAUAAGGCUAUUGGAUGGGAUCCGGAAACAAGAAAAUAUUCUAAAAAAAUACAUCCUAUUCAAUGGAUACGAAUUCAUAAUAUGCCGGAUUUUGUCUAUUUUGAUCAUUCUCAACACAUCAUAACGGGAGAGAAAGAAAUUAAAAAAUUAAAAAAAGUAAAUUUAGUUUGUAGUGCUUGUCAUGGAGAAGUUCAAAAAAUGGAUACAGUAGAAAUGUCUAAUGAUUUUACUAUGGAAUGGUGUUUAUCUUGUCAUAAAAAUGUAGGAAUAAACAAAGAAAAUAAAUAUUAUAAAGAAUAUUUUCCGAAUAAAAUAAAAAAUAAAAUCACUAUUGAUAUGACGGGAGGUACAGAAUGUGCUAAAUGUCAUUAUUGAAAUAGAAAUGAAAACGAAAGUGAUUAUUAAUAAAAUUAUUAUGAAAUAAAUAUGAAAUCAGAAAAAACUAAAAAAAUAUAUAAAAAUUAUAAUCCAAUCAAAAAUCUAUUUCAAGGGAAAACAUCUAGACGUGAUUUUCUUAAGUGGAUAGGAUUUAGUACUGCUUCGGUAACUUUAGCUGCUUGUAAAGGUCCAGUUAUAAAAUCUAUUCCUUAUGUAGUUAAACCAGAAGAUAUUACUCCAGGAAUUCCAAAUUAUUAUGCAUCAACUAUGAUUGAUACUUUCGAUAUAGGAAGUGUUUUAGUAAAAACGAGAGAAGGUCGUCCUAUAAAAAUAGAACCUAAUUCUUCUUCCGAUUUUUUUAAUACAACUUCUGCAAGAAUCCAAUCUUCUUUAUUUUCUCUUUACGACGAAGAAAGAUUAAAAAAUCCUAUAUUUAAAGGAAAAAAAAGUUCUUGGAAAGAAAUAGAUAAUUAUAUUAUUCAAAAUUUGAAAUUUUUAUCUAAAAUAAAAAAAAAUAUAGUUUUUCUUUCUUAUUCUUUUCCAAGUUUUUCUACAAAAAAAUUAAUCCAAGAUUUCAAAAAAAAAUAUCCUUGUACAAAAUGGGUUACUUAUGAUCCUAUUUCUUAUUCCAAAGUUUUGGAUGCUUCAGAAGAGAUAUUCGGAAUUCGUGGUUUUCCAUUCUUUGAUUUAAAUAAAUCAAAAUUAAUAAUUUCAUUUGAUGCUGAUUUUUUGGGAGACUGGAGUCCAGAGAAUAUGGCUAAAUCUUACGUUCUUAAUAGAAAUCCCGAAAAAAAAAUGAUGCAACAUAUUCAAAUAGAAAGUAAUAUGACGAUAAGUGGAGCAAAUGCAGAUAUUCGUUUAUCUAAAAAACCUUCUGAUAUAAAAAAAAUGUUGCUUGAAAUUUUUCAAAAUAUUUGUUUAGGAAAGCAGAUAAAAGAUAAAAAUUCUGAAAAAAUAGUUUCAUUAAUAAAAAAAAUAGGAUCUAAAAGUGUAAUUCUUGCAGACGGAGAUCAAGAGUCCUAUGAAUUAUCUUUUUUAAUUAAUAAAAAAAUUAAUAGUAACGCACUUCAAAAUGAUAAAUUUAUUUUUUCAAAAGAAAGUAAUGAUAAGGACUUCAAAAGUUUCUUGAAAGAUUUAGAAAACGAAAAUAUUGGAGGUUUAUUUAUUCAUAAUGUUAAUCCUAUUUAUAGUCUUCCAUUGUCUCUUUCUAAAAAAGUAAAGGAAUUUAUAAAAAAAAUCCCUCUAACAGUUUCGUUUUCUAUGAAUAAAAAUGAAACUAAUGAAAAUAUGGAUAUAAUAGCGCCUAUUCCUCAUUGGUUAGAAAGUUGGGGAGACACUUAUCCUAUUACUAAUAUUUAUACAUUAAUUCAGCCUACAAUUCAAUGUAUUUUUAAUACGAGACAAUUUCAAGAUUCUUUAGUAAUUUGGAGUGGGAUUCAAGAAAAAAAUUAUUACGAGUAUUUGAAAAAAAUUUGGGAAAAAAAUAUUAUUCCAAAAUCCAAUGUUUCUUCUUUUAAUGAAGCUUUAUUUCAUGGUGUAGUAAAGACUAAAAAUCAUAAACCUAUUUUAAAUAAUCUUUCAAAAAAAAUAAACCAAAAAAUAAGGAAAUAUGAAAAAAAAAUAAUUUAUCCAAAAAAAAUAGAAAAAAAUUUUGAACUUAAAUUAUAUACUAAAAUUAGUAUGGGAGAUGGAAAUCAAUAUAAUAAUCCUUGGUUACAAGAACUUCCAGAUCCGAUUACACGUACUACUUGGGAAAAUUAUUUAACUAUAUCAUACUUUGAUGCAAAUAAAAUGGAAUUAAAAAAUUGGAAUUCUGGAGAUGGAUCUUUAAAUGGAAAUUGUGUUGAUUUAAUCAAGAAUAAUCAAACAAUCAUACAUGAUAUUCCUGUUUUUAUUCAACCUGGUCAAGCUAUAGGAUCUUUAGGUUUUUCUUUUGGUUAUGGUCAAGAAAAAGGAAAAUUAACUAAAAUUACUCAAGGAACAAAUGCUUACAGAAGCUAUGAAAAUUUUUUCGUAAUACAAAAUAAUAUACAACUUAGAAAAGUAAAUAAAAUACAUAAGUUUUCUUGCGUGCAAUUACACCACACGAUGGUAGGAAGAAAUUUGGUGAAAGAAACAGAUUUAAAUUUAUUUUUAAAUAAUCCAAAAGAAGUUUGGAAUGAAAAAGAAAAAAUUUCAACUCAUAAAGGAAUGCUUUCUCCAGAUAAAAUUUCUAUUUGGAAUCAAAAUUAUAAAAAAAACGAAAAAAGAAACGGGCAUCAUUUUAAUUUAUCCAUAGAUUUAAAUGCUUGUAUUGGAUGUGGGGCUUGUAUUAUUGCAUGUCAUUCUGAAAAUAAUGUUCCUGUAGUUGGAAAAGAAGAAAUAGAAAAAUAUAGAGAUAUGCAUUGGUUACGUGUAGAUAGAUAUUAUUUUCCAGAUGAUUCAUCUAAAGAAAAAACAAAAAAAAAUGAAGAUAACAUUUAUGAGAAUCCAAAAGUAGUUUUUCAACCUAUUAUGUGUCAACAUUGUGAUAAUGCACCUUGUGAAUCUGUGUGUCCAGUUGGAGCCACUUCUCAUGGAAAACAAGGACAAAAUAUGAUGACUUAUAAUCGUUGUAUAGGAACACGUUAUUGUGCAAACAAUUGUCCUUAUAAAGUAAGACGAUUUAAUUGGUUUAAUUAUGUUAAUAAUCAAAAAUUUGAUUUCAACAUGAAUAAUUCUUUAGGAAAAAUGAUGCUAAAUCCAGAUGUAGUUAUCAGAACUAGAGGGGUUAUGGAGAAGUGUUCUUUAUGCAUACAAAGAACACAAUAUGUCAUAGGAAUUGCAAAAAAAGAAAAUAGAAAAGUUCAAGAUAAAGAAUUUGAAACAGCUUGUAGUAUCUCUUGUCCUACUAAAGCUAUCACUUUUGGUGAUAUAAACGAUCCUACUAGCAUUAUUUCUAAAAAAGUAAAAAAUUCUAGAUCUUAUAAACUAUUAGAGUUUAUAGGAGUAAGACCUAAUGUAUCUUAUCAACUGAAAAUUAGAAAUAAAAAUAAAAAAUGAAAUGGAAAAAAUGAAAAAGAAAAAAUUAUGUUAAAUCAUUAUGAAUCCCCUAUAAGACCUCCCUUAAUUUUAGGAAAAAAAACAUUGAAAAAUAUUACCAAUGAUAUACUUAAUCCUAUAAAAAAUAAAGCAGGAAAUCUAUGGUGGAUUUCUUUAUUAAUUUCUAUUUUAGCUUUUUUGUGGGGGAUAGGAUGUAUUUUUUAUACAAUUGGAACAGGUAUAGGUGUAUGGGGUUUGAAUAAAACAAUUAAUUGGGCAUGGGAUAUUACAAAUUUUGUUUGGUGGGUUGGAAUUGGUCAUGCUGGAACUUUAAUUUCAGCUGUUUUAUUAUUAUUUCGUCAAAAAUGGCGUUUAUCUAUUAAUCGUUCAGCAGAAGCAAUGACAAUUUUUGCCGUAAUCCAAGCUGGAUUGUUUCCUAUUAUUCAUAUGGGAAGACCAUGGAAUGCGCAUUGGGUUUUACCCAUUCCUAAUCAAUUUGGAUCUCUAUGGCCGAAUUUUAAUUCCCCUUUGUUAUGGGAUGUUUUUGCAAUUAGUACUUAUUUUUCUGUUUCUACUGUUUUUUGGUUCAUGGGUUUAAUUCCAGAUUUUGCAAUGAUACGAGAUCGUAUUUCAAAUCCUUUUCAAAAAAAAAUAUAUAAUAUUCUUAGUUUUGGAUGGGGAGGAACAUCAAAAGAUUGGCAAAGAUUUGAAGAAUUAUCUUUAAUUUUAGCUGGUUUAUGUACUCCAUUAGUAUUUUCUGUUCAUACCAUAGUUUCUUUUGAUUUUUCUACUUCUGUAAUUAAGGGGUGGCAUAGCACGAUUUUUCCUCCUUAUUUUGUUGCAGGAGCUAUAUUUUCUGGUUUUGCUAUGGUACAAACUUUACUAGGUGUAGCAAGAAAAGUUCUUUCUUUAGAGGAUUAUAUUACAAGAAAUCAUAUCGAAUAUAUGAAUAUGAUCAUUUUGUUAACAGGAGGGAUUGUUUUAUUAGCUUAUAUUUCAGAAUUUAUUCUUGCCUGGUAUUCAGGAGAUCCUUUCGAAAAAUUUAUUUAUUUUUCUGUAGAAGCAUCUAAAGGCCCAUUUUGGUGGGCUUUUUGGGCAUUAAUUAUUUGUAAUGUCAUUAUUCCUCAAUUUUUAUGGAUUAAAUAUGUACGAAGAAGCUUUUUUUGGUCUUAUCUCAUAGCUAUUUUCAUAAAUAUUGGAAUGUGGUUUGAAAGAUUUGACAUUAUUGUUUUAAAUCUAAGUCAUGAUUAUCUUCCUUCUUCUUGGGCAGGUUUUAUUCCUUCAUUUGUAGAUGUUGGUAUCUUUAUAGGAACCAUUGGUUUGUUUUUUAUUCUUUACUUGUUAUACAUACGUGUUUUUCCUGUUAUUUCACAAUCAGAAUUAAAAACAAUAUUGAAUCCAGAAAAAAAAUAGUAAUAAUGAAGAAUAUAUGUUAUGUACGUGCAUUAUAUGAUAAUGAUCAUACAUUAAUAAAUAAUAUAAAAAUUAUACAAAAUCAUAAUUAUAACAUAUAUGAAGUUUAUUCUCCUUUUCCCAUUCAUAAUUUAACUAAAGUGUUAAAACUAAAGAAUACGAAUUUAUCCUUUUUAUCUUUUAUAUAUGGAUUAUUAGGAUUUUUCAUAGCUUGUGUAUUAACUUGGUAUACUAUGAUUUGGGAUUGGCCUCAAAAUAUUGGAGGAAAACCUUCUUUUUCUUGGAUUAUAAAUCUUCCUUCUUUUAUUCCUGUUAUAUUUGAAUUUUCAAUUUUUUUUUCUGCACAUUUUAUGUGUAUUACUUAUCUCAUUCAAUGUGGAUUAUAUCCAGGUCGUGUAUCAAAAAAUCCAGAUUUAAGAACUACCGAUAAUAUGUUUUUAAUAGAAAUUCAUACUGAAAAACAUAUCAAAAAAUUAGUAAAUCUAUUGAAAAAAAAUGGAGCAAUAGAAGUUUCGAUAAAAAAUUAUAAAUCCAAUUAAAUAUUUUAUGAAAAAAAAAUAUUUCUACGAAUUUAUUAUUAUUUUAAAUAUGAUUUUAUUUCUAUCUAUAGUAGAAUCUUGUUGGUUUGAUAAAAAAAAACCAAAUAUAGUAUACAUGCCAGAUAUGUAUUACUCAGAAGCAUAUGAACCUUAUUCAGAUCCUUAUUCUAAUUACAAUAAUAAAAAAGAAAAAAAUAUUAAAAUUCCUUUAUUUUCAAAAGAAAAAACUUCUUCACUAUCUCCAGUAGAAGGAACAAUUUCUAGAAAUAAUUCGUUUCCUAAUUUUAAAAAUAUCAAAAAUAAAGGAUUGAAUUAUUCAAAAAACAUUAUUCAAAAUCCACUUAUUAACAAUCAUUACGAAAAAAAAGAAAUUAUAAUAAAAAAAGGAAAAAAAUUAUAUCAAAUCAGUUGUUCUAUAUGUCAUGGUAAAAAUGGAGAUGGACAAGGAGAUUUGGUUAAAAACGAAAAAAUUUUUGGAAUCCCUAAUUAUAAAGAUAGAGAUCUAACCGUUGGUAGUAUUUAUUAUGUUAUUACAUAUGGAAAGAAUAAUAUGAAUUCUUAUGCUUCACAAUUAAAUGAAAUAGACAGAUGGAGGGUUUCAGAAUAUGUUAUGUUUUUAAAAAAUAAAUAAAUAUGUAUCAAUUUUAUGCAAUGAAUAAAAAAAAAUUCAUCAUUUUAAUAAUGAUUAUCGUAGGUUUUUUUUUUCUAUUUUUAGAAAGAAUAUUUCUUUAUAAUAAAAAUAUUUCUAUCACAAACAAUCAUAAUCCUUGGAUCGCUUUAUAUAUUUCUAUUUUUUAUUUUACUUCUAUAUCUUUAGGAACAUUAUUUUUUUUAGGAAUACAGAACGUAUCAAAAUCAGGUUGGUCUGUAAUUAUCCAUCCUAUAAUGGAAGAAAUCUCUUCUUUUAUUCCAUAUGGAGGAAUUAUGAUCCUUAUUAUUUUUCUAUUAAAUACAAUGGAUAUUGUUCAUAUAUUUCAUUGGAUGAAUUUAGAUUUGUAUAACCCUAUUUAUUUAAAUAAUGAUAAAAUUGUUUCUAGUAAGAGAUUUUUUUUGAAUACUCCAUUUUUCUUAGUAAGAAGUGUUCUUUAUAUAUUAAUAUGCAGUUUUUUUUAUUCAAAAAUAAAAAAAAUAUCUUGUAGAUUAUAUAUAACACAUUCGUUAAAUGAUUAUAAAAAAUUAUAUUUCGUAUCUAUUAUUUUUAUUAUAUUUUUUUCUGUUAUUUCCAUAUUUAUGAUAUGGGAUUGGGUUAUGUUUUUAAAUCCACAUUGGUUAAGUACUUUAUUGAGUUGGUAUGUUUUGAGUAGUUUCAUAAUAACAGGAAUAAGUACUGUUACAAUAAUCGCUAUCUUUUUGAAUAAAAAAGGAUUAUUUCCUUUAUUUAGAAAAAGUCAUCUACAUGACCUUAGUAAAUAUUUAUUUUCCGGUAGUUUAUUAUGGACUUAUUUAUGGUUUUCACAAUUUUUUUUAUAUUGGUAUGGAAAUAUUCCAGAGGAAAUUACAUAUUUUGUAAAGAGAGAAGAAAUUUAUUAUUCUAUUCAUUUUUGGAUGCUGAUUCCUAAUUUUUUAAUUCCUUUUUUUUGUUUAAUGAGUAGUAAAAAUAAAUCAAAUUACAAAAUAGUUUUUUCAAUUUCUUUAAUAUUAUUAAUAGGUCAUUAUAUUGAUAUAUAUAAUUUAAUUGCACCAGAUAUUUUUAGUAAAAAUGUAAAUAUCUGUAUACUUGAAAUCAUAGGUUCUAUAUUAAUCAUAGGAGCUUUUUUUAUUUAUAUUUUAUUUUCAAAUUUUAGUAAAAGAAAACUUAAUUCUUCUGAAGGAAAUCCUUUUUUUCAGGAAAGCAAAAAUUAUACAUAUCCUUAUAUGUAAAUAUUAUAUAUUUAACUUUCUUUUCAAGAAAAAAUGUCAAUUUAUGUUUUGUAAUAAAGAUAAUUUUUAUAUUGAAAAAUAAAUCUAUUUUUUAUCUUUUAUAAAAUUCAUAAUGGAUUUAUUAGAACCAAAAAGAGUUAAAAUAUCCCCCUGUUGUAAAACAGUAUCUCCUGUAACUAAUCCUAUGACUUUUCUUGUAUGAGUUUCUUUAGAUGAUAAUGGAUGAUGCGUAUCUCGUAUUACAGUAAUUAAAGAAACAGAAUAUUUUUGUGUCAAUUUUAAACUUCUAACAGAUUUUCCACUAAAAGAAGAAGGAGAAAAAACUUCUGCUAUAGAAUGUUUAUUAUCUAUUCUAAAAUAAUCUAAAGCAUAAUUAAAAGAUAUUUGUUUAGUUAAUCGGAACGCAGCAUCUUGUUCUGGAUGAAUUACAUCAUUAAUCCCCAUAGCUUCUAAUAUUGUAUCAUGUAUUUUAGAUAAAGAUCUACUUACAAUUCUCAAAUGUUUAUACUUCUUAAGUAUAGCUGUUGUUACUAUUGAUGAUCCUUCGUUUUCUCCAAUUGCUACAAUCCCUAAAUCCGCUUGUUGAAUAGGCAAUACUUUGUAAGCUGCUUCAUUAUUUGCAUCCAUACAUACUACAUUCGCUAUAUGAUCUUUCAAGAGAUCUAUUUUUUCCAUUUUAUGGUCUAUCCCAAAAACUUCAUGUCCAUUAUCUGUUAAGUUAAGUGCUAAAGAUCUUCCAAAAUUUCCUAAUCCAAUAAUUAUAAUUUUCAUAUUUUCUGUUUACUUAUUCUUUUUUUAAUUAAUAAGAAUAUUCCCUUUAGGAAAUCUGUAAUAAUGAUGGGAACCAAUUUUAUUUCUUCUCAAUAAACCGAUCAUAACAUUCAAAACUCCUAUUCUUCCUAACAACAUUAUAAAAAUUAAAAUUAAUUUGCUUCCAUUUGAUAAAUUAGAAGUUAUCCCUAAAGAUAAUCCUGCUGUAGAAAAGGCAGAAAAAACCUCGAAAAUAAUCGAUAAAAUAUCUUUUUUUGGAUCCAAAAAAAUUAUGAUUAAAACACUUAUGUAUAUAACCAUUAUAGAUAGCAUAAUAAUAGAAAAAGAUAAUCGAAUCAAUUCAGAAGGUAUUUCUUUUCUUUGUAUUUCUAAUCUAUUUUUUCCUAUAGAUAAUGAAAUAAUAUUCAUUAAUGCUAAUGCAAAAGUACUUGUUUUUAUUCCUCCCCCAGUAGAAGCCGGAGAAGCUCCUAUCCACAUCAAAAAAAUAGUAAAAAAAAUAGUAAUUGGAGCUAAAGUGUUCAUAUUUAAUACAUGAAACCCAGCUGUUCUAGUUGUAGCUGAAGAAAAGAAUGAAACAAUCCACUUUCCAUGAAAGGAAGAAUGUUCGGAAAGAGAACCAUAAUAUUCACUAGCAUAAUAAAAAAUAGUUCCAAAAAAAAGUAAAUAAAAAGUUGUUAAAAUAACAAUUUUUGUAUUUAAAGUUACUACAUGUGCAGGGCAUCUAAGAUCCUCAUCUUUAAAAAUUCUGAAAAAAUAUUUCUUGAUAACUAACCAUAUAUAUGCAAAAAAAUUAAAUAAAAUAUUAAAACCUAUUCCUCCCAAUAUUAAUAAAAAAGCAAUAAUUAAUUGAAAUAAAUAAUUAAAUCUAACAGAUUUUGAAUAUAGUCCUUGACUUAAAGUAGAAAAACCACUAUUACAAAAAGCGGAUAUAGAAUGAAAAAUAGAAAAAAAUAAAAGAUUAUCAGAUUCUAUUGUAUUUGCAUUAUUUUCAAUAGAAAAAUAAAUUAACAAAGUUCCUAUAAAUUCUACUGUUAAAGUAAACAUAACUACUUUUACGGCUAAACUAAGAACGUUAUUUGUCGUUUUUGUAUUUAAAAAAUUACUAAUAAAAAUGGCUUCUUUAAAAGAAAAUCCAUCUCUAAAAAAAUAACUAAAAAAGGAAGUAAUAGUUAAAAUACCCAAUCCCCCCAAUUCUAUUAGAAUAAGUAUAAAAAUUUUACCUAAAUAUGUAAAAUCUUUAGCCGUAUCUAAUACGACUAAACCUGUUACACAUACAGCGCUAGUAGAAGUAAAUAAAGCAUCUACAAAUGAUAUUUUUUUUACUGUAGAUGCUGGUAGCAUUAACAAGAUAGAACCUAAAAAGGAUAAAAAAACAAAACUUGUAAUAAAUAUAAAAGCAGGAUUAUGAAUUUUAACAUAUACUAUUCGUAUAAAAUAAGUAAUACGAAUUAGAAUAUAUAAAAUUAAACUAAUGAGUGUAUAAAUUUUAAUAUCUGAAAUAACUCUUUCAUUAUAAUAAGAAAAAAUGAAUAUUUUUAGAAAUGAAAGUAUAAGAGAGAAUAUAAGAACAAAAAAAGAUAAAAAAAUCAUGGAUCUAUAACCUUUUUCAAGAUUUUUAUUAAAAAAAAUAAAAAAGUGUAAUAUACUUGUUAUUGAUACAAUUCCUAAAAGGAUUUCUACAUUAAAAAAUCGAAAACUUUUCCAUCCUAAAGAAAGAAUUAUAUAAAUGAAUAUAAUUGGAGUAAACAUAUCCAAAAAAUUUUUAAAUUUAAUUUGGAUCAUGGUUUUAUAUGAUAAAUUUUUUUCUAUUUUCUUUCUAUGAAUAGACUAUACAAAAAAUAAAAAAUAUUUUGAAACAAAAAAAAUUUCUUUAUUAUAUAAUCACAAAUAUUAAUAAUAUAAGAAAAGGUUUUUUUAUAUAAAAUCUUAUCAACCAUAUAAAAAAUGUAAUACUUUUCCUAAGUUAUGUCGUAGGAUUUUUUUACUAUAUAGUUUUUUUUAAAAAAUUAUGUAUUUCUUUUUUAUAAGUAAAAAGGAAUAAAUUUUUCCAUAUUAGAAAAACUUUUUUUACAAAAUUUUUUAUAAGAAAUAAGAGACAUAUCCAUUGCAGAUGGAUUUUUGUAAAAAAAAUUAUUUUUUUUUGUAGAAAAAAAUUUUUUUUUGAGAGAAAAAGUAUUUCCUAUGAAAUGAACUUUUUUAUAUUUUUUUGAGAUAGAUUUAAAAAAAUCGUCAUCUAGUUUUUUUAUUUUGAUAGGAUUUAUUCUUUUUUUUGAUUCAUUAAAUAAUGAAAUGUAGAAAAAAUCAGAUUUAGCAUGUACCAUAGGUAUCAAAAAUCCUUUUUUUAUAAAAUUAUAACCCAUGACCAUUAUUGUCAACGUAUCUACAGAUAACAAGGGAAUAUUUAAAGCAGAACACAAACCUCUAGCCGCCGAUGCCCCUAUUCUCAAAGAAGUAUAGGAUCCUGGUCCUUUGUUAACACAAACAGAUUUUAAAUCUUUAAGAUGAAUUCCGGAAAUAUUUAUAACAUAUUGUAUAAACGCAUGCAAUUUUUCGGAAUGAAAAUAAUCUUCUGAAGAUUCUUCUACAGAAGUUAAACAUAUUCCAUUUUUAGCAAUACUAACUGAACAAUUUUUAGUAGAAGUUUCUAAAUUUAGGAUUAAAGACAUAUUAAAAAAUUUUAUUUAAAUAAUGUAUUCAUAUCAAUCAAAUGAUAAAAUAGAAAAAAUAAUUAGAUAUAUUGUUUCUUGGUUGAAAAAAUAUAUUCGAAGAUCUCAAUCUAAUGGUUUUAUCAUUGGAAUAUCUGGAGGAAUUGAUUCUUCAGUCACUUCUUUCUUAGUAGCUAUGACAAAAUAUCCCACUAUUAUAUUAGAAAUGCCCAUUAUAGAAAAAAAAAAAAAUUUUUUACCUAUAAAACAUGCAAACUUUUUGAAAAAAAAAUUUUCGAACGUCCAUUAUUUUGAAAAUGAUUUGUCUAUUUUAUUCAAAACUUUUUGUAAUACAACAAAUGAUAUUCAAAAAAAAUCGAAUCUUCCUUUAGCAUUAGCUAAUGUAAAAUCCCGUAUUCGUAUGUUAACUUUAUAUUAUUAUGCUAAUAUCAAAAAUUAUCUUGUUGUUGGAACUGGAAAUAAAGUGGAAGAUUUUGGAGUCGGUUUUUUUACAAAAUAUGGAGAUGGAGCUGUAGAUUUACACCCUAUAGCCGAUUUGACUAAAAGCGAAGUCCGUAUUUUGGCUAAAAAAUUAAAUAUUAUUGAUGAAAUUCAAAAGGCAAAACCAACGGAUGGACUUUGGGAAGAUCAAAGAUCAGAUGAAGAGCAAUUAGGAAUAACUUAUGAAGAAUUAGAAUGGGCAAUGAAUUUUGUGGAGAAAAAAAAAUAUGCUUUUUCUGAAAUAGAAUAUAAAAUUUUAAAUAAAUAUAAAAAAUUACAUAAAAAAAAUAGACAUAAAAUGAUUCCUAUUCCUAUAUGUAAAAUACCUGAUAGUAUAAAAAAAAAUUAAAAAUACUAUUAUUAAAAUAUUAAAUAAUAAAUCAUAACAAAAUCGUUUUUGUAACUUUGUUUUUCAUGUAUUAAGUUCAUUUUAUGAUGGAAGGAAAACAUAAUAAAAUUUUAAAAAAAAAAGAAUUAAAUCAAAAAUAUAAUUCUAUUUUAAAUCAUUCAACUAACAAUCCAAAACUUAUUUUACAUAAUAAUAUUUUUUUUAUUUAUGAGUGAGGAAAAGAAAAUUGAAAAAAUAGAAAAACAUUUUUUUCAUAUUAUGGAAAUUUUAGGUUUAGAUAUGAAUGAUGAUAGUUUACGAAAAACACCAAAACGAGUUGCAAAAAUGUUUAUACGAGAAAUAUUUAGCGGACUGGAUCCAAAAAAUACACCUAAUUUUUCCAUUUUUGAAAAUAAAUAUAAAUACAACCAAAUGUUAAUAGAAAAAAAUAUAACAGUUUAUUCUACUUGUGAACAUCAUUUUCUUCCCAUUAUAGGAAAAGCACAUGUAGGUUAUAUUUCUAAUGGAAAAGUUGCUGGGCUUUCUAAAAUUAAUAGAAUUGUAAAUUUUUAUGCAAAAAGACCACAAGUUCAAGAACGUUUAACUAUACAAAUUGUUCAAUCUUUAAAAAAGAUGUUAGAAACAAAGGAUGUUGCUUGCAUUAUAGAAGCAAAACAUUUAUGCGUAAAUUCUCGUGGAAUAAGAGAUACAGACAGUAGUACGAUUACUACUGAGUUAAUAGGGGCCUUUAAAAAGGAUUCAGAAAUUAGAAAAGAAUUUUUGCAUCAUAUUGGAAUUUCUUAAAUGGAAAAAAUGGAAGAAAAAAAUUACCAAAAAGAAAAUAGAAAUCAUUUAAAAAUAUAUAACUCUUUAACAGAAAAAAAAGAAUUAUUUUAUCCAAUUCAUAAGAAAUAUGUUGGAAUUUAUGUAUGUGGACCUACAGUUUAUAAUUCCUUACACUUAGGAAAUUGCAGAACUUUUAUAUCAUUUGAUAUCGUUUUUCGUUAUUUAAAACAUUUGGGAUAUAAAGUACGUUAUGUGAGAAAUAUUACAGAUGUUGGACAUUUAGAAAAUGAAGAUUUUGACAUAGAAGAUAAAAUUUCAAAAAAAUCUCGUAUAGAAGGACUUGAACCAAUGGAAAUAGUUCAAAAAUAUACUAUUUCUUUUCACAAUUUAUUAAAUGUUUUAAAUCUAUUACCUCCAAGUAUAGAACCUACGGCUACAGGUCAUAUUAUAGAACAAAUAGAUAUGAUUCAAAAAUUAAUUCAAAAAAAAUUAGCCUAUGAAAUAAAUGGUUCUGUUUAUUUUAAUUUAACAGAAUAUAGAAAAUUUCAUUCUUAUGGAAGAAUAAGCAAAAAUAAAGUUGAUCAACUUUUUUAUAAAAAAUUAAAAUUUACUGAAGAAAAACGUGGAUUUCAUGAUUUUUCUCUUUGGAAAAAAGCUCAUUCUAAUCAUAUUAUGAAUUGGAAUUCUCCAUGGGGAAAAGGAUUUCCUGGUUGGCAUAUAGAAUGUACUACAAUGAGUACAAAAUAUUUAGGAGAAACCUUUGAUAUUCAUGGUGGAGGAAUAGACCUAAAAUUUCCUCAUCAUGAAUGUGAAUUAGCACAAGCUAUAGGAAUUUAUGAAAAAAAUGAUUUUGUUCAUUAUUGGAUGCACACAAAUAUGCUUACUUUAAAUGGAAAAAAAAUGAGCAAAUCCACAGGAAAUUUUUUGGAAUUACAAGAUAUUACUUGUAAUAAAAAUUUUUUUCCUAGUAUUUUUAGAUUUUACAUUUUACAAACUCAUUAUAGAAAUAUUAUGAAUUUUUCCAAUAAAGGACUAGUAGAAGCUGAAAAAGGAUAUCAUAAAAUUAUGAAAGCUAUAAAAAUAUUAAAAAAUUCAGAACCUGAAAUAUCAGAAAAUUGUGAUACUUUUAAUGUUUAUCACUGGAUAGAUAUUUGUUAUAAAGCUAUUAAUGAUGAUUUUAAUAUUCCUUUAUUGAUAACUCAUUUAUUUCAAGUUUCUACAUAUAUUAUCAAUAAUAAUUCCAUUCAAAAUUUACCUCAUUUUCAUCUAUUAAAAAAAUAUAUGAUUUAUUUUGUUUUUGAUAUUUUAGGAAUUCAAGAAAUCAAUUAUCAUGAAGAAAAUUCUAAAAAAUUCAAAACCCUUAUAGAAAAAUUAAUUAAAAUUCGUAUAGAAGCAAGAAAACAAAAACAUUGGAUCAUUUCAGAUAAAAUUCGGAAAGAAUUAUAUCAUAUAGGAAUUUCAUUACAUGAUAAAAAAUUUUCUUCAUAGAGCUUUUAAAGCCUGAUCGAGGUCUUCUAUAAGAUCGUCUACAUUUUCUAUUCCAAUAGAUAAACGAAUCAUAGAAUCUUGUAUUCCUGCGUUAAUCCUGAUAUCUAAAGGAGUUGAUUUGUGAGUCAUAGUUACCGGAUGACAAAUUAAACUUUUUGUUCCUCCCAAACUUUCUGCUAGUUUAAAUAAUCUUGUAGAUGUUACAACUUGUUUUGCGGAUUCUAUUGUAUUUUUUUUUAAACUAAAAGAAAUAAUCCCUCCAAAAUAUCGUUGUUGUUUUACUGCAAUAAAAUGGUUUUUAUGAUGAGAUAAUCCAGGAUAAUAAAUUUUAUCUAUUUUAUCACUAUUUUUUUUAUCCUUUAAAAAAGAAGCGAUUUUAUAUGCACUUUUAGAUUGUUUUUUAAUACGUAAGUAUAACGUUUGGACUCCUCUUAUAGUCAACCAACAAUCGAUAGGAGAUAAAACACCUCCUGUUGCAUUUUGAAUAUACUUUAGUUUUUCAUAUAAAUCUAUAUUUUUCACAGUAAUCAAUCCAGCUAAUACAUCCGAAUGUCCUGAUAAAUAUUUUGUUGCACUGUGAACAACUAUAUCUGCUCCUAGUUUUAAAGGAUUUUGAAUAGCAGGAGAAGCAAAUGUAUUAUCUACAACAACUAAAACAGUUGGAUUUUUCUUUUUUGAUUUAUUACUAAUAAAUUCUAUAUCAGAUAUUUUUAAUGUAGGAUUAGUUGGUGAUUCUAACCAAAUUAAUUUUGUAUUAUCAGAAAUAGAGGAUAUAGUUUUUUCUAUAUCUGUCGUAUCUACAAAAUUAGUACUAAUUCCUAAUUUUUUGUAUAAAUUAAGUAAACGGAAUGUUCCUCCAUAAAUAUCAUCCACAGCUAUGAUUUCAUCUCCAAUUUUUAGUAAUUUUAAUACGGCAUCUACGGAUGCUAAUCCAGAAGAAAAUGCUAAACUAGCAUAACCGUAUUCCAAAUUAGUUAUUAAUUUUUCUAAUAUUUUUCUUGUAGGAUUAUUAGUUCUAGUAUAAUCAAAUCCUUUAUGUAUACCAGGAGAUUCUUGUACAUAAGUUGACGUUUGAUAUAUUGGUGUAGAAAUAGCGCCUGUAAGAGGAUCAGAUAAAAUAUUUUGAAUAAUUUUUGUUUCUUCCUUCAUUGUAAGAUUUAUUUCAUAUAAUAUCGUAUACAAAUGUACUUAAAAUGAAAAUACAAUUUUUGGGAUUUUUUUUUAUAAGAAAAGACAUUUUUUUUGAAAAAAAUAUAAAUUUGUUUUCUAUUUUUCUACUAUUAGUAUAAAAAUGAAUACAAGAAAGAAAAUAAUAUAUUUAUUAUUCUUUUUUUUGUUUUUAUUUUUCUUUUUUUUUGUAGAAUCUUCUGAUAAGAAAAAGAAAAAUCGUGAAAUAAAAAAUGAAAAAAAGAGUAUGGAUAUAGCUCAUACUAUUUUGGAUCAUGUCAGUGAUUCUCAUGAAUGGCAUAUUGCAGGUACUCCAAAUCAUGGAAUUAUUUUUCCUCUACCAGUUAUUUUAUGGAAUAAUGGAUUUGAAUUUUUUUUUUCCUCUAAUUUUUCAUACGGUAAUGUAGUGAAAGGAAAACAUGGAUAUUAUAAAAUGUUUAGGCAGACAAUAUAUAAAACUAAUAAUAUAGGAUCAUUACAUAUGGAUUCAAAAGGAUAUCCAAAAAAUGAUAAACCUUUGGAUCUUUCUAUAACCAAAAAUUUGGUCUCCAUUUUCAUAUCCUCUUUUUUAUUGUCUUAUCUUUUUAUACGGAUGAAACAUAGUUAUAAAAAUCAUCAAACAAAAUGGCGUCUAGGAAUUUUUUUAGAAUUUUUCAUCUUAUUUAUAAGAAAUGAAAUUGCAAUUCCUAAUAUUGGAAAAAAAUAUAAAAAAUUUCUUCCUUUUUUGUUAACAUCCUUUUUUUUUAUAUUAAUUAAUAAUUUAAUAGGUAUUAUUCCAGGGUUUCCAAAUGUAACAGGAAAUAUAAAUAUAACAUUAGUAUUAGCUACUAUGACAUUUAUUGUAACCAAUAUAAAUGCAAAUGUGAGUUAUUGGAAACACAUUUUUUGGAUGCCAGGAGUUCCAAUAGGAAUUAAAUUAUUAUUAGCUCCUAUAGAAUUUAUUGGUAUUUUUAUUCGUCCGUUAACUUUGUGCAUUCGAUUAUUUGCUAAUAUUACUGCUGGACAUAUAAUUAUUUUAAGUUUUGUUUGUCUCAUUUUUAUCUUUAAAAAUUUUUUCGUAACUGGUUUUUCCAUAAUUUUUGGUUUUUUUAUUUCUAUGCUAGAAAUUAUGGUAUCUUUUUUACAAGCUUUUAUUUUUACAACUUUGUCUUCUUUACUUAUAGGAAUGUCUGUUAAAGAUUAUGACAAUGAUAAAAUACAUUAAAAUUAUAAUAAUAUGGAUAUAGAUUUAACAUAUUCAGGUUUAGCUGCUUUAGGAUCUGGGCUCGCAGUAAUAGGAGCAGGGUUAGGGAUUGGAAAGAUUGGAAGUUCUGCAAUGGAUGCCAUUGCUAGACAGCCUGAAGCUUCAAAUAAAAUACAAAAUACUAUGAUCAUAGCUUCUGCCUUGAUCGAAGGAGCUGCGUUAUUUGGAAUAGUUACUACAUUAUUAGCUGUAUUUAAAUAAAAUUUCAAUGGAUUUAGUAACCCCUUCUAUUGGACUCAUUGUUUGGCAUACAAUAAUAUUUAUAAUUCUUAUGCUUUUUCUUUCAAAAUUUGCUUGGAAACCUAUAAUAAGUUUUAUUGAUCAAAGAGAGGAAAAAAUUAAAAUUUCUAUUGAAAAAGCUGACCAAGUGAAAAAAAAAUUGGAAUCGAUAGAAGAUCAAAAAAAUAAAAUUUUAAAAAAUGCUUAUGUAAAAAGAGAUAUCAUCCUGAAAGAAGCUAUUCAAAUUAGAGAAAAAAUAAAAUCAAAAGCAAAAAAUGAAGGAAUGAUAGAAAAGAAAAAAAUUAUAGAAGAAACAAGAAAAACUAUUCAAAUAGAAAAAAAAGUAGCUAUACUUCAAUUAAAAAAGAAAAUAGGAGAUAUUUCUAUUCAAAUAUCCGAAAAAAUAUUAAAAAAAGAAUUAGAUCAAUACAAUAAACAAGAUCAAUUAAUAAAAGAAUUAGUAGAUAAAUUAUACUAAUUUUAUUGAAAUGUUAUCAAAUAAAAAUCAAAAAAUCAUUCAACAUUAUGCAAGAGUUUUUUUCGAAUAUUCUAUUACGAAUAUGAAUGAUAAUAAUAUUGAAUUUUUUUAUCAAAAACUAAACAAAGUAUCUACAUUUUUAAAAAAAAAUACAUACAUACAUACAAUUAUUAACACAGAUCUAUUAUAUACUGAAAAAAAAAUAGAAAUUUUCAAAAAAAUAUUCUAUAAUUUUGAUGCUUUACUUUUUAAAUUUACUAAAAUUCUCAUCCUAAAAAAGAGAGAAUCUUUUUUAAAAGAAAUUUUUUUAGAAUUUAAUAGGAUAUACGAAGAAAAUCGAAAAGGAUUUGUUAAAUCUAUCGUAAUUUCUGCUUUUCCCUUGAAAGAGGAAACAAAAAAAAUGAUUGCACAUAAAUUAUAUAACAAAAAAAACAAAAAAAAAUUUUAUAUCAUUAAUAAAAUAGAUAAAUCUAUUAUUGGAGGUUUUAUAUUUCGUAUAGGAUAUAAAGAAUGGAAUUUCAGUGUUCAAGAACAGUUAUUAUGUAUUCAAAAAUACGUAUUUCAAAAUCAUAAAUAUAAUUAGUUAAACAAAAUUAAAGUUUUUAUCCUCAUAUGUCAGAUUUAAAAUAUUCUGAAAUAUCUUCAAUUCUUAAGGAAGAAUUAUCAAAUUUUCAAUUUGAAUCAAAAUUAACUGAAUCUGGUAUUAUUGUUCAAAUAGGAGAUGGAAUUGUUCGGGCCUUUGGAUUAAAUUCCGCUUUUUAUGGAGAACUAGUGGAAUUCCAUUUUGGAAUUAAAGGAAUGGUUCUAAACUUAGAAGAAGAUCAUGUUAGCAUUGUUUUAUUUAGUUCAUCAAAAAAAUUGAAAGAAGGAGAUACCGUAAAAAGAACUGGAAAAAUUUUUUCGAUUAAAGUAGGAGAAAAUAUGUUAGGACGUGUUGUAGAUGUAUUAGGAAAUCCUAUAGAUGGAAAAGGACCUAUAGAAGGAAAAUUAUUUGAAAUGCCGUUGGAAAGAAAAGCUCCAGGAGUAAUUUAUAGAGAACCGGUUCAAGAACCUCUUCAAACAGGAAUAAAGUUUAUAGAUUCUAUGAUUCCUAUAGGAAAAGGACAAAGAGAAUUAAUUAUUGGAGAUAGACAAACUGGAAAAACAACCAUAGCUAUUGAUACAAUUAUUAAUCAAAAAAGAUUUUUUGAAAAAAAUCAUCCUGUUUAUUGUAUUUAUGUAGCUAUUAGUCAAAAAGGUUCUACUAUAGCAAGGAUUUCAAAAAUAUUACAAGAAAAAGGAGCUAUGCCUUAUACAAUUAUAGUUUCUUCUACUUCUUCUGAUCCCGCUUCUAUGCAAAUUUUUGCUCCUUUUUCUGGAACUGCAAUCGGAGAAUACUUUCGGGAUACAGGUCGUUCUUCUUUAAUAAUAUAUGAUGAUCUUUCAAAACAAGCAGUUUCUUAUAGAGAAAUGUCCCUAUUGUUAAGACGUCCACCUGGUAGAGAAGCCUAUCCAGGAGAUGUUUUUUAUUUACAUUCUCGUCUUUUAGAAAGAUCAGCUAAAAUUAUAAAAGAUCAAAAAAUGGCUGAAAAAAUGAAUGACAUUCCACUUUCUAUUAGAAAAAAAAUAAAAGGUGGAGGUUCUUUAACCGCUUUACCUAUUAUUGAAACUCAAUCUGGAGAUAUAUCUUCUUAUAUUCCUACUAAUGUUAUUUCUAUUACAGAUGGUCAAAUUUUCUUAGAAAAAGACUUAUUCCACUCUGGAAUUCGUCCUGCAAUUAAUGAAAGUAUAUCUGUUUCUCGUGUAGGAGGGGCUGCACAAAUUCAAUCUAUGAGAAAAAUAUCUGGAACUCUAAAAUUAGAUCAAGCUCAAUUUAGAGAAUUAGAAUCUUUUUCAAAAUUUGGGGCUGAACUAGAUUCAUCUACUAUGAAUAUUCUAAAAAAAGGAAGAAUUAAUAUAGAGAUCUUAAAACAAACCCCUCAUACUCCUUAUGAUAUAGCAGAUCAAAUAGCGAUUAUUUAUGCUGGAACUAAAAAUUUACUUAAAAAUAUUCCUUUUAAUAAAAUUUCAGAUUUUGAAAAAGAAUAUCUUUUUUAUUUAAACGAAAAAUAUGAAAGUGUUUUAAAUUCUAUAAGAAAUGGAAUUUUUGAUAAAAAAAUAUCUGAUAUUUUAGAAACAGUAGCCUUAAAAUUAAAUGAUAAAUACGUUUCUUAAUUUUUAUUUUAUGUCUAAUCCAAAAGAAAUCAAGAGAAGAAUAUUAUCUACAGAAUCAGUUAUAAAGACUACAGAAGCAAUGAAAAUGAUUUCUAUAGUAGAAUUACGAAAAACAAAAAAAUCGCUAGAAAAGGUAAGAAAUUAUUUAGAUUCCAUAAAAUCAAUUUUUUUCGAUCUUCUAUUGAUAGAAAAUAAAAAAAAUAUUGAAAAAAAUCAAUUUUUUUCAAAAAAAGGAAAAAUAAAAUUAUUUAUUGUAUUUACCUCUGAUCGUGGAUUAUGUGGAACUUUUAAUUCUUUAAUUUUUUCAAAAAUUAAUUCUCUUUUUAAAAGAGAAGAAAAAUUACAUAAUGAAUGUUUAUUUUUUCCUAUUGGAAAAAAAGGUUUUGAUUUUUUAUGUAAAAACAAAAAAUAUAAUAUAUACGAUCAAAAUUGGAUAGAAAGUAAUUUAUUCUAUAAAAAAGUACAAUUUUUAGUAUCAGAGUUAAUUUUUAAUUUUUUAAAAAGAAAAUUUUCUUCUAUUUAUUUAAUAUAUAAUCAUUUGAAAAAAUCAUUUCUACAAGAAGUAGUAAUAGAAAAAUUUUUACCAAUCGAUUUCAAAAAUUUUAGAAAAAAAACACUAGAAUUUUCCUAUAUUCUAGAACCUUCUCAAGAAGAAAUAAUUAAUUUUAUAAUUCCAAAAUUUUUAAAUACAAAAUUAUUAAAAAUUUUUUUUGAAUCUAUCAUAGCAGAACAUACAUCCCGUAUGAUAUCUAUGCAUAAAGCAACAGAAAACGCUUCCGAUCUUAAACAAGAUCUAAUAUUAAAUUAUAAUAAAGAAAGACAAACUGCCAUUACUAAAGAAAUACUUGAAAUUAUAAGCGGAUUAGAAUCUUUAAAUUAAAUUAAAGAAAAUAAAACAUUUUGAACGAAAUAUCACAUAAUUUUUUUAUGGAAAAAAAAAUAAUGUUAACAGGAAUUAGAAGUACAGGAACUCCUCAUUUAGGAAAUAUUUUAAGUGUUAUUAUUCCAUCUGUAUCUAUAGCUAAUAAAAAUGCAAAACAUUCUUCAUUUAUAUUUAUAGCGGAUUUACAUUCUAUGAUUCAAAUGGAAAAAGAAAGUAUAAGUACCAUUAAAAAUUAUACUUAUCAAAUUGCAGCAGCAUGGUUAGCUUUUGGAUUAAACAUAGAUAAUUGUUUAUUUUAUAGACAAUCAGAUAUUUCUUCCGUUACCGAAUUAGCUUGGUAUUUUAAUUGUUUUUAUCCAUAUAAAAGACUUACAUUAGCACAUGCUUUUAAAAAAGAAAUAAAAGAAAUAGAUAAAAAAAAAAUAAGUGUUGGUUUAUUUACUUACCCUAUUUUAAUGGCUGCUGAUAUUUUACUUUAUAACGCAAAACUUAUUCCAGUAGGAAAAGAUCAAUUACAACAUAUAGAAAUAGCUCGUCGUAUUGCCUAUUAUUUUAAUAAAAAAAUAGGAAAACAAUUAUUUGUAUUACCUAAUGCUUUUUUACAAAAAAAAAUGUUUGUAAUAGGAACAGAUGGAACAAAAAUGAGCAAAUCUAAGAAAAACUGUAUUAAUAUUUUUUCUUCAGAUGAAAUUUUGAAAAAACAAAUUAUGAGUAUUCGUACAGAUAGUAAGUCUGUAAAAGAGAAAAAAAACCCAGAAACUGAUUAUAUUAUUUCUUUAUAUAGUUUGAUAGCUCCUGUAGAUAAAAUAGAGAUUAUGAAAAAAAAAUAUAUGAAAGGAGGAUAUAGCUAUUUCGAGGCAAAAAUUGCAUUAUAUGAAUACAUCAUUCAUAAAUUUUCGUCGGAAAGAAAAAAAUUUUUUUCUUUCAUAAAAAAUAAAUCUUUAUUGGAUCAUAUUUUAGAUUCAGGUGCUAAAAAAGCAAAAAAAAUAGCUGAAGAAAGAUUAAAUUUCAUUAGAAAACAUUUAAAAUUCAAUCCUAUAAUUUGAUUUAUCAAAUAUUUUUUGUCAUUAUGACACAAUUAUAAUUUUUGGCAAAUCUUUUGCUAAUUACAGUCCAUAGAAUUAUUUUGAAAAUAUUUUUAUAUUAUGAACAUUAAUCAAAAAAAUACUGAAGAACAGUCAAAACCAUAUUCUACUAAUGAAAUAAAUAAGAUAAAACCUUCUUUUUGUAAAAAAAAAGAAACUUAUGAUCCAUUGAAAAAAGAAAUUGAAUUUCUGAAAAAAGAAUUCGAAAAAGAAAAAGAUAAAUUCUUACGUCUUUUUGCAGAAUUCGAAAAUUACAAAAAACGGAUCCAAAAAGAAAGAUUUGAUAUUUUUAGAGAUGUUCAUGAACAAAUUCUUAUAGAUUUAAUUCCAAUUUUAGAUGAUUUUGAAAGAGGAAUUAAAGAAUUAAAAAAAUAUCAAGAAGAACAUCCAGUAAAAGGAAUUUUUUUGAUACAAGAGAAAUUCAUUAAUAUUUUAAAGGAAAAAGAAUUAAAUAAAAUAAAGAUAAAAAAAGGAGAUGAUUUUAAUACAGAUUUUCAUGAAGCUAUAACACAAAUUCCAGCUGUUACGGAAGAUUUAAAAGGAAAAAUUAUAGAAAUCAUAGAAGCGGGAUAUAUUCUAAAAGGAAAAGUCAUACGACACGCUAAAGUCAUUAUAGGAAAAUAAUUAAUUUUAUCUUCAUGAUGAAAAAAGAUUAUUACGAAGUAUUAGGAGUUUCUAAAAAUGCUUCUCCAGAAGAAAUAAAAAAAGCUUAUAGAAAACUAGCAAUAAAAUAUCAUCCAGAUAAAAAUUUAGAUAAUAAAAAGGAAGCAGAAGAAAAAUUUAAAGAAGCGGCUGAAGCUUACGAAGUAUUAAGUAAUUCAGAAAAAAGACAACGUUAUGAUAAAUUUGGACAUUCCGGAAUAAAAGGAAGUAGUUCGGGUUCAGGAAUGAAUAUGGAAGAUAUCUUUGAUAAUUUUGGAGAUAUUUUUGCAGAUGCAUUUGGUGAAGGAUUUUCUAGUUUUGGAUUUGGAAAAUCAAGUAGACACAGAACUAUCAAGGGAAGUGAUUUAAGAAUAAGAGUAAAACUUUCAUUAGAAGAAAUAGCUAAUGGAAUAGAAAAAAAAGUUAAAGUUAAAAGAUUAAAAGUUUCUAAAGGAAUCAAAUUUAAAAAUUGUUCAUCUUGUAAUGGAACUGGUCAAAUAAUCCGAAUCACUAAUACUAUUUUAGGAAGAAUGCAAACUACUUCACAAUGCGGGAUAUGUAAUGGAACUGGAAAAAUUAUAGGAAAUAUUCCUUAUGGAGCCAAUAAACAUGGAUUAAUUAAAGAGGAAGAAUUAGUGAAUAUUAAGAUUCCAGCAGGUCUUACAGAAGGAAUUCAAUUAAAAGUAUCUGAGAAAGGAAAUGAAGCCCCAUUUGGUGGAAUUUCUGGAGACUUGAUUGUAUUAAUUGAGGAGAUUCCUCAUCCUAAAUUAAAAAGAGAAGGGUGUAAUCUUCAUUAUGAUUUGUAUAUAUCAUUUCCAGACGCAAUAUUAGGAGCUUUAAAAGAGGUUCCAACUAUUAAUGGAAAAGCAAGAAUAAAAAUAGAUUCAGGAACACAAUCAGGAAAAACUCUUAGAUUAAAAAAUAAAGGAUUACCUAAUAUUGAAGGAUAUGGAUAUGGAAGCCUUUUUAUUCAUGUUAAUGUUUGGACUCCAAAAAAAAUUAAUGAGGAACAAAGAAAAUUCUUUGAAAAAAUAAGAAAAAAUGAAAAUUUUCUUCCCCAUCCCGGAAAUUCAGAAAAAUCAUUUUUUGAUCAUGUAAGAGAAAUGUUUUCUUAAAAAAUCCUUUAUUUUUUCAUUUAUUGAAUAAUUAUUAGUUCCUCUACAAUUCUAUUUUUAUUUUAAUAAGAUUCUUUAUUAUUUUAUCAAUUUUUAUUAUGAUGCAAAAAGUAGUAGUUGGCCUUUCAGGUGGCGUAGAUUCAAGUGUUGCUGCAUUAAUCCUAAAAAAUAAGGGUUAUGAAGUUAUUGGUUUAUUUAUGCAUAAUUGGGAGGAAGAUGAUUUUAAUCAUCAUCAUAAAUGUUCUUGGAAAGAAGAUAGCAUUGACGCUAUGUUAGUAGCUAAGCAAUUAGAUAUUCCUUUUCAAAUAAUCGAUAUGAAAAAUGAAUACAAAAAACAUAUUAUAAAUUAUAUGUUUAAUGAAUAUAGUUUAGGAAAAACUCCUAAUCCAGAUAUUUUAUGUAACAAAAAAAUAAAAUUUAACAUUUUUUUGAAAAAAUCUCUUAAUUUAGGAGCUAAUUUUAUUGCUACAGGACACUAUGUUAAUAAAGAAAAAAUUAUAAAAAACAGAAAAAUAAUUUAUCGUCUUUUGAUUGGAAAAGACUUUAAUAAAGAUCAAUCAUAUUUUUUAUGUCAAUUAACACAAUAUCAGUUAAAAAAAUCCCUAUUUCCAUUAGGUUUAUUAACUAAAAACCAAGUAAGAAAAAUAGCAGAAGUGCAUAAAUUAUGGAAUGCUCAUAAAAAAGAAUCUCAAGGAUUAUGUUUUGUAGGUAAAAUUCAUUUAUUUAAUUUUCUUAAAAAAAAAAUCACUCCAAAAAAGGGAGAAAUAAUAUAUAUUAAUUCUACUGCUUCAGUAUAUCAUGAAAAAAAAAAUUUUUUUUCUAAAGAAGAAGAAUUAUUUUUUCUAUCGAAAAAAAAAAUAUAUAAAAAAUCAGAUGGAAAAAUAAUUGGUUAUCAUCAAGGUGCCUAUUAUUUUACUAAAGGACAACGUAAGGGAAUAGCAUUAGGAGGCUAUAAAGAACCUCUUUUUGUUAUAGAUACUGAUGUAAAAAAAAAUAUCGUUUAUACAGGAAUGGGAAAAAAACAUCCAGGAUUAUAUAGAAAAUCUUUGUUUAUUCAGGAAAAUAAUAUUCAUUGGGUUCGAAAAGACCUUUCAAUUUUCGAAGGAGAAAAAAUGAAUGUUCUUUGUAGAAUUCGUUAUAGACAGCCAUUACAAAAAUCAAAAUUAUAUAAAAUAAAAAAAGGAAUGUUUAUCGAAUUUGAAAAUAUGCAAUGUGCUAUAACGGAGGGGCAAUUUGCUGUUUGGUAUCUUGGAAAAGAAUUAAUCGGAUCAGGAAUCAUCUCUAUGAUUUUAUAUUCCUUAAUUUUUUAAAUUGAAAAUAUAUAUCCACAAUAAUUUAUUAUAUUUUUAUUAUUAUAAACUUUAUAAUAUAUUUAUUAAUAAAUUGAAAAAAUAAUAAUAUUUUAAAAUAAAAACAUAAAAUCCUCUUUUAUAUAAUCUAUUUUUUUCAUAUUUUUGCAUAUUACAUAAUUAAAAAAAAUUUCAGAAUUCACUCUCAUAAAGCUAUUCAAAUUCGGUUUUUUUAUCCCCACUUUUUAUAGCUCGGAGUGAUCUUUUAUUUUUAAUAAAAAUUCAUGAAAAAAAAAAUUAACAAUUUUAGCCAAAAAAUUACAAAAGAAUCUAAUUUACCAGCAGCACAUGCUAUGUUAUAUGCUACAGGAUUAAAAGAAUUAGAUUUUUGUAAGGCCCAAAUAGGAAUUGUUAGUAAUUGGUAUGAAGGAAAUCCUUGUAAUAUGCAUUUAUAUAAAUUAUCCGAAAAAAUAAAAUCAUCGGUUAUAACUAAAGAUCUAGUAGGAUUUCAAUUUUCUACUAUUGGAGUAAGCGAUGGAAUUACCAUGGGAACUUCAGGAAUGAGGUAUUCACUUCCUUCUAGAGAAUUAAUAGCAGAUAGUAUAGAAACUGUAGUAGAUUCUCAUCAUUAUGAUGGAGUAAUAGCUAUACCUGGAUGUGAUAAAAAUAUACCAGGAGUUAUGAUUGCUUUACUGAGAUUGAAUAGACCAUCUAUUAUCGUAUAUGGAGGAAGUAUUUCUUCUGGAAAUUAUAAUGGAAAAAAAUUAGAUAUAAUUUCUUCUUUUGAAGCUUUAGGAAAAAAAAAUACUUUUCAAAUUUCCGAAAAUGAAUACAAAAAUAUCGUAAAAAAUUCUUGUCCAGGUCCAGGAGCUUGUGGAGGUAUGUAUACGGCAAAUACUAUGGCUUCUGCCUUAGAAACUAUGGGAAUGAUGCUUCCUUAUUCUUCUUCUUCUCCUUCAACAAGUGAAAAUAAAAAAAUAGAAUGUAAAGAAGUUUCUAAACAUAUUAAAAAUCUAUUAAAAAAAAACAUUAAACCAAAAGAUAUAGUAACUAAAAACUCUAUAAAAAAUGGAGUGAAAUUGGCAAUGUGUUUAGGUGGAUCUACUAAUUUAGUCUUACAUUUUUUAGCUAUUGCUAAAUCAGCAAAUAUUGAUUUCUCUUUAAAAGAAUUUCAAAAAAUUAGCAAUCAAGUCCCUCUUAUUGGAAAUUUGAAACCUAGUGGUUUAUUCUUAAUGGAAGAUAUUCACAAAUAUAUAGGAGGAAUGCCUGUUAUUAUAAAAUAUUUAUUAAAUGAAGGAAUAUUAUAUGGAGAUUGUUUAACUGUUACUGGAAAAACAUUAUAUGAAAAUAUGAAAAAUAUUCCUAAUAUAACUUUUAAUCAAAAAAUUAUUCAUUCUUUAGAUAAACCCAUAAAAAAAAAUAGCCAUAUCAGAAUUUUGUAUGGAAAUUUAGCUCCUGAAGGAGCUAUAGCUAAAAUUACUGGAAAAGAAGGAACAAUUUUCAGAGGAAAAGCUCGUGUUUUUAAUUCGGAAAAAGAAGCAAAUUCAGCUAUUAUAAAUAAUGAAGUUUUACCUGGAGUUGUUAUUGUAAUACGAUACGUAGGACCAAUAGGAGGACCAGGAAUGCCAGAAAUGUUAAAACCAACAUCGUACAUUAUGGGAUCUGGUUUAGGCAAAAAAGUCGCUCUUAUUACAGAUGGUAGAUUUUCAGGAGGAUCACAUGGUUUUGUCGUAGGACAUAUUACUCCAGAAGCACAAUCUGGAGGAUUAAUUUCUUUAGUACAAAAUGAUGAUUUUAUCAAAAUAGAUACGGAAAAUAAUAUUAUUACUCUUGAAGUAAAAAACGAAGAAAUCCAAAAAAGAAGAAGAAUAUGGAUUCCUCCUUUAUUAAAAGUUAAAAAAGGAUAUUUAUAUAAAUAUGCAAAAACGGUAUCUUCAGCUUCUGAAGGAUGUAUUACAGAUUAAUUCUAGUUUUUUUUUGAUUUUAGUAUGGAAAAAAAGUUAUUCUAUGGUUCAGAAAUAGUAAUAAAAGCACUUUUAUACGAAAAAGUAGAAUAUAUAUUUGGAUAUCCAGGAGGAGCGAUUAUGCCGAUAUAUAAUUCCUUACACGAUUACUUAAAUUCCAUUUCGCAUAUUCUUAUGCGUCACGAACAAGGAUUAAUUCAUGCAGCACAAGGUUACGCCAGAACAACUGGAAAAAUCGGUGUAUGUUUUACAACUUCGGGUCCAGGAGCUACUAAUUUAAUUACCGGAUUAGCAGAUGCUUUAAUAGAUAGCACACCUAUUGUUUGCAUUACUGGACAGGUUUCCUCUCAUUUAUUAGGAACUGACGCCUUUCAAGAAACAAAUAUUAUAGAUAUAUCUAUUCCUGUAACAAAAUGGAAUAUUCAAGUUUUAAAAGCUAAAAAUAUCUGUAAAUCAAUCCAAAAAGGAUUCUUUAUAGCUAAACAAGGAAGACCAGGACCUGUAUUAAUAGAUAUUACUAAAGAUGCUCAACUUCAAAAAACUGUAUUUCAUUAUACACGUUGUAAAUAUAUAAAAAAUUUUCAUCCAUAUCCUUGCAUAGAAAACAAAAAAAUUAUGGAAGCGGCAAAAUUAAUUAAUUCGGCUAAAAAACCCUUGGUACUUGUAGGUCAAGGAGUAAUUUUAGCAGAAGCAGAAAAUGAAUUUAAAAAAUUUGUUGAAAAAACAGGAAUUCCAGUAGCUAGUACUCUAUUAGGAUUAGGAGUGUUAAAUAGUAAUCAUCAUUUAUAUGUAGGAAUGUUAGGAAUGCAUGGAAACUAUGCUCCUAAUAUUUUAACUAAUCAAUGUGAUAUUCUUAUUGCAGUAGGAAUGCGAUUUGACGAUCGUGUAACUGGAGAUAUUAAAAAAUAUGCUAAGCAAGCUAAAGUUAUUCAUUUAGAAAUAGAUUCUUCCGAAAUCAAUAAAAAUAUCUUAUGUCAUGUCCCAAUUUUGGGAGAUUGUAAAUUAUCUUUAAAAAAAUUGAUUUUCUAUGUUAAUGAAUCUAUUCAUACAAAAUGGAAAGAUAAAUUCUUUCAACUUAAAAGAAAAGAAAAAACUAUAGUAAUACAAAGAGAUCUUUAUCCAAAAAAAAAAGGAAUCACCAUGGGUGAAGUAGUAAAAUGGAUAAACCAAUAUAAAAAAAAAAAUGCAGUUCUUGUAACUGACGUAGGACAACACCAAAUGAUAGCUUCAAGAUAUUUCAAUUUUACUUGUAAAAAAAGUCAAAUAACUUCUGGAGGAUUAGGAACUAUGGGUUUUGCUUUACCGGCUUCUAUAGGAGCUCAAUUAGGAGCUAAAAAUAGACAAAUUCUUUGUAUUGUAGGUGAUGGAGGUUUUCAAAUGACAAUUCAAGAAAUGGGAUCUAUCUUAGAAUAUAAAAUUCCUAUUAAAAUUGUAUUAUUAAAUAAUAAUUUUUUAGGAAUGGUACGUCAGUGGCAACAGCUUUUUUUUGAUAAACGUUAUUCAUGUACAGAAUUAGUGAAUCCAAAUUUUAUAAAACUAGCUCAAGCUUAUAAUAUAAAAGCAAAAAAAGUAAAUAAAAGAGAAGAGCUAGAAAACUCAGUAAAAAAAGCAUUAAAUCAUAAAAAAGCUUUUUUAUUAGAAGUUAUAAUUGAAAAAGAAGAUAACGUGUUUCCUAUGAUUCCUUCAGGAGCAUCUGUAGAUGAAAUUCGUUUAACAUGAAUUAAUGAUAAUUAUAAAUAAAAUAUAAAAAUAAUAUAUAAAAAAAUAUUAUGAAAAAUAAAUUCAGAAUAAUAAUUUUAGGAGAAAAAGAAACAAGAUUAUUAAGUAGGAUUCUUAUUAUUUUCAAUCGAAAAAACAUUAAAACUGAUCACAUUAAUAUAUCUAAUAAAAAUAAAAAAAAACCCAUUGAUACUAAUAACCAAUAUGUUAUAGACUUAAAAUGUAAAGAAGAUCAAUUAUUUAAAAUCAAAAAAUUAAUUGAAAAAUUAAUUGGUAUUAUUCAUGUUUAUUCUUACAAAUUAAAAGAAAAAAUUUAUGAAAAAAAAUGGAUUUACCAUUAGAUACAACAUAUUAAAAUUAAAUAAUAAAAAUUAUGAAAAUUAAAUUCGGAUCAAUAGAAGAAACUAUCAUUACAAGAGACGAAUUUCCAUUAUCUAAAGCUAUAGAAAUUUUAAAAAAAGAAACUAUUUCUGUUUUGGGAUAUGGAAUUCAAGGUCCUGGACAAUCUCUUAAUUUAAGAGAUAAUGGUUUUAAAGUUAUAGUAGGACAAAGAAAACAUUCUCUUUCUUGGGAAAAAGCAUUAAAAGAUGGAUGGAUAGAAGGUAAAAAUCUUUUUUCUUUAGAAGAAGCCUCUGAAAAAGGGAGUAUACUUAUGUAUUUAUUAUCAGAUGCAGGUCAAAUCUCUUUUUGGCCUAUUCUUAUAAAAUAUUUAACUGAAGGAAAAUCUUUAUAUUUUUCACAUGGAUUUGGAUUAACUUUUUGUCAUCAAACAAAAAUUUCUCCAUCUAAAAAAAUAGAUAUUUUUUUAGUAGCACCUAAAGGAUCAGGAACCAGUUUAAGAAAACUUUUUAAAAAAGGAAAAGGAAUUAACUCUAGCUAUGCUAUUUAUCAGGAUUAUAGUGGAAAUAGUUUAGAAAAAACUUUAUCAAUUGGAAUUGGAAUAGGAUCGGGAUAUUUAUUUGAAACAAAUUUUAAAAAUGAAGUGUAUUCUGACUUAGUCGGAGAAAGAGGAACUUUGAUGGGAGCUAUACAAGGAAUUUUUUCAGCACAAUAUCAAAUAUUAAGAGAAAAAGGACAUUCUCCUUCAGAAUCUUUCAAUGAAACUGUAGAAGAAUUAACUCAAAGUUUGAUGCCUUUAGUAUCGGAAAACGGAAUGGACUGGAUGUAUGCUAAUUGUUCUACUACGGCACAAAGAGGUGCUUUAGAUUGGUGGAAAAAAUUUAGAGAUGCUACUCUUCCAGUAUUUCAAGAAUUAUAUCAUGAAGUUUCUUCUGGAAAUGAAGCAAAAAGAAUUAUUAAAUCCAAUAGUGACAUAGAUUAUAGAAAAAAAUUACAAAAAGAAUUACAGGAUCUUAGAAAAAGUGAAUUAUGGAAAGUAGGAUCUAAAAUUCGAAAUCUUAGACCUGAAAAAAAAAGACAAAAUUAACUUAUAAUAUUUAUUCAAUAAUUUAUUUUAAAAGAUUGAAAAAUGAAUUUAAAGGAUACUUUCCUUCUUCUAAAGAAAUAAUUAAAGCUAAAAAUAUAUUAAAAAAUAUUAUUUAUGAAACUCCAUUACAAAAAAAUUUCAUUUUAUCAGAAAAGUAUAAAGCAAGUGUUUUUCUUAAAAGAGAAGAUUUACAAAUUAUACGUUCAUAUAAAAUUAGAGGAGCUUAUAAUAAAUUAAAAAGUUUAUCUCAUUUAGAAAAUCUAAAAAAAGGAAUCAUUUGUGCUAGUGCAGGAAAUCAUGCACAAGGAGUUGCUUAUUCUUGCAAUAUCCUAAAAAUACCGGGUAAAAUCUAUAUGCCGAAUACUACACCCAAACAAAAAAUAGAAAGAGUAAAAAUGUUUGGAAAAGAAUAUACAGAAAUUUUAUUGAUCGGAGAUACUUUUGAUGCAGCUAGUUAUGAAGCAAUAAAAGAUUGUAAAAAAAAUGAAAAAAUUUUUAUUCAUCCUUUUGAUGAUAUUAAAAUUAUAGAAGGGCAAGCCACUGUUGGCUUAGAAAUUUUACAACAAUCUAUUUCAGAGAUAGAUUACAUUUUUAUUCCUAUUGGAGGAGGAGGGUUAGCUUCUGGUGUAGGAAGUUAUUUUCAAGAAAUUAGCCCUAAAACUAAAAUUAUAGGAGUAGAACCUAAAGGAGCUUCAUCCAUGAGUUUUUCUUUAAAAAAAGGAAAAAUUGUUGAAUUAAAAACAAUAGACAGAUUUAUUGAUGGUGCUUCAGUAAAAAAAGUAGGAAAAUUAAAUUUUAAUAUAUGUCAUCAAAUAUUAUUUGAUAUUAUAACCAUUCCAGAAGGAAAAGUUUGCACAACAAUUUUAGACUUAUAUAAUUCAGAUGCUAUUGUAGCAGAACCUGCUGGAGCUCUUUCAAUAUCUGCCUUAGAUUUUUAUUCUGAUAAAAUAAAAGGAAAAACUAUUGUAUGUAUUUUAAGUGGAGGAAACAAUGAUAUUACAAGAACGGAAGAAAUUAGAGAAAGAUCCCUUCUGUAUGAAAAAAAAAAACAUUAUUUUAUUGUAAAAUUUCCUCAAAGGGCUGGCUCUUUAAAAGAGUUUGUAAACAAUAUAUUAGGACCUAAAGAUGACGUUACUUAUUUUGAAUAUUCUAAAAAAACUUCUAAAGAAGAAGGUCCUGCAAUAAUAGGAAUCGAAUUAGCAGAUAAAAACGAAUUUUCUGGAUUGUUAGGAAGAAUGAAAAAAUAUAAAGUUCAUUUUCAAUAUUUAAAUAAAAAUCCAGAUUUAUUUCGUAUUCUCAUAUGAAAAAAUUUUGUACCCACGACUGGAUUUGAACCAGCACAUCCUAUACCGGAUACCACCCCCUCAAAGUGGCGUGUCUACCUUUUCCACCACGUGGGCUUAUAUAAUAAUUAUCUAUUCUUUUUUAUUUUAUUGUUUUCAUAUGAUAACAAUUAUAUAUAUAAUUUAUUUAAUUGAAAUUAUUUUUUUUAUAUUCAUUUUUUUAUUCAAAUAUAAAAUUAAUUGAUAUUUCAUCAAAAAAAAAUAUAAACUAUCUUUUUUUGAAUGAAUUAUGAAUUCUAUUCAAAUUAAAAUAAUAUGAAUAUAGCAAUAAUAGGAUAUGGAAAAAUGGGAAAAUCUGUAAAAAAAAUUGCAGAAAUUAGAAACCAUAAAAUUUCAUUAUGUUCUGAUAAAACUCCUUCUUUACAUUUAUUGAAAAAUUCAAAUUCAGAUGUAGCGAUAGAAUUUAGUCUACCUAAUUCUGCAUUCAAAAAUGUAAAAAUUUGUAUAGAAAAUAACAUUCCUAUUGUAAGUGGAACUACAGGAUGGAUUGAAAAAAUCCAAAUUAUUAAAGAAAUCUGUAAAAAAAAAAAUGGAUCUUUUUUAUAUUCUUCUAACUUUAGUAUUGGAAUGAAUAUUUUUUUCGAAAUCAAUAAAAAAUUAUCUAAACUAUUACAAUUAUACUCUAAAGAUUAUGAAGUAACAAUAGAGGAAAUUCAUCACAAAGAAAAAAUAGAUAAACCUAGUGGAACAGCUAUAUCUCUAGCAAAAGAUAUAGUAAAUAAUAAAAUGAAAAAAACAUGGAUUUUAGAUGAGAAAAAAACAAAAAAUCAAAUUUUGAUUUUAUCAAAAAGACUCGAUCAUGUGCCAGGAAUACAUAUCGUAAAAUAUAAAUCUCAAAUAGAGGAAAUAAAAAUUAAACAUCAAGCUUAUAGUAGAGAAGGAUUUGCUUUAGGAGCUGUUAUUGCAGCAGAAUGGAUUCAAAAUAAAAAAGGUAUUUUUUCUAUGAAAGAAGUUUUAGGAAUAUAACAUAUUUUUAUGUAUCAAUAUUUUAUAUUUAGUGUAAUUUUCUUAUUUUUUGAACAUGUUAUUCAUGUUUUAGGAACAUGGAAUUUUUAUAAAAAAUUUGGUAUAAAAUCCUGGAAGAUUCUUCUUCCUAUAUAUAAUAUUUUUAUUCUUUUAAAAAUUUAUAAAAGAUCUAUAUGGUGGAUUUUUCUAUUACUCAUACCAUUAACUAGUAUCAUGUUAAUUUUUACUUUAUGGAUGGAUUUAAUCCAUAUUUUUUUUAAAAAAAAUAAAAGAAUUUUUAUUUUAUUUUUUUUAUCUGCCGGAUUAUAUAUUUUUUAUAUAAAUUUUUUUAAAAAAAUUCCAAUUUUUAAAAUUGAAGAUUUAAAAAAGAAAGAAAAAAAUAUAGGAAUUUUUUUAGCUAUGGUUUUUUCUUUUAUUACUCAUACUUAUAUAGUUCAACCUUUUGUUAUCCCUACUUCUUCUAUGGAAAGAAAUUUACUAGUAGGAGAUUUUAUACUAGUUAGUAAAAUUCAUUAUGGAUUACGAAUGCCUAUAUCUCCAAUAUAUAUUCCUUUUACUCAUAAUAAUAUUAUUGGAAAUAUAAAAUCUUAUAUUUCUAUUUUUCAAUGGCCUUACUUUCGUUUUUCUCCUAUACAAUCUAUAAAAAGAAAUGAUAUAGUUGUUUUUAAUUUUCCUAAAGAUUCUAAUCAUAAAAUAAUAGAUCGAAAAAAUCAUUAUAUCAAACGUUGUGUAGGAUUACCAGGAGAUUUAGUUUCUAUUAAAAAAGGGAUCUUAUUUGUAAAUCAUAAAAAAGAAAAACCUUUUUUAGAAAAACAACAAGCUUAUUUUAUUAAAACAAAAAAUAUUCCUUUAAAUACAGAAUAUCUUGAAAAAAAUAUGGAUAUCAAAGAUAUUGAAUAUUUUGGAGAAAAAAAUAAUGAAUAUUUUUAUCAAAUUAUGUUAAAUGAAAAAAAAGCUGUUUCUAUAAAAAAUUUAUUUGAAAAUAUAAUUUUUAUAGAAAAAAGUAUCCUUCCUAUUCAUUUUAAAGAACGUUAUAUAUUUCCUAAUCAUUCUAAUUGGAAUAGAGAUUUUUUUGGACCAUUACACAUUCCUAAAAAAGGAGAAUUCAUUAAAUUAAAUUCAAAAAAUAUUCACAUUUAUAAUGAAAUUUUCAAUUAUGAGAAAACUAAAAAAUUUGAUAUUUCUUUAAAAAAAUAUUAUAAAGUAAAAAAAAAUUAUUAUUUCAUGAUGGGAGAUAAUAGACAUAAUUCAUAUGACUCUCGUUAUUGGGGUUUUGUUCCAGAAGAUCAUAUAGUAGGAAAACCUAUAUUUAUAUGGAUGAGUAUAAAUUGGGAUAGAAAAAAUCCUAUAAAUAUAUUUAGUUGGAAAUUUCGUUGGGAUAGAAUAAUGAAAACAAUAGAAGGAAAACAUUCUUAUUUAUCCUUAUUUUUUUUAUUUUCAUUUGUAUAUUUAAUUUAUUUUUUAUUUAAAGCUGAAAAGAAAUCAUCAGUUCAAUAAAUCAAUAAAAAAUAUUUUUUUUAUUUCUCAUAAAAAAACUUCCUAUAAAAUAACCAGAUAAAACUCCUCCAAUAUGGGCAAAGUGAGCUACUCCAGGUGCUAAAUUAAAAAUAGAAGAAAUAAAACUUCCAAAAAUAAAAAUAACAAGAGCUUUUCGAACUGCUAUUGGAAAAGGAAAAGGAAGAAUGAAAAUUUUAUGAUUUGGAAAAAAUUUAGCAAAAACCCCUAAUAUUCCACUUACGGCUCCGGAAGAACCCAUCAUAGGAGAAUACAUAGAACUAUAAAGAUUCAUUUUUUGUUCUUCAUUUAAAUAAUCUAAUAUUUUAUAUGCUUGUGAAAAAUCUAAAGUUUUAACAAAAUAAUACAAAACACCGGUAUUAAAAAUAAUUUGAAAUAGCGCGGCCAAAACUCCUGAUAAAAAAUAUAUAAUUAUAAAUUUUUUAACUCCUAAUAAAGUUUCUAUUUGUCCUCCAAACAUAAAUAAAGCUAACAUAUUAAAAAUAAUAUGUAAAAAAAGUCGUUUGGAAUGUACAAACAUAUGAGUAAAAAUUUGAUAUAACUCAAACCGCUCGUCUAAAGGAUGAUAUAAAGAAAGCAAACUAUCUAUUUUAUAUUGUGAAAAAACAAAAGUAGCUGUAUACACAAGUAUAUUAAUACUAAUUAAAUGUUUUACGGCGUCUGAAUUGAAAUUUUUACAAAAAUUCACUUUUUAAAAAAAUUUUUUGUUUAAAACAAAAAAUAUGGGAUCUCCUGAAUAUGUAUAAUUUGGAUUAUGACAAGAAAAUAAAUCUUUUAUUAUACACUUCAUUUUUUCAGGAUAUAAUUUUAUUCCAUAUUUUAUAGAUGCGUAUUUAGAUAUAACUUGAAUAAGUUUUUUUUUAUUAUUUUUUUCUCCUUUAAUAAAAUUAUAUGUUAUAAUUUUUUGAAUAAUUUCAAUCAACAUAUUUUUUUGUAUAUUUUCAGGAACAGAAUAUAAAUAAACCGAUUUUUUACAAAAAUAUAAAUGAAAACCAAAAUUGGUUAAAUCAUUUUUUAUAUUUUUUAAAGAAAUAGAUUCUUCUUUUAAAAGAUUUACUUUUAUAGGAAAAAGAAAUUGUUGACUGAUUAAAUUUUUUUUUCUAGAAAAAAAUUCAAAUAAUAUAUUUUGAUGUGCUCUAUGUUGAUCCACUAAUAUCGUAUGCUUAUUAUUCAAAAUACAAAUUAUAUAUUUUCUCCUAAUCUGAAAAACAUUCAUUUUUGUCUUAUGAUAAACAAAACGAUAUAGUUCAUUUUUUAAUAAUUGAAAAUUACUUUUAUUGUUAAUAUUAUUGAAUAAUGGAUCAUAACUAUUGAAUUUUUGAUAAAAAUUUUCUAGUUGAAUAAUUUUAUCUUUAUCUUUAUGAUAAAGUUUAUCAUACAAAUUAUUUGAUAAGUAAUUUGUUUUGAUUGAUUUACAGGAAAGAAGAACAUCAUAAUUUUUUAAAUCUCUAUUUUUUAUUUUAUAUUGAGAAAAUAGAACACUUUUAAUUUCUUGUUGAAUCAUAACGCCAAUUUUCUCUUCUUCUUCUAUUUUUACUUCUUUUUUAGUUGGAUGUAUAUUCCAAUUUAUUAAACUAGAAUCUAAAAAAAUAAAAAUAAAAUAAGAAGCAGUUUUGAAACUUUUCAAAAAACCAUCAUAAGCAUGAGUAAUUUUUUUAUGUAAAGAAAAAUGAGUAAUACAACGUUGAUUAACAAAUAAAAAUUGAUCUCCUUUUUUUAUAGAAAUAUCGGGAAUACUAACAAAACCUUCUACAAAAAAAUUAUUUUUUUUUAUCAGGAUAGGAACUAAAUUUUUUUUUUCAUUUUUAAAAAUUUCUUUGAUUCUUUCUAUUAAAGAUGUUUUUUUGAAAUAAAAUAAAAUUUUAUCAUUGUGAUAAAAACGAUAUGUUAUAUUUCUAUGUGCUAAAACAAUUUUAUAAAAUUCAUAAAUGAUAUGUUGGAAUUCUAUUCUAGAAGAUUUUAAGAAUUGUCUUCUAACAGGAUAUUUAUAAAAAAUAUUUUUAACAGAAAUUCUUGUUCCUUGAAGCAUAUUUAUAGGAACUUUUUUUUGUAUUUUUCCUUCUUCCACAAAAAGAUGUAUUCCUACUGCAUUUUCUCUAUUUUUAGUUUGUAUUUCUAAUUGAGAAAUAGAUGCUAUAGAAGAUAAAGCUUCUCCUCUAAAUCCUUUUGUUUUAAUUUUGAAAAUAUCAUCAAUAUGUUUAAUUUUAGAAGUAGCAUGUUUUUGAAUACUCAUUUUAGCAUCAUCAAUAUUCAUUCCUGUUCCAUCAUCUAUCAAUUGAAUUAAUAUUUUUCCUGAAUCUUUUAUAAAAAUAUCAAUCAUUUUUGCGUUUGCAUCUAUAGCAUUUUCUAAAAGUUCUCUUAAAACAGAAGAAGGACGUUGUAUAACUUCUCCUGCAGCUAUUUGAUGAAUCACUUUUUCAGGUAAAAAUUGAAUAACAUUUUUCAUUUUAUAGAUUUUCUAAAUAAAGACAUAUAUAUAGCUGUUUUAGCACAUUCUAUUCCUUUAUUUCCAUUUUUUCCACCUGAUCUAUCAAAAGACUGUUGCUUAUUUUUAUCGGAUAAAACACAAAAUAUAACAGGAACAUCAUAUAUUAUAUUGAUAUCUUUAAUUCCAUGCGAAAUUGCUUGGCAUAAAUAUUCAAAAUGAGGAGUUUCUCCUUGUAUCAAGGAUCCAAUCGCGAUAAUUGAAUCAAAAUCGUAAUAAUGAGCUAUUUUUUUAGAAGAAUAAAUUAAUUCAUAACUUCCAGGAACUUCCCAAGUUUUAAUUUUAUCUUUUAAUAUACCUAAUUGAAUUAAGGUAUUAUAAGCUCCUUUAUAUAAUCUAUUUGUAAUUUCUUUGUUCCAUAAAGAAACAAGAAUAGCAAUUUUUAAAUUUUCAUUUUUUAUUUUUUUUGAAUCUAAUGAAUAAACAGGAUUUUUCUUCAUAAAAGAUAAUUUAUAAUUUAUUUUCAAUAAACGUAAUAUAUUUUUCAACGUUUUUUUUAUAUAAAAAAGAAGGGUAUUUUUUUUCUAUUUUUUUUAAAAAAAAUUUAGAAUUACUAUAUUUUUUCAUAUAAAAAUUCAAUAAUGCUGCUUUAUAAUAAUAAAGAGGUGUUGUGAUUUCAUUUUCCGUUACAUUUGCUGCUAUAACAUAAUUUUUCAAGGCUUCUUUUUUUUUUUUCAUUUGACUAAAAGCGUCACCUAUAAUUCCGUAUUUUAUAGAGGAUAAAAAUUCAUCUUUCGCAGAAAAACUAUUCAUUAUUUUUAUGGAUUUUUUGUAAUCUCCUAAUUUAUAAUAGCAAAUUCCUGCAUAAAAUUUAGAUAUAUUACCUGCUUUAGUAAAAGGAUAUUUAGAAGCUAUUCCUGAAAAUCCUAAAUUAACUUUAAUAUUUUUUUUAUUUAAGGCUUUAUCUAUCUCUCCUUGAGAAAGAUAUUGUUGAGCAUAACUUAAUUCUUUCAUAGAUUUUUCUUCUGAUGGAUACAAAAAUAAUUUCUUGAAAAAAAAAUAUGAUAUAUAUGAUAUAAUUAUUAAUGUAAUAGAAAAAAAAAUUAAUUUUUUUUUCAUGCUAUAAUAUUUAUUUUAUUUUUUCUACAAUAAAUUUAUUAAAUUCAUUUGAUUUCUUUAAAAAAUCAAGAUAUAAUUCAUUUUUUUCUUAUUACUUCUACAAUUUUUAUCCUUUUAUGAUCAAUAUUUUUUAUAAUAAAAGAAUAAUUUAAAAAAUUAAUUUUUUGUUUUUUCUUAGGAAACUCUUUAUUUAUUUCCAUAAUAAAUCCCCCUAAAGUAUCUGCAUCUCCUUUUUUAUUUUCAAAAAAAACCUCUUCUUCAACAUCCAUAAUACGAUAGAAAUUAAUUAAAGAUGUUUUUCCAUCAAAUAAAUAAUUAUUUUGGUUCAAUUUAGAAUAAGACAUAUCUUCUUUAUCAAAUUCAUCAAUAAUAUCUCCUACUAUUUCUUCAAUUACAUCUUCAAGAGUAACUAAUCCACAUGUUCCUCCAUAUUCAUCUACUACAAUUGCUAAAUGUAUUUUUCUUUUUUUAAAAUCACUUAAUAGAUUAUCUAUCUUUUUUUUUUCUGGAACAAAAAAAGGAGGAUGUAUAAGUCUAUUCCAUUGAAAAUGUUUAUGAUAAAUAAAUGGAAGAAGAUCUUUAGAAAAAAGAACCCCCUCUAUAUCAUCAAUACUAUUCUUAUAAAUAGGAAUACGAGAAUAUCCUUGAUCACGAACUAAUUCUAAAACAUUAGAAAAUUUUAUAUUUUUAUUUAAAGAAAACAUAUCUAUUCUUGGAGUCAUAAUUUGAUGUGUUUCUGUAUUUCCAAAAUCAACAAUUCUUUGUAAAAAAUUACGUUCUUUAACAUUUUUUGGAUUCGAAGAUGUAAUUUUUAAAGCCUUUGAUAAUUGAUUUACAGAAAUAACAUUCUUUUUUUUUUUUAUUUUUUCAUCUAUAGAUUUUGAAAUUAAAAUUAUAAUUCUACUAAUUGGACUUAAUAUUUUACUAAGAAAUAAUAAGUGUUUUGCCAUAAAAAUAGCAAAACGAAAGUUAUUUUUACUAGCAUAUAUUUUAGGAAUUAUUUCUCCAAAUAAAAGUAAAAUAAAGGUAAGAACCACUACUUCUAAAAGAAAAUGAAUAGGAAGAUGAAAUUGUUUAUAAAUAAAUAAAUUUUUUUUUUGAAAAAAUUCUGUUAUUAAAUAAGAACUUAAUAUAACAAUUCCAGUAUUAGAAAAAUUAUUAGAUAUUAAUAUUGUAGCUAACAGUUUUUUUUUCUCUCUUAAAAUUUGAAAUACAAUAUUUCCUUUAUAGGAAUUUUUUUUUCUUUCUUUAUCAAGAGUUUUUUUUUCAAUACAAAAAAAAGCAGUCUCUGAUCCAGAUAUUAAUGCAGAAAAUAACAACAAUAUUAUUAUUAAGACAAGAUAAAAAACUAAAUAUAAAGUUUUUUCUAAAAAAAUAUUCGUCGAAGAUUCUUUUUCCAAUAGAUUAAAUUUUGAUAAUAAUUUUUAGAAAAGAAAAUAUAAAAAUUGAUAUGAUCAAAAAUAAAUCUAAAAUUCAUAUUAUAUUAGAAUUAAUUUAUUAUCGGGAAUAAACUAAAUAAUUUUUUCAUGUUUCAAAAAUAAAACAAUAGGACGAGGAAAGGGGUAUUUUUUUAUAUGAUUUGUAGGUAUAAAGAUAAAAUUAUUAAAAAAUAUGGAUUUCUUAAAAUCUUGUAAAAUCUCACAAUUAAAAAAUUGAAUUGAUAAAAUUUGAUGAGUAAGUUUUUGUUUUAUUUUAUAAACUAAAAUAUUAUUAGCUUUCACUCUAAACUUUUUAAAAAUUUUAUCUAUAAUUUCAUGAAUUAAAAGAUUUUGUUUUGAUUCUAUUAAAGGAAAAUCAUAAAGACCUUUCCAUAUAUCUUCUGUUGAUCUUUUAUUUAAACAAAUAUUUUUAUUACGAUCAUAUAUAAAAAGAUAAUAAAAAAAUCUAUGUUUUAUAAAUUUUUUUAUUUUUCUUAUAGGUAAUUUAUAUACAGUUCCAUUUUUAAUCGAAAAACAAGUAUCUUGAACUGGACAUAAUAAACAUUUAGGAUUUUUUGAAGUACAUAAAAUAGAACCUAAAUCCAUAAUUGCUUGAUUAAAAGUUCCUGGAUGUUCAAAAUCCAUUAUUCUUGAAACCAUUAUUCGUAAUUUAUCUUUUAUAGUAGUAGAUGUACUAUCAUUGAAAACCCCAAAAUAUCUAGAAAAUACUCUACAAGCAUUUCCAUCAAUGGCAGGAAUAGCUUCAUGAAAACAUAUAGAAGCCAUAGCUGCUCCUGUAUACGGACCAAUCCCUUUAUAUUUUAUUAAUUCUUUAUACUUUUUUGGAAAAGAUUUUUUAUCAUUUUUUAAUUUUUUAGCAAAAGAAUGCAAGUAUUUUGCUCUAAAAUAAUAACCCAAUCCUUCCCAUUUUUUCAAUACAUCUUUUUCUUUUGCUUCAGCAAGUUUUUCUAAACUCGGAAAUUUUUUUAUAAAGUUUAAAUAAUAUCUUAUAGUUGUUUUUGAAACUUUUGUUUGUUGUAACAUAAAUUCCGAAACUAAAAUAUAAUAUGGAUUUUUAGUUUCUCUCCAAGGAAGUUUUCUAUAGUUUUUUUUAUACCAAUUUAUUAUUUUUUUGGAAAAAUUCAUAUGAUUUUAAUUUUUAAGCAAUUUUAUAAAAAAUGGGUAUAUUUAAGAAACCGAAUUUUGUUAUUCGAUAUUAUAAUGAUUUAACAUGACAAAAGCAGAUAUAAUAACAGAAAUCAUAUCAGAAACUGGAUCUGAGAGAAUUGAUACGCAAAAGGUGAUAGAAACAUUUAUGGAAAAAAUAAAGAAAAGUUUAACAUCGGGAGAAAAUGUUUAUUUAAGAGGAUUUGGAUCAUUUAUUAUUAAAUAUCGAGCGAAAAAACUUGGACGUCAUAUAUCCAAAGAUAUGUCUAUUGUAAUUCCUGCACAUAAUAUACCAGCAUUUAAACCUUCAAAAUCUUUUACGGAAUUAGUAAAGAAAAAUGUUCCUAUAAAUAAAAAUGGAAAUACAAUGAAUUAAUCAUUAAUCGUUUAAAAUUAUGCCAAACGGAAAAAAAAGAAAAAGACGUAAAAUAGCAACUCAUAAAAGAAAAAAAAGAAAUAGAAAAAAUAGACAUAAAAAGAAAUAAUAAUUUCUAAAAAAAUGUGAAUUAUAACUUAAUUCCUUGUUUUUUUUAUAUAUGAAUAAAGAGUUAAUUAUAGAUGUAGAAGAAAAAGAAGUAAAAAUAGCUCUUUUGGAAAAAGGACAAUUACUUGAACUUCAUAUAGAUAUUAUGAAUAAAAAAUUCUCCGUAGGAGAUAUUUAUUUUGGAAUAGUUAAAAAAAUUUUAUAUGGAUUAAAUGCUGCUAUCAUAGAUAUAGGAUAUUCAAAAGGUGCUUUUUUACAUUAUGAUGAUAUUGGAUUUCAAAUUGAUCAAAUGUUAGAUUUAAUAUCAUCUUAUAAUCAUCUUAAAAAAAAAUCGGACAAUUCCGAAAAUCAAGAAAAAAAAAAUUCUAUAAAUCAUAUACUACAUAUUGGACAAAGAAUAUUAGUUCAAAUUUCUAAAGAACCUAUUUCUAAUAAAGGACCAAAACUUACUACAAAAAUUUGUAUUCCAGGUAGAAAUUUAAUACUUAUACCUUUUUCAGAAAAAAUUUCUAUUUCUAAGAAAAUCAAAAAUAUAAAAGAAAAAAAUAGAUUGAUUUCUUACAUAAAAAAAAUCAUUCCAAAUAAAUAUGGAAUAAUUAUCCGUACAGCUGCUCAUAACGAAAUGGAAAAAGUUUUAAAUGAAGAGCUUCUUUUUUUAAUAAAAAAAUGGAAAAAAACAUUAAAUAAUUUAAUAAAAUUUAUUCCACCAGUUUGUGUAUUGAAUGAAAAUAAUAAAAUUUAUUGUUUAUUAAGAGAUAUAUUCAAUGAUGAUUUUAAAUCUAUUCUUUGUAAUAAUGAAUUUCUUUGCAAAGAAAUUCAUUCAUAUUUAUCUUUCAUUUUUCCCAAAAAAACCAAUAUAAUUAAAUAUUAUAAAGGAAAUAUUCCCAUAUUUGAAAAAUAUGGGAUAGAAAAACAAAUACAAAUUUUUUUAGGUAAGAAUGUACCUCUUGAAAAUGGAGCUUAUCUUAUUAUAGAACAUACUGAAGCUUUACAUGUUAUAGAUGUAAACAGCGGAAUGAUUAAUCAUAUGAUGAAAGAUUGUACAAAAUCAGAAAGAAUUAAUAAUAUAUUUAAAAUUAAUUUAAUAGCAGCAACAGAAAUUGCAAGACAGCUUAGAUUAAGAGAUAUGGGAGGUAUAAUUGUAGUAGACUUUAUAGAUAUGUAUGAUUCCAUACAAAAAAAAAAGUUGUAUGAACAUUUAAAAGAAAAAAUGAAAAAUGAUAGAGCAAGACAUCAAAUUUUGCCCCCCAAUAAAUUUGGAUUAGUUCAAUUUACUCGUCGUAGAAUAAGACCUGAAUUAAAAAAAAUAAAUAUAAACAAUAAAAAAUAUCAAAAUUAUCCUGAAGAUUAUAUUCAUCAUUUAGAAUUUGUUAUAGAAACUAUUAUAAAGAAUAAAAAUCAUAAAGGAAUCCAAUUACAUAUUCAUUCUUUUGUAUCAGCUUUUUUAAAAAAAGGUUUUCCUUCUAUUCAACAAAAAUGGUUAUUGAAAUAUAAAAAAUGGAUUAAAAUAAUUCCAAAAGAUUCAUUUAGAUAUACAGAAUAUAAGUUUUUAAAUAAAAAUCACGAAAUCUUAUUAUCUUCUUUUUAUUUUCAUUAAAAUUUAUUAUAACUUUCAAAAAAAAGAUAAGUGGGCGUGGUGAAACCGGUAUACACGUCAGAAUUAGGAUCUGAUGCCUAUUUAGGCAUAAGGGUUCGAAUCCCUUCGCCCGCACUAAUUAUUUUAUAUUUCUUUUUUUAUAUCCUGUAUAAACUUGUCUAGGUCUACCUAUUGGUUCUUUAUUUAAUUUCAUUUCUUUCCAAUGAGCCAUCCACCCCGGUAAUCUUCCUAAAGCAAACAUAACAGUAAACAUAUCUUUUGGAAUACCUAUAGCUUGAUAAAUAAUUCCGGAAUAAAAAUCAAUAUUAGGAUAAAGUUUUUUUUCUAAAAAAUAAGAAUCCUGAAGAGCUUUUUUUUCAACAUUUUUUGCCAAUUUCAAUAUUGGAUCAGAAAUUCCUAAUUUUUGAAUUACAUUUUCAGCUACUUUUUUAGCUAUUUUAGCUCUAGGAUCGAAAUUUUUAUAAAUCCUAUGUCCAAAACCCAUAAGUCGAAAUGGAUCUUUUUUAUUUUUUGCUUUCUCUAUCCAUUUUUUUAUAUUUCCCCCACUUUUUAAAAUAUCUUCUAACAUUUCAAUUACAGCUUGAUUUGCUCCUCCAUGUAAUUUACCCCAAAGAGCACUCAUUCCUGCAGAAAUAGAUGAAAAUAAUCCAACAUGAACAGAUCCCAAUAAACGAACGGUAGUUGUAGAACAAUUUUGCUCAUGAUCAGCAUGUAAUAUUAAAAUCUUAUUCAAAGUAUCCGAAAUAAUUGGAUUUGGUUCAUAAGAUUUAUUGGGAACAGAAAAAAACAUUUUUAACAAAUUUGAAGUAUAAUCAAGAUAAGGAUCUGCACAAACAGGAGGUAACCCCAUUCUUUUUCUAUAAGUUAAAGCUGCUAAAAUAGGUAAUUUAGCUAACAAAUGAAGAUAUAGAUCUUCUUCCUGUAUAGAAUUCAUAAAUGCAUCUAAAAUAUAGGUUAAAGAAGAUAAAAUUCCCAUUGGAUGAUAAAAAACUGGAAUGUUAUCAAGUAUUUUAUUUAUAUCCUUAUGAUGAAUAAAACUAAAUUUUUUUACUUUUUCAGAAAAAGAUUUUAAUUGUGCAGUAUUAGGUAGUUCUCCAUUUAAAAUAAGGUAACUUGUUUCUAUAAACGAACAUUGAUUGAUAAUUUGUUCAAUAGGAUAUCCUCUAUAUAAUAGUUCUCCUUUUUCUCCAUCUAUAAAACUAAUAGAACUUUUAGUAAUUCCUGUAUUUUUUAAUCCUGGAUCAAAUGUAAUCAACCCUGUACUUUCCCUUAAUUUAGAAAUAUUAAUAGCUUUUUCAUAAAAAGUUCCAUAAAUAACAGGAAGUUUAUAAUGGGAUCCAUUAAUAUUAAAAUUCACGAAACUGCACAUAAUAAAUAAUUUUUAUUAUUAAAUAUAAUAUAAUAAUAUAAAUAAAAUGUUACUUUUAUUUUUUAAAAAUCAUUUCAUCAAAUGAAAUAAGAGUAUCAAAUCCUUUAUUAGAAAAGUAAUUUUUCAUUCCUUUUCUAGAACUUAUCAAAACAAAAUCCCCUCCCCAAGCACCUAAACUUUUAACAAUCCCUAGAUAAUCUGGAAAAUGUGUUUCUUUAAUAGUAGGAAGAUUUAAUAUUUUUGAUAUAAUUUUUUCAUGUUUUAAUAACAAUUCUUCAAAUUCUUUUAAUGUUUUACAAAAAGGAAUUUUUUGAGUUAUGUAAGAUAUAGUAUUAAUAUUUUCACUAGAUAUAUUAGAUAUAUUAGAUCGAAAAUAUCGUAUUUCAUUACAAGUAUUUUGUUUUUUAUUAAGAUGCAGAAAAAAAAGUUGAUUUUUAAAAGGUGGAUUAAAUUCUAUGGGAAUAAUAUGAGGUUUUUUAUUCCAUAAUUUAUAAAUUAUAGGUUUCGAAAUAGAAACACAAGCAAUAUCAUAUCCACUACCUUGAAAAUUAUUUCCUAAUAACAAAUAAGGAUCUAUUUUAGCCCAUUUUGCUAUGUUAUUAAUUAAUGUAGAACUACUACCUAAUCCCCAAUUUCUUGGAAAUUCUAAUUUUGUUUUUACGUUCAUUCCUAAUGAAUUAGGAAAAAAAUUUUUUUGAAUUUUUUUAGAUUUCAAUAAUAAAUCUCUUAAUUUAAGAGCUGUUUUUCUUUCUGUUUCAUAACAAAUAUCUAAGGAAGGAAGUUUAAAAAUUCCUUCAAACCAAAGUUGAUUGAUUUCAUCAUAACUUUUCCAAUGUAAAACAGAAGAUAGAUUAUGUCUAAAAAUAGUUAAUGAUUGCCCUUUAAUUGUCGGAAGAGCUAAUCCACAAGCUCCACAGAGAAUAAAAUAUUCUCCUGUUAACAAUAGUUUUCCAUGACUAUAAUAAAAAAAACGUCUAUGUCGAUCCAUUAUGGAUUUAUAUUUUUUUAGGAAAAAUUCUUUGAAAUUUUUUUAAUUAACCCUUGUAAAAUAUUUCCUGGUCCUAUUUCUGUAAAUGAAACAGCUCCAUGAGAAAUCAUAUUUCUUAUAGAUUGUUUCCAUUUAACUGGAUAAGUCAAUUGUUUGACUAGAUUCUUUUUUAUAUCAUAAGAUUUUAUAGCAGGUAAAGCCGUUACAUUUUGGUAUAUUGGAUAUUUAGAAUCUUUAAAAAAAAUUUGAUUUAUAAUAUUUUGAAAUUUUUUUUGAGCUGGUUUCAUAAUUGGAGAAUGAAAGGCUCCAUGAACGGGAAGAAUAAAUAUUUUUUUAGCACCUAUUUUUUUUAGAAAAAAACAAACUCUUUUCAGGGCUUUUGUUUCUCCAGAAAUAACUAAUUGUUUAGGACAAUUGUAAUUAGAUGGAACUAUAACUCCAUGAUCGUUUUUACAAACAUUUUCUAUAAUAGAAUCUUCUAAUCCAAAUAUAACAGCCAUUCCUCCGUGAGUUUUCUCACAAAUAUUUUGCAUUAUUGAUGCUCUUUGAUUUACUAAUUUUAAACCAUCUUCAAAAGAAAAUACAUUAAUUGCAGCUAAAGCAGAUAGUUCGCCAAGAGAAUGUCCAGCUACCAUAUCAGGAUCAAAAUUAUUUAAUGUUUUUGCUUUUAUAACUGAAUAUAUAUAAAUUGCUAAUUGUGUAUAUUUUGUAUUUUUUAAGGUUUCUAUAGUUCCAUCAAACAUGAUAGAUGUAAUUCUAAAACCUAGAAUAUCAUCAGAUAAUUGAAAUAAUUUUUUUGCUAAAUGAGAAUUUUUGUAUAAAUCUUUUCCCAUUCCUACAAAUUGAGAUCCUUGACCAGGAAAUAGAUAAGCUUUCAUAAAAAUAUUUUGAUUUAAAAAUUAAAAAUUCAUUUUUUACAUGAAAAUUACUGAUACUCAUACUCAUUUAUAUAUGAAAGAAUUUGAUGAAGAUAUUAAUUAUGUAAUACAAAAUGCCUUUCAUAAAGGAAUAAAUAGAUUUUUACUUCCUUCUAUAGAUAGUUCUAAUAUUCCUAAUAUAUUAAAAUUAGAAAAAAAAUAUCCCAAUAUAUGUUUUUCCAUGAUAGGAUUACAUCCUAAUAAAGUAAACCCAUAUAGUUUAGAAAAAGAAUUACAAAAUAUAAAAACAUGGUUAUACAAACAUUCUUUUAUUUCUAUAGGAGAAAUUGGAAUGGAUUUAUUAGAAAAUAAAUUUAUUUAUGAACAAGAAUACGCUUUUCAAACUCAAAUAAAAUGGGCUAAACAAAGAAAACUUCCUAUAAUUAUACAUUGUAGAAAAGCUUUUGAUCAAGUUUUUCAUAUUUUAUCAAAAGAAAAAAACUCCUUCCUUAAAGGAGUUUUUCAUUGUUUUUCAGGAACCCUAGAACAAGCGAGAAAAAUUAUUGAUUUUGGAAUUAAGCUAGGUAUUGGAGGAAUAAUUACUUUUAAAAAUAGUGAUAUUAGUAAAUUUUUACAUGAAAUAAGUUUGAAUCAUUUAGUAUUAGAAACCGAUUCUCCUUAUCUUUCUCCACAUCCUUUGAGAGGAAAAAGAAAUGAACCAAAAAAUUUAAGAAUAAUUUUAAGAAAAUUAUCAAAAAUUUAUUCUAUGUCAGAAGAUAAAAUAGCCGAUAUCAUUCAUUGGAAUGUAGAAGAAUUAUUUUUCACACCAUUUUAGAUGGGUUCACAAAUUUUUCAAAUUCUUCAAUAGUUAAAUAUCCUAAUCGAAUUGCUUCUUCUUUCAAUGUAGUAUUAUUUUUAUAAGCAAAUUUUGCAAUUUCUGCUGAUUUUUCAUAUCCAAUAUGAGUAUUUAAUGCUGUAACUAGCAUCAAGGAUUUAUCCAAAAAUUCUUUAAUUCUUUUAUAAUUAGGUUGUAUCCCCAUUACGCAAAAAGAAGAAAAAGAAACACAAGCAUCUGCAAGAAGUUGAGCAGAUUGCAAAAAAUUAUAUGCCAUUAAUGGUUUAGAUACAUUUAGUUCAUAAUUUCCUGAAGAUCCAGCCAUAGAAAUAGACAUAUCAUUCCCUAUAAUUUGAGUGCAAACCAUAAUAAUAGCUUCGCAUUGAGUAGGAUUUACUUUUCCAGGCAUCAUAGAUGAUCCAGGUUCAUUUUCAGGGAUAUAAAUUUCUCCAAUUCCUGAACGCGGACCAGAAGAUAAAAAACGAAUAUCAUUUGAUAUUUUAAUCAAGGAAACAGCUAUUUGUUUAAUAGCACUAUGAGAUUCUACUAUAGCAUCAUGAGAUGAUAUUGCUUCAAAUUUAUUUUUUGCUACUUUAAAAGGAAAACCAGUUAAUUCACAUAUAUAUUCAGUUAUUUUUUUAUCAUAUCCUUUAGGAGUGUUUAACCCUGUUCCUACAGCUGUCCCUCCUAUUGCUAAUUCAGAAAGAUGAUCUAAAGUUUUUUCUAUAACAUUUAAUCCAUGAUCUAUUUGAGAAACAUAUCCUGAAAAUUCUUGUCCUAAAGUAAUAGGAGUUGCAUCCAUAAGAUGAGUUCUUCCUAUUUUUAUAAUAUUUUGAAAAAAUUUAGAUUUUUUUUCAAAAUUUUUUUUUAAUUCUUGAAUUGAAGGAAUAGUUUUUUUUACUAGUUUUUGAUAAGCAGCAAUAUGCAUUGCUGUAGAAAAAGUAUCAUUAGAUGAUUGAGACAUGUUCACAUCAUCAUUAGGAUGAAUAAGAGGUUGAAAUUUUCCUAAUUCUUUACCCAUCAAAACAUGAGCUCUAUUAGAGAUAACUUCAUUAAUAUUCAUAUUAGUAUGAGUUCCUGAUCCUGUUUGCCAUAUAACUAAAGGAAAUUGAUCAUUUAGUUUUUCGUUUAUAAUUUCGUCACAAACUAAGGAUAUCAUAUCUUUCUUUUUUUUGGAUAAAAAACCAAACUCAAAAUUAACAUGAGCAGCCGCUUUUUUCAAAAAACCAAAUGCAUGAAUAAUUUCUAUAGGCAUAGAAGCUUCUGGACCAAUUUUAAAAUUUUUUCUAGAUCUUUCUGUUUGUGCACCCCAAUAUUUAUUGAUAGGAACUCUAACAACUCCUAAAGUAUCUUUUUCUAUUCUAGAAUGUGUCAUUUUUCUAUUUUUUUACGAAAUUAUAUAAUAAUAAAUAAAAUUAGAAUUAAUCUUUAUGAUUAUUAAAUUUAUAGGAUUUUUGUUUUUUUUUCUUAUAACUAUAUCUGGUUUUUGGUGUAUAAUUUUUUUAUCUUUUUUUAGUGUUUAUUGGAUGAUAAGUAUAUUUUCAAUAAUGUUUAUAACCUAUUUAAAAUAUGAUAAAAAAAAAAUACAAAAUCCUACUAAAAAAUAAAUAUUUUUGGAUUAGUAUCUUUUUCUUUAUAUGGAUGUCUUUUUUUGAUUCUAAUUCUUUUAUGUUACACUAUAAAUUUCGAAAUAGUAUUCAAGAAAUGACAUCCAAUAGAGAUUUUUUAAGAAAAAAAAUUUUAUUAGAAGGAAUUCAAUUAAAAAAACUAACUACAGAUUCUAUGUAUCUUGAAAAAUUAGCAAGAGAAAAAUUUUACAUGAAAAAAGAAGAUGAAGACUUAUUUAUUAUAUCUAUAAAGAAAAAAAAUCGAAAAAACAAGAAUUUAACGUCCCAUAUAAAUAAGUAAAACACUUAAAUCUGAAGGAGAAAUUCCACUAAUUCUUGAAGCUUGAGCUAAUGAUAUUGGACGAUAGUAAUUUAAUUUUUCUUUUGCUUCUGAAGAAAGAGAUUUAAUUGAUUUAUAAUCAAAAUUAUUUGGAAUUUUAAGAUUUUCUAAUUUCAAUAAUUUUUUUGCAUUUUUUUUUUCUCUAUCUAUAUAUCCUUUAUAUUUAAUCCUAAUAAAAACUUGUUCCAAUAUUUCAUGAGUAAAACCAUUUUUUUUAAUUUCUUCUAUUAAAAAUGGAAUGGACGUGAUAUCUUGAAUAUCAAUUUCAGAACGAGACAAAAUAGUUUCUAUUUUUUUAUUAUGAUCUAUUAUAGGAGAUUUUUUAGCAGAUAAUACAGGAUUUAUAGUCUUUGGAUCGAAAUUUUUAUUCUGAAAUAAAUACAUACAUUUUUCUAUUUUAGAUUUUUUUCUAUCUAAUAUUCUCAUUUUAUUUUCUGAAAUUAAACCUAUAUUGUAUCCCAUAGGAGUUAAUCUUUCAUCAGCAUUAUCUUGUCGUAAUAACAUUCUAUAUUCUGCUCUUGAAGUAAACAUUCUAUAAGGCUCUUUUGUUCCUUUUGUUACUAAAUCAUCUAUUAAAACCCCAAUAUAAGCCUGACUUCUUUUAAGAAUAAAUGGUUCUUUUUUACGAAUUUUUAAAUGAACAUUAAUUCCUGCCAUUAAACCUUGUGCUGCUGCUUCUUCAUAUCCAGUUGUUCCAUUAAUUUGUCCAGCAAAAAAAAGAUUCUCUAUAAUUUUACUUUCCAAUGUCGCCUUUAAUUGUUCUGGUGGAAAAUAAUCAUAUUCAAUGGCAUAUCCAGGUUUUAAUAUUUUUACUUUUUCAAAUCCUGAAACUUGUUUCAAAGAUUGAUAUUGUAUUUUUUCUGAAAAAGAAGUUGAAAAACCAUUAACAUAUACUUCUACAGUAUUCCAUCCUUCCGGUUCAACAAAAAUCGUAUGUUCUUUUUUAUCCGAAAAUCGUGAAAUUUUUUCUUCUAUAGAAGGACAAUAUCUAGGACUAAUCCCUUGAAUAGCUCCUGUAUAAACUGGAGAUUGAUUAAAUUUACUUCGUAUAAAAUCAUGUACUUUUUGAUUAGUAUAAGUUAUGUAACAUUUUCUUUGUUGUUUUAGUUUUUUUGUUUUAUAAAAAAAAGAAAAUUUUUUCGGAUCUAUAUCUCCAUUUUGAGAUUUCAUUUUCUCAUAAUUUAAAGAACGUCCAUCUACUCUUGGCGAUGUUCCUGUUUUCAUUCUUCCAGACUUAAAUCCAAAGUUUUUAGUUAAUUGUUCUGUAAUUCCUUUUGUUUCUUGUUCUGAUAUUCUUCCUCCAUUAAUCUUUUUUCUCCCAAUAUGUAUUUUUCCAUUUAAAAAAGUACCAUUUGUAAGUAUUACUGACCUUCCUUUAAUUUUUAAACCAAAGAUAGUUUUGACUCCUUUUACUUUAUGUUGUUCUAUUAUUAAAGACGAUACUGUAUCCUGGUAUAAAUCUAAUUUAUAAUUUUUUUCUAAAAAAAACCUCCAAUAAUAGGAGAAUAAUUUUCUAUCACAUUGAGAUCUAGGGCUCCACAUGGCAGGUCCUUUAGAUUUAUUUAACAUUCUAAAUUGAAUUGUACUAUAAUCUGAAAUUCUUCCAGAAUUUCCACCUAAGGCAUCAAUUUCUCUAAUUAUUUGACCUUUUGCGAUUCCUCCUAUAGCCGGAUUACAUGACAUUUGACCUAUAGUUUGAAAAUUAGUGGUAAUAAGUAGAGUUUUAGAUCCCAUAUUAGAAGAUGCAGAAGCAGCUUCAAUCCCCGCAUGUCCUCCUCCAACUACAAUUACAUCGUAUAUAUCUAGAAACAUAAUUUUCUAAAAUUGAAAUAAAAUUAAAUAAAACUCUUCUUUUUUUUUCAUAAUCUUUUUAUCUGUAUGAUUAUGGUCAUCAUAUCCUAAAAGAUGUAGAACAGCAUGUAUCAUUACACGUUUCAACUCAAGCAUGAAAAAUUGAUUCCAUCGCUUAGAAUUUUCAUAAAUACGAUCUAUACUAAUAAAUAUAUCUCCAGAUAUAGAUCCAUUGAUAGAAUAAUUAAAUGCAAGCACAUCUGUAUAAAAAUUAUUUUUUAAAUAUCUCUGAUUUAAAUCUAAAAGAAAAUGAUCAUUACAAAAAAUAUAAUUAACAUUUCCAAUAUAUAUACUUUCAUUGUUUAGUAAAAUACAAAUUUCUUUAAUUAAAAAAGAAUCAUUUUUAAUGUGAAAAUCAGAUAUUUCAUAAAAAAAAUUAAUCAUUAUAAAAUAAUAUUUUCUAUUUAUUUUAAAAAAAUUUUUUUAUAUAUUAUACAUUUUACAAUGAAAAAAAUAAUUCCUAAUAUAUUCACUUUAAUAAAUUUAUUUUGUGGAUGCAUUUCUAUUAUACUUCUUCAAUCUAGAAAUUUUAAUUAUUCUUACGUUUUUACUUUAUUUUCAAUAAUUUUUGAUUUUUUGGAUGGUUAUUUUUCUAGAUGUAUGAAAAUAAAAAAUAUCUUUGGAAAAGAAUUAGAUUCUCUAGCAGAUAUGGUUUCUUUUGGAGUAGUUCCAUCCAUAAUAGUUUUUUUUUUAUUGAAAAACAAAAGUCAAAUUCCAUUUAUUGAAUAUUUGUCUUUUUUAAUUUCCAUUUUUUCUGCAUGUCGUUUAGCUAGAUUUAAUAUUUCUUCUAAUAAUAAAAAUCAUGUUAUAGGAUUAACUACUCCUAUAAAUACCUUAUUUUUUUCUUCUCUAUCUAUUAUAAUUACAAAUAAUAUAAUUCCUUUUUUUCUUAUAAAAAAAGGAAUUAUAUAUAUCAUUGCAAUGUUUUUUAUAAUAUUCUUAUCAUGUUACCUUUUGGUAUCUCAAAUACCAAUGUUUUCUUUUAAGUUUGAAAAUUUUUCUUAUAAAAAAAAUAAAACACGUUAUAUUUUUUUAUUGAUUAGUACAUUUCUUUUAUUAACUUUACAUAUAGUCGCUUUGCCAUGCAUUAUUAUUUUUUAUAUUAUAAUCUCAAUUUAUUUUUAUAAGAUUAAAAAAAUCAAUAUUAAAUAAAAAACAUGAAAUUAAAACUUCAUCGUCCUAUUUGUUUUUUUGAUAUAGAAGCAACAGGAAUUAAUAUAGGAAAAGAUAGGAUUAUAGAAAUAUCUAUAUUAAAAAUAUUUCCUCAUGGAGAACAAGAAGAUAAAACUUGGUUAAUAUAUCCUGGAAUUCCUAUUCCUCCACAAUCAACGGCAAUUCAUGGAAUUAAAGAUGAAGAUGUAGUAGGAAAGAUGAAAUUUAAAGAUAUAGCUUAUUAUAUUUUUAAAAUGAUUGAAAAUACAGAUUUAGCAGGUUAUAACUCUAAUAGAUUUGAUAUUCCAAUUUUAGCAGAAGAAAUGCUUCGUGCAGGAAUGUCUUUUGACAUUAAAAAACACAGAACUAUAGAUGUUCAAGUUAUUUUUCAUAAAAUGGAACCCAGAACUCUUUCUGCUGCUUACAAAUACUAUUGUAGUAAAAAUAUCAUAAAAGCUCAUAGUUCUAGAGAAGAUACGUUUGCCACAUAUGAAAUACUAUUAGCACAAUUAGAAAAAUAUAAGAACUUAAAAGAAGAUGUAAAAAGUCUAAAUCAAUUUUCCCAUCAAAAAAACAUAGCAGAUCUUGCUGGAUUUAUAAAAAUAGAUGAAGAAGGAAAUGAAGUUUUCAAUUUUGGAAAGUAUAAAGGAGAAAAAGUUUUCGAAAUAUUUGAGAAAUAUCCGAAUUAUUAUGGAUGGAUACAAAAUUCAGAUUUUCCAUUAUAUACAAAAAAAAUAUUAACAGAAAUAAAAUUAAGAAAAUUUAAUGGAUAAAUAAUAUAAACAUAUUUUUUAUUUUUCUUUAAUUAUUCAAUUUUUAUUCUUAAUAAGAUCUUUCAAUCUUUUUGAUAUAAAAUCUGUUAAUUUUUUUCCAUGUAAUAAAUCUUUGGAUAAAAGAGUUAAGUUUAAAACUUCUUGUAUAAAUUCUUUUCUUUUUUCCUCUGAUGUUUCCUUUAAUAUUUUUUUCAUAAAAAUGUGAUUUGUAUUGACUAUUAAUUGAUAAUAUUUGUUUUUUCCUACUAUAUCUUUUUCUAUAGUAGUAGAAUUCAUUUCUUUAAUUCUUCUUAAAAAUUCUGGAAUGAUAAUCAAAAAAGGAUAGUCUUUUUUGGAUAAAUCUUCUAAUUGUAUGGAAAAAUUCAUAUCUUCUAUGAUAUGAUGCUGAAUAAGGUUUUUUAAAAUUUUUUUUUCUUGUUCAGAGAGUUCUGAAUGGGGUUUUUCCUUUUUUUUGAAAUCAAUUAAAUUAUCAAUAUGAUCUGAAUCUACCCGGACAAAACAAAUAUCUUGAUAAGAUAAUUCUAGUUUCUGUAUUAAAUGAACAGAUAAUGGACUAUCAAAAAUUAAAACUACAUAUUGUCUGUCUAUAGCUUCUUUGAUAAAACUAUAUUGUUUCUUUUGAUCUGAAGAAUAAAUAAAAACAAUUUUUCCUUCUUUAUUUUUUUGGGUUUCUUUGAUUUUUUCUCUAAGUUCUUUCAAUGUAAAAAAACUUUUAUCUAUAGUAGAAAAAAUGAAAAAAUUAAUAGCUUUCUCAAAGAAAUUUUGCGUACUAAUCAUUCCAUAUUCUAUUAUGAUUUUAAAACUAUCCCAUUUUUUUUGAAAAUUAUCUCUAUUUUUUCUAAACAUAAAAUCUAGCUUAUCCGCUACUUUUCUUGUUAUAUAUUUAGAUAUAUUUUUAACAGAUGUAUCAGAUUGUAAAUGAGAACGUGAUACGUUAAGAGGAAUAUCUAUAGAGUCUAUAACUCCUCUUAAUAAACUAAGAAAAUCUGGAACAAUUCCCUCCAAAUUAUCCGUGAUAUAAACCUGAUUUUGAUAUAAAUGGAUUUUGUCUUUUUGUACUACAUCUAUUCUUUUUUCUAUUUUAGGAAAAUAGAGAAUUCCUGUCAGAUGAAAAGGAUGAUCUAUAUUUAAAUGAACCCAAAAUAAAGGAUUUUCUAGUUGAUUUGGAUAUAACUCAUGAUAGAAAUCUAAAUAAUUUUUAUCAUUUAAUUGAAAUGGAUUUUUUUUCCAAGCAGGAUUAAUAUUAUUGAUUAUAAUUUCUUUUUCUUUAUCAUUUUCUUUUGAUUUUGAAGAUAAAGAAAUUGUAAUGGGCAUGAAUUUACAAUAUUUUUUCAAUAAUUUUAAAAUACGAUCAUAUUCUAAAAAUUCUUUGUUUUCUUCAUUAUUCAAAUAUAAAAUAAUUUCUGUUCCUCUAUCUCUUUUUUCAAUUUCAUUCAUAAUAAAAUUAGGAUCUCCUUUGCAAGACCAAAAUAUAGAUGGAGCCAUUUUUUUAUAAGAUUGAGUGAAUAUUGAUACUUUAUUAGCAACCAUAAAAGAAGAAUAAAAACCUAAACCAAAAUGUCCAAUAAUAUUAGUAGUAGGAUUAUGAGAAGAAUCCGUUUUAGAUAUAUUUUUAUAUUUUUGAAUAAAUUCUUCGGCUCCAGAAAAAGCAAUUUGAUUAAUAUACUUGUCUACUUCUUCUUUAGUCAUUCCUAUUCCAUUAUCCAGAAUAUGAAGCGUUUUAUUAAAAUUAUCUACAAUAAUUUUAACUUUGAAAUCAUCAUCAAUAAUAUCAGAUAAAUUUUCUAAUUUUAUUAGAGUUUGUAAUUUUACAAUAGCAUCUAUCGCGUUAGAAACUAAUUCACGUAAAAAAAUUUCUUGAUCUGAAUAAAGAAAUUUUUUAAUGAUAGGAAAAAUAUUAUCUGAAGUAACAUUAAUUUUAUUCAUAUUCAUAACAUAUAUUUAUAAGAAUAUUAUUUUAUUCCCUCAAUUUUAUUUUACGGAGACUUACAUAUUAUUAUUAAUAAUAAUAUAUAAAUUAGAUAGAUUUAGAUUCAGUUUGAUCCUCAUUUAAAAAAAACAAUUUACAAAUUUUUUUCCAUCAAACACUUUUAAAUCUUGUAUUUUUUCUCCUACUCCUAAAUAUUGAAUAGGGAUUUUAAAUUGAUCCAUAAUUCCUAUUAAUACACCUCCUUUAGCUGUCCCUUCUAUUUUUGUUAAAAUAAUAGAAGAAAUUUUAACAAAAGAACUAAACUUCCGAACUUGUUCAAAAGCAUUUUGACCAGUUGUUGCGUCUAAAAUUAGAAUAAUUUCAUGAGGAGGAGAAAAUGUUAUCUUAUUUAUGACCUUGCUUAUUUUAGAAAGUUCUUUCAUAAGAUUAAUUCUAUUUUGUAAUCUACCAGCAGUAUCAAUUAUAACUACAUCUUUUUCCUUAGAUUUUGCAGACUGCAAAGUAUCAUAAACUACAGAAGCUGGAUCCGAAUUCAUAUGUUGUUUUAUUAAAGGAACUCCAGCUUGAUCUGCCCAUAUUUUAAUUUGAUCAAUAGCAGCCUCUCUAAAUGUAUCUGCAGCACCUAUAACAAUAUGAAAUCCUUUUUUUUUUAAAAAAAAAGCUAAUUUUCCUAUUGUAGUUGUUUUUCCGACUCCAUUCACUCCUACUAUUAAGAUUACAUAUGGUUUUUUUUUAUUAUUUCUGAUUUUUGUUUCUAAACAAACAUUUUCAAUAUCUAUAAAAAGAUUUUCAAUCUCUUCUUUAAGAAAAUUAAAGAUAACUUGCGAAUUUCUGUACUUUUCUUUUUGAACUCUUUUUUCUAAAUUAUUAAUAAUUUUUAUAGUAGUUUUUGUUCCUAUAUCUGCAGACAAUAAUAUUUCUUCUAUGUAAUCAAGAAGGUGAAUAUCAAUUUUUGAUUUUUUUAAAAAAAGAUUUUUGAUUUUUUCAAAAAAAAAUCCUCCAGUUUUUUUUAAUUUAUGAUUGAAUACUUUAUUUUUUUCUUUAUUAUUUUUAUUGGAAAGAAACAUCAUGAUUCAUUUUUUUUUUUAAAAAAAGUUUCUAUUUCUUCAUUAGAAAUCAUUUUGUUUUCAAAGGUAUAAUAACCUGAUUUUUUAGAUUUAACUACUUUUAUGGCUAAAGUCAUUUUUUUAGAAAUCUUUUUUUUUUUAUUCUCUUCUUUUUUUUUAUUUUCUCCUCCUUUUUUAUACAUUUAUUUAUUGUGUAAUUUUUAUUGUUUGAUUUCCUUAUGAAUUGUAUAUUUUUUUAAUAUUGGAUUAUAUUUUUUUAAUUCAAUUCUAUUCGGAGUAUUUUUCUUAUUUUUCGUUGUCACAUAUCUAGAACAACCAGCGAUUCCUGUUUUUCUUUGUUCAGUACAUUCUAAUAUAACUUGUAUUCUAUUUCCUUUUCUUCCCAUUAUUUUUUUAAUAUUUAUACUUAAAACGUUUUAAAACUUUUUCUAUUCCUAUUUUAUUAAUAAGUUUCACAGUAGAAGCACAAAUUUUUAAAGUAAUCCACUUUUUUUUUUGUAUUAAAAAAAAACGUUUUUUACAUAAAUUAAUAUUAAAUCUCCGUUUUUUUUUAUUAUUUGCAUGAGAUACUCUAUUUCCUAUCAUUACUCUUUUUCCUGUCAAUUCACAAAUUUUUGACAUAUACAAUUUUUUUUAAUAAAUUAAUAAAAUGACAAUAUAAUACAUUUAUCAAAAAAAAAUAUAAAAACAUUUCAUGUCAGGACACAGCAAAUGGGCAAAUAUACAACAUAGAAAAUCGAAUCAAGAUUUCAAAAAAUCUAAAAAAUUUUCUAAAGUUAUUAAAGAAAUAUCUACAGCCGUAAAAAAAUCAGGAACAAAAAAUUUUCAUUUUAGAAAUGCUAUUUCAAACGCAAAAUCAAUAAAUAUUCCUAAAAAUACUAUAGAAAAAGCUAUAAAAAAAGCUUUACAAAUCAAAACAGAUAAUUAUAAAAAUUUAAUUUUGGAAGGAUUGAUUUAUGGAGUUAGUAUAAUUGUAGAAUGUAUGACAGAUAACAAUAUUCGAACAAUUUCCAAUAUUAGAACAUUAUUUAACAAAAAUGGAGGAAGACUAUGUCAUAAUGGUGAAUUAAUUCAUUUUUUUAAAAAAAUGGGUGUUUUUUAUAUAAAAAAAAAAGAUGUUCACUUUUCAAUAGAAGAUUUUGAACUUAUGAUAAUAGAUUUUGGAGCUAAAGAUUUAAAAAUAGAUCAAGACAUGAUCUAUUUAUACAUAGAUUUUAAAAAUUUUAGACCUAUAAAAAAAAAUUUUGAAAAAUUUAAAAUACUUUAUGAAUACAAAAUUCAAUAUAUUCCAAAACAAAUUAUUAAAUUUCUUUCAGAAGAAAAAAAAACAGGAAUUUUGAAUUUAGUUAAUCGUCUUAAUAUGAAUGAUGAUGUAAAAAAUAUUUAUUCUAAUUCAUUAUAUGAAAAUAAAAAGUAAAAUGUCCCAUCGCGUUUUUUUAAAUGAGGAAAGUCCGGACACCGUAGAGCAACACAAUGGGUAACACCCAUCCAUCGUAAGAUGAGGAAUAGUGCAACAGAAAGAAUGUACAGAUAUAGAACUAUAUUUCUGUAGUGAAAUCAUGUAAACUCUGUGUGGUGAAAUGCCAUGUAUACCGGAAAACUAGCUCGGUCGAAACCGGGGGGUAGGCAGAUUGAGGUCAUGGGUAACCUAGAUCCUAGAUAAAUGAUAGGGAUAAAAACAGAAUCCGGCUUAUUAUUUUACUUUUUUU